rnacentral:lncRNA from 1 species
GUGGUUUCUCUCCCUUGGGAGGUUUACCAAUUGGGGUUGGUGGCUUGUGUUCUGGGAGUGGUUUCUCUCCCUUGGGAGGUUUAGUGGGUGACUUGUGUUCUGGAGGUGGCUUCUCCACCGAAGGCUUGUGCUCCGGUGGUGGCUUUUUGGUUGGAGGGGGCUUGGGGUAAUCAGCAAGAGAUGGGGUGGUGAGAACCACCAGUCCAAGGAACAACACUAGCAAGUAUGUGGGAGACAUUUUUGAGUUUGGGCUGAUCAGAUGAUGCAAAACUAAAGCAUUACGUGACCUUUUAUAGCAAGUAGCUCCCAAUACCUACUUGACACGUGUUACUGUGACCCAUAAAUAUUAUGGGGUCUAUUUGUGCCCUACCGGGUUGAAAACUUGGACAAUUGGGCAAGGACCCGCCUGACUAUGGAGGACUACUGAGGUGUGAUCACAGCUUUAGGAUUUUUCUUCCUCUGCAGCCGUCUUGCCGUUGGCAUGAUUUUCUUAAUCUCAAAUAAAGGCAUAGUUAUAGAGUUGUUUAAUCUCUAAAUGGGAUUUUAUAUAUCUUCAGAUAGCCAUUAAUACAUUUGAUGAAGAAAGAAAGACAAGUGCAUACAACAUGUAUACGACUAGCUUUCAUGGAGUUCAUUUAUGAUCAGUUUUCCUGUACAUGUAAACCAAGAUCAUAUAUGUUUUUGUUCCACAACAAUUUUGGAAUCUUGUUUAUCCGUUUUUAUCAUUAUAAUGUCACAUAGGCUGCCAACUUGGGCGCUAAAUUAAAGAUCCAGUUGGGCAAGUUCGUUUCAGAAUUUCAAUGGUGGAUUCAGGAAUUGUUUUAUAAGAUAUGCAAAAUAGUAGAGGGAUGAAUAGUGUUUCAUUAAGAAAAGAGCCCUGUAAAAAUAUUGUUUAAAGGUGCCAUAGAAACUAUAAUCAAUAAAUAACUUUUUUUCCCCAUGGGUGGUGUUUCUUGUGGGGAUCAGUGACUGGUUUGAGUCAACGCCGUGUCUCUUUAGUCCAGAAAUCAACUAUUUUAUGCAUUGAAUACAUCAACAAAGAAAAUAUGAAAGCCAAAUGACACCUCCCCCGCAAAAACUAAACCCUGGUUGCUAACUUUCUAUGUUUCAGUUCCAUUCACACAAGAAUAUUAGUUCAAGUUUGAGAAAAAUGGCGACUUACCUAGUGAUAACUCGGUCUUGGUUUGCGAUUUGACUUUAACGUCAUGGGUUGAAGCCUCCUACAAUCAUCGUGUAUGCUAGUUCAAAGCUCGUGGAAGAAGUUAUACAGGGAGGGAGAAACCUCCACAGCAAGCUCCAAAAGAGAAUUAUCACAUUGAAAGCUCCAGUUGAACACUGGGUGAAAGCCAUAACAAGAUUGGUUUUCUAUCGCUCUUUUAAGUAAUGGAAGAUUAUUAUCUCUGCUUGUCACUACAACCGUGCAUGCUGCUAGAUCUUUCUAGACACUUCAAACAGUGAAACCAAGUAUGAUUCUUUUUCUCUUGAGUGGGUCCACUUGCAUGCCAAUGAACGAGUUGAAAAGUUGGACAAUUGGCCACAGCGCGCACUUACCUUCUGGAACCGAAGGUCAGUGAAGUGGGGUUCCUUUUGGCCCCUUGUGUUUCUGUUCCAACCUACUCCAGGAACCGAAGUUCAGUGAAGUGGGGCUACUUUUGGCCUCUUGUGUUUCUGUUCCAACCAAACAAAAAUGGGAGGGAAAAAUAGCAUUAUGCUUGUGCUAAAGAUCAACGCAUGAUAGCUGAAUAAGGGAGAAAAAGGCAUUGCUAUCUCAAUUUCAUAAACUUGAUAAGUAGUGACAUUAAUAGUCUUCCUCAUAGAUGGAUACAUGGUUUUAUUUUAUUUAUUUAUUUUUAUUUUUUUGUUUUAUGUCAAUGCUAAUGAAUGAAGUGCAUUAGCUUGUUUUGUGACUAGAACUACAAAUGUCCAAAUUGGAGCUUCUCCAAUAUAUUUCUCAGUGAGUUAUUGAUUAGAACUCUUGGAUUGAGUUCCAAGAUUUGAAUCAGACCCCUCUAGCAGCUUCAGGGGUACGUAGCAACCUAUAGCAUAUUAAUGAAGACUUAGGAUUUAGACUUAGGAAUACAAAUUAAUAUGUACCUCAUGCUCUGACUAGCUUCCCUGCGUAUGCACAAAAUGGAGAUGACUCCCAAAAAAAUAGCAGAAUCGCCUUAGUAUGUUUUUGUGGUUAAGAUGAUUCUCCACUUUAUAUAUCCACAUUGGUUCAUUAUGCAAAUUAAUCAACUAAGCUAUUUUUAUUUUUUCUUAAAUGUGAAAUAGGAGCUCCAAAUUAACCUAACCAUUGGCCUGAUUGAAUUGAUUUCACUUGCAUAAUGUUAUAGUAGAAGUCCGUAAUUUGAAUUUUAUUUUUGCAAAAGGUAACGUAAAUGAAGCAUUGUAAUUAAAUUUAUUUGUAAUUACAAACUAAUUUUAUUUUAUUAAGAAUUAAUUUAAUUACUCAUUUAAAAUAAAAAUCAGUUAUACUUUUACCAAGAUGAUAAUAUUCAUAUUUUUCUAGUUAACAUAUAUAAAAUAGUACACUUUUUCAUAUAAAAAAAUAAUUUAUGAUUUAUUAUAAUGUUACUAUUCACAUUUUACUAAAUUGAUGGUACAUGAUAGUGAGAGAAGGGGGUGUCACACUCAGCUAAAGUUCUUUUCAAAAUAUUGCAUGGUGUUUAAUUUUAUGUGUCGGCGCGCGUGUGAAUGGAACCUGCAAAAGUCCAAAUUGGCGUUUCUCCAUUUUCCACAUAGGAUGGUGACGUUAAUAGACAAAGAUACAAUAUCUGUAGACAUUGCUUAAAAAUCGAUGUGAAGUAUUAGAAAUUACAGGGCACUGUACUGGGGGAGCGGCUGCCCCGCCAAAGGAGGAAGAAUGUAGCAAUUUCUUCUGUUAGCCAGGCCUUAGGAUUUAUGCAUGGGAUGCCUAAUAACAAACAGAGAAAAUAUACUUUUGGGGAAGGUAUCCAACAACAGACACCAUCAUUCAGAUGGUGGGAAGGUAUCCAACAGAUGCCAUCAUUCAGAUGGUAACAUAUAUAUACAUUUAUUAGUGAGUUUUUUUAAUACCUAUAAAAAAAAAUAUACACUUUGAUAUUGUGGCUGAAUCCAUUACAUACUCAACUAACCUUGCUCAUUAGGGAUUUGACUUAACAAGGGCAACGUUGCAGUACAAGCUCAAAACUUUAUGCAGGUGACAUUACAUUUGGUAAAGAAGAGGAAAAUAACGAAAGCCAUCCAUAAAAGCAAAAUUCCACAUGGGAUGAAAUUCACAAGCUUCAUUUACGAUAGAGUCGCAUCCAGGCAAUUAAUUCCACAUUAGACCGCCUGUUGACAUGUGUACCAAUCUUUUUUCAAAAAAUAUUUAUAAAUAAUUGAUACUCACAAAAAUAAUUUAAUAUUUAUAAAGGAUAAAAAAAUAUUUUCAAAUCUAUAACAAUUUAUAAAAUAUUAAUAAAAAAUUAUCUCUUAAACUUAGUAUAGUUUUAUCAGAUUAAACUUUUAUUUUGAACAAAUAAUUUUAAUCUAAGUUUUAAAUUCUAAAAUUAUUUCCUUAAAAUAAAAUUUUAAAAUUCAACACUUCAAUUGAAAUUGUCUUUUUAAAAAAUAUCUUCUUAUUUUAAUCCUUAUAAACUAUAGUUGAUUGAAAAUACUAUUGAAGUUCUCUCUUAAAAAAAAGUCUUAUUUUAAUCUUCAUAAAUUGCCCUUGAUUUGAAAAUAAAUUUUCAGUUAUCAUAUUUUAAAUAAUAUCUAUAUUUAAAAUACUCUAUUUAAAAAAAAAUGAACUAAUUUUAAUUAUAUUAUAUUUUAUUUUUUUAUAUAUUUUUAAUGAUAAACCAAACAUAGAAAAUCAUUUUUCUAAAUAUUUUAAAAUUUCUAAGCAACCAAACAUAAUCUUCAAAAUAAAAGGAAAAUAAGGAGGGACAUUUGAGAAAUGGCGAUUAAAAAAAAGUGUACAAAAGCUCAAUUAAUUUUCUUCUAGUCUUUUAUAUAAAAAAGUAAAGGAAUUGAAAAGUAUUGAUAUGUAAAUUAAUAUUUGGAUUUUAAUAGUAUUUUAUUUGUCUUUCUCUAUCUCAUGUAAAAGAGAAUUUAAGAUAUUUCCUAAAGCAAAGCAUUAGUUAUCUGCAAUCAGUGGUGAUCAUGCCCCAUGUCAAUUUCGGACCCAUAUCUUAAAACUGUAUAAUUUGCAUUCAAACAUUACUGAUUUCUCAGAUGUUUCAUACUCCACAGAAGAGCAUUGUUUGUGAAAGCAUGCAUUUAUGUUGGAUUUUGGAUGAUGUGGGAACUGGGGCAAGGAUCAUAUGGAAGAGUGGUCGAUUUUGUUCUGUACUUUAACAUUUGAAAUAGGAGAAGCUCGGGCAUUUGUGGGGCUUAAUUGAUUUUGAAGCCUGAAAUUGCGUUUCUGUCAUUUUGUAAAAAAUAUGGCAGAUUCCAUGCUCUCAUAUGUUUGGUCUGUGGCCAUGUAUAGAUGCCCCUUAGUGACCAGUUUGUAACUGUCAAUCAUAGUGUUUUGACUCUGGCUCAACAACAUCAGCCAUUGACGGAUUUUCAUACUUGCAAAUCAAAUAGUCUUCUUCCUCCCUUAGGAAUUUCGGUUUAAAUGUUAUUAAGCAUACAUUUGGCUGACAAUUAUUAACCACUUCAUGAUAUGGUUUCUUACCCUUAAUCAAUGGUUUCUAAGUGAAUAUAUGCAGAAGGAAAUCUGAACUGUAGACAGCAGUAUUGAUAACUCUCAAUAUUCUUUAUAUAAGAGAAUAAACAACGUCAUAGUGAUCGUCGCCUACAAGAAAGGUACAUUUCCCAACAAGAUGUAGUUGUGACUGGUACAUGGACGCAAUUAACUCGUACAAAAGAAUAAGACCAGUGCACGGCAGCUCUUAUUUUACAUGCUAAUUAUGCUAACCAAAGUCACUCAGUUGGGAUGGGAGGGAGAUGGAGGUUUGUGCGGUGGCUUGUGGGGCGGAGUUGGUGGCUUCUUUUCAGGAGCUUGUGGCUUUUUCGGAGCUGAAGGAGGCUCAAUCUUAUGAGGCGGCUUGUACGAGUCUUCUUUACUCUCGACAGGAGGGUGGCCAGGGUUGUGACCAUAAUGUGGUGGCUUCUCUCCCUUAGGUGGCUUGCCAACUGGGGUUGGUGGCUUGUGUUCAGGAAGUGGUUUCUCUCCCUUGGGAGGUUUACCAAUUGGGGUUGGUGGCUUGUGUUCUGGGAGUGGUUUCUCUCCCUUGGGAGGUUUAGUGGGUGACUUGUGUUCUGGAGGUGGCUUCUCCACCGGAGGCUUGUGCUCCGGUGGUGGCUUCUCCACCGGAGGCUUGUGCUCCGGUGGUGGCUUCUUGAUUGGAGGGGGCUUGGGGUAAUCAGCAAGAGAUGGGAUGGUGAGAACCACCACUCCAAGGAACAACACUAGCAAGUAUGUGGGAGACAUUUCUGAGUUUGAGCUGAUCAGAUGAUGCAAAACUAGAAGAAUUACGGGACCUUUUAUAGCAAGUAUCUCCCAAUACCCACAUGACACGUGUUACUAUGACCAUAAAUAUUAUAGGGUCCAUUUGUGCCCUACCGGGUUGAAAACUUGGACGCUUGGCCGAGGACACACCUGACUAUGGAGGACUAUUGACGUGUGAUCACAGCUUUUGGAUUUUUCUUCCUGUGCAGCUGUCUAGCGGUUGGCAUUAUUUUCUUAAUCUUAAAUAAAGGCAUAGUUAUAGAGUUGUUUAAUCUCUAAAUGGGAUUUUAUAUAUCUUCAGAUAGCCAUUAAUAUAUUUGAUGAAGAAAGACAAGUGCAUACAACAUGUAUACGGCUUGCUUCAAUCGAGUACAUUUAUGAUCAGUUUUCCUGUGCAAGUAAACCAGUUUUUUGUUCCACAACUAUUUUGGAAUCUUGUUUAUCAGUUUCUAUCAUUAUAAUGUCACAUAGGCUGCAAACUUGGGCACCCAAAGAUCUAGGUGGGCAAAUUUGUUUCAGACUUUCAAUGGUGGAUUCAGUAAUUGUUAAAAGGUGUUUCUUCAUUAAGGAAAGAGUCCGGUAAAAAUAUUGUUAAAAGGUGUCAUAGAAACUAUAAUAAAUAAAUAACUUCUUUUCCCCAUGGGUGGUGUUUCUUCUGGGGAUCAGUGACUGGUUAGGGUCACCCAAAAUGAGUCCAGAUUAAAAUUGGUUCGAGUCAAAGCAGUCUCUUUUGUCCAGAAAUCAACUAUUUUGCGCAUUGAAUGAAUCGAUAAAGAAAAAAUGAAAGCCAAAUCACACCUCCCCUGCAAAACCUAAACCCCGGUUGCUAACUUUCUAUGUUUCAGUCCUAUUCAUAUAGGAAUAUUGGUUCAAGUUUGAGAAAAAUGGCAACUUACCUAGGGUUUACUUGGUUUUGGUUUGCGACUAUUUACGCAACCAACCAUGAGUUUGACUUUAACGUCAUGGGUUGAAGCCUCCUACAAUCAUGUAUGAUAGUUCAAAGCUCGUGGAAGAAAUUAUACAGGAAGGAAGAAACCUCCAAAGCUAGCUCCAAAAGAGAAUUAUCACAUCGAUAGCUCCAGAGAUUCCCAAGGGAACUGAAUCAAAGACAAGUUCCUCACUUUUUCUUCUUUUGAGGCCAAAUAUGAACCAAGGAUCACACGACCUCAUUCAACUUCAUAAGUUUGAUUUCAUGCAGUUGAACACUGGGUGAAGGCCAUGACAAGAAUUGAUUAAAAAAUUCUACCACUCUUUUAAGUAAUGGAAGAUUAUUAUCUCUGAUUGGCACCACAACAGCACAUGCUGCUAGAUCUUUCUAGACACUCCAUGCAAUGAAAGCACAAUGGAUCUUGUAAUGAUAGAAACUAAGCCAUGCUACAGUACUAGAUGAGGGGGUAAAACUAGUAGACAUCUUUCUAGACACUCCAUGCAAUGAAAGCACAAUGGAUCUUGUAAUGAUAGAAACUAAGCCAUGCUACAGUACUAGAUGAGGUGGUAAAACUAGUAGACAUGGCUGGCAGUUGAUUACUACUCAAAAAGUACUCUUUUAUAGCUUGAAACUAACUGUUUUAAACACUUUUGAGUAGUAGUUAAUACCUUUUAACUUAAUUGGCACAUUAAGGAACCUAGCAAGGGUUACUAAUCAACAUUUGGCAAGUUUUGAUGUUUUUGGUAGCUAUUUGAUCAUUGAAACAAGCCAAGAAUGAGGGGGAAUUUUGUGAAGUCCAUGGCAAUGCAAGUUAAAGCUCAAAUACAUGAAGAAUCCAAGCUUUGGAGCACUUCAUAGCCCUUUGCCAAGCCAAUCAAAGAUGCAAGGAAGAAAACCAAAGGAAGAAAUCCAACAAUCAGCAUUUUGGCAUGGCUAUGUGAAAUUUCGCACACCAUGCGAAACCACAAGAGGCAGCCAAAGAAUUUCGCAUGGUAUGCGAAAUCUUCUUGUGCACUGACUCUGUUAGAUUUUUAUCUUCAGAUAUUUUGUGUAAUUUCCUAGUUUCUCCUUGUAACCAACUUAGAUAUUUUCUUUUAUAUCUUUUUUUAUAUUUUUUAGGUAACAUCAUAUAUAAGAGGAGAGACAUAAGGAGGAUAUGGAUGUUUUUCAUAGAACACUUGUAAAUUUUUGGUAGUAAGAAAUAUACAAAGCUUUUUGCUCUGCCUUACCUUCUCAAGGGAUGAGUGGCUAGGUUUUCUUGGAGUGAGGGAAGCUAGGUGAAGGACCUGAAUGCAAAGGUGGGAGUUUUCCUUACUUUAAAUGAAAGUAGUUGUUAAACAUUAAUGGUUUUUAUUUUAAGGUUUAGCUUUAAAUCCCUGAAAAACACCUUGAAUGGCCAAUACUUGGUAAGCUUUUUAGAUUCUAUGGAUGCUUAUUGCUAGAUCCAUGGAUGUCUAUUAGUUAUCAUUUACGAGCCAUUGGAAGGUGAUUCAAGGUGAGGGUCUUUAGUGUUUGAAGCCAUUAAUGGGAAGCAAUUACCAUUUUUUCAUGAAUCCUUUGGAUCAAAUCUUAAUUGCUAAAUAUAAAACCGGUUUCGAGAGAUAACCACCAUCCUUUAUGUUAUUAUCCCCAACGCGAGGAGAAGAUCCGAAAUCUUCCUUUUUAUCUAAGGAACCCGAUCCUAGUGACCUAAAGCUCCAAGAUACCUUUUCUUUGUAGUUAACUUCAUUUAUUGUUUUUGCUUAACUUAAAAUCAAUCUUUGCAACCACAAUUCCAUUUUCUUUAAAAGCUAAUUUUUAUAAGGAAAAACACCAUUUUAUUUCCUUCACUAAGUCAACUGUACGAUGAAAACCCAUCCCUGUGGACGAUCCUAGAGCCACUAUACUAUGUUAGCUAUGCUACCCUAGUGUGAGGUGAUUUAGGUUUUAUAAAUUUUUUUGAUAACACCCAUCUGAGCCAGAAUCAAAUGGCACGACUGAACCAGGGACGAAUCAAAUGACGCCGCUACCAAGGAUGGUGCCAAAGUACAUUGACAUGACUUUUGGUGAACACUUGUGAUCUUCACCACAAGUUUGGUGAUUUUUCUUUUACUAAUUUUUUUUAUUUUAGCUUAUCUUUUAUUUAGUUUUUAGUUAACCUUAAAUUUUUCCUAGAAUUGUAUUUCUUUUGUUUUCUUUGUUUUUGUUUCAGUGAUCUUUAGUUGUGCAUGCCCUAUUGGAUAAGAGAUAUUGAGGGAAUACUUGUGAAGAUUGAAACUCCUCGAGAAACUGAGUUAGAAGUGUGCUUGAACAUCAUGGAUGUUCCACCUGAAGACCAGAAUAGCCAACAUGGUUAAGAGGAUAAUUUCAACACAUACCGAUCCAUGAGGAACCGCAUACAUCCACCUUGUAUGAGUGCACCGUCAGGCAUAAUGCCUCCCACUGAGCAGCUAGUAAUCUGACCUCACAUUGUGCCACUCCUACCUACUUUCCAUGGGAUGGAGAGUGAGAAUCCCUACUCGCAUAUUAAGGAAUUCGAGGAGGUUUGUAAUACAUUCCAAGAAGGAGGAGCUUCAAUUGACUUGAUGAGGCUCAAGCUAUUUCCUUUCACUUUGAAGGAUAAGGCCAAGAUUUGGCUUAAUUCUUUAAGGCCAAGAAGUAUCCAAACUUGGAUUGAUUUGUAAGCCGAGUUUCUUAAGAAGUUCUUCCCUACCCAUAGGACCAAUGGUUUGAAAAGGCAAAAUUUGAACUUCUCAGUUAAAGAGAAUGAGAAAUUCUAUGAGUGUUGGGAGAGCUACAUGGAAGCUAUUAACGUUUGUCCUCACCAUGGCUUUGACACAUGGCUCUUAGUGAGCUAUUUUUACAAUGGUAUGUCUUCUUCAAUGAAGCAACUCCUAGAAACUAUGUGUGGAGGAGACUUCAUGAGUAAGAAUCCGGAGGAAGCCAUGGACUUUUUGAGUUAUGUGGCUGAAGUUUCAAGAGGAUGGGAUGAACCAAAUGCUAGAGAGGUGGGAAGAAUGAAGUCUCAACCUAAUGCUAAGGGUGAGAUGUAUGUUUUGAAUGAAGACAUUGACAUGAAAGCAAAGGUUGCAGCUAUGGCAAGGAGAUUGGAAGAGCUAGAAAUGAAGAACAUACAAAAAGUGCAAGCCAUUUCUGAGACAUCAAUGAAAGCUAUGCCUUGUUCCAUUUGUCAAUCUUAUAAGCACCUAGUGGAGGAGUGUCCUACAAUUCCAGCAGUGAGAGAGAUGUUUGGUGAUCAAGCAAAUGUUAUUGAUCAAUUCAAGCCUAAUAACAAUGCUUCAUAUGGCAACACCUACAAUUCAAAUUGGAGGAACCAUUCAAAUUUCUCUUGGAAACGAAAGCCACCUCAAUACACACAACCUACUCAAGCACCUUAGCAAUCCUCGAAUCUUGAACAAGCUAUUGUGAACCUUAGCAAGGUUGUGGGAGACUUUGUGGGAGAUCAGAAGUCCAUCAAUGCUCAACUGAAUCGGAGAAUUGACAGUGUGGAGAGUACAUUGAACAAAAGGAUGGAUGAGAUGUAAAAUGAUCUGUCUCAAAAGAUAGACAAUGUCCAAUACGUAAUCUCAAGGCUUACCAACCUCAACACAGUGUAAGAGAAAGGAAAGUUUCCUUCUCAACCUCAUCAAAAUCCUAAGGGUAUCCAUGAAGUAGAGGCUCAAGAGGGAGAAUCUUCAAAGGUGAGGGAAGUCAAAGUAGUUAUCACCUUGAAGAGUGGUAAAGAGGUUGAUCAACCCACAUCCAAGCCAAAGCAUAAUGAAGAGAGUGUAGCAGAAAAAGAAAAGAGAGGAAAAUAAAGGAAUUAGAAUAGAGAAAAAUACAAAGAAAGAUGACCAUGAGUCUAGUGUGGAUGAAGAGCCCGAGAGGAUGGUGAUCAAGGAAGAUAUGAUGAAGAAACACAUGCCUCCACCUUUCCCCUAAGCUUUGCAUGACAAAAAAAGAACCAAUAAUACAUCAGAAAAUUUUGAAGUAUUGAGGCAAGUGAAGGUCAAUAUCCCUUUGCUAGACAUGAUCAAACAAGUGUCGACAUAUGAAAAAUUCUUGAAGGACUUGUGCACUGUAAAGAGAGGGUUGAAUGUGAACAAGAAAGCUUUAUUGACCGAGCAAGUGAGUUCCAUCAUACAGUGCAAGUCCUAGUGAAGUACAAAGAUCCGGGUUGCCGUACCAUCUCAGUGAGUAUUGGAAGGACUUGUGUGGAGAAAGCUUUGUUGGACUUGGGAGCAAGUGUGAAUUUGCUAUCCUACUCUGUCUAUAAGCAGUUGGGAUUUGGAGAGUUGAAGCCAAUAUCCAUCACUCUAUCUCUAGCGGAUAGAUCAAUGAAGAUUCCAAGAGGGAUGAUCGAAGAUGUCCUGGUUCAAGUUAACAAAUUCUACUAUCCAGUAGAUUUUGUUGUUCUUGAUAUGGAUCCGGUUGUCAAAUGAACUAAUUAUGUUCCUAUCAUACUUGGAAGACCCUUCCUAGCUACAUCAAAUGCAAUCAUCAAUUGUAGGAAUGGAGUCAUGCAACUCACAUUUGUCAACAUGACAUUAGAGCUCAACAUCUUCCAUUUGUACAAGAAGCAUAUCCAUCAGGAGGAAAAAGAAGGUCUAGAGGAAGUGUGAAUGAUUGACACUUUAGUGGAAGAGCAUUGUGAUCGAGAAUGCAAAAAGAUUUAGUUGAGAAUUUUGGGGAUCUUGAUGAAAGGUUACUUGAACCCUCAGAUUUGCUUGCUACCCUACUCCAUUGGAAGAGAAGAGAAGAAAUUCUACCCUUAUUCAAUGAGGAGGAGACGCAAAGAGCUGCAAAGGAGAAACCCCCAAAACUUAUUCUUAAGCCACUACCCACAGAGUUGAAGUAUGUAUACUUGGAAGAAGACAAGAAGUGCCCUAUUGUUAUAUCUUCAACUCUUACCAUUCAUCAGGAGGAUUGUCUACUUGAAGUCCUUAGAAGAUGUAAGAAGACAAUAAGGUGGCUAAUUUCUUAUUUGAAAGGGAUCAGCCCUUUAGUCUGCACCCAUCAUAUUUACAUGGAGGAUGAAGCUAAGCUAAUUCAUCAACCUCAGAGAAGGUUGAACCCUCACAUGCAAGAGGUGGUUCGAGCUGAAGUUCUGAAGCUACUUCAGACCAGUAUUAUUUACCCCAUAUCAAAUAGCCCAUGGGUGAGUCCUACUCAAGUUGCGCCAAAGAAGUCUGGGAUCAUGGUGGUGCAAAAUGAUAAGGGAGAAGAUGUCUCUACACGCCUCACUACAGGUUGGAGGGUGUGUAUCAAUUACAGGAGGUUGAAUGCAGUGAUAAGAAAGGACCAUUUCUCAUUGCCCUUUAUUGAUCAGGUGCUUGAGAGGGUCUCUGGGCUUUUUUUUUUAUUGUUUCUUGGAUGGCUACUCCGGGUACUUUCAGAUAGAAAUUGAUGUUGAAAACCAAGAUAAGACCAUUUUCACAUGCCCAUUUGGAACCUAUGCAUAAAGGAGAAUGCCUUUCGGCUUAUGCAAUGCACCCGCAACUUUCCAAAGAUGCAUGUUAAGCAUUUUCAGUGAUAUGGUGGAGCGUAUUAUGGAAGUCUUUAUGGAUGAUAUCACCAUUUAUGGAAGUGCAUUUGAUGAAUGCUUGGUCAACUUAGAAGCUGUUCUGAACCGAUACAUUGAGAAAGACUUAGUGCUUAACUGGGAGAAGUGCCAUUUCAUGGUACACCAAGGGAUUGUCCUUGGGCACAUUAUCUCCAAGCAAGGCAUUGAAGUUGACAAAGCAAAGGUUGAACUCAUUGUUAAGUUGCCAUCCUCAACAAAUGUCAAAGGAGUAAGGCAAUUCUUUGGCCAUGUCGGGUUCUAUAGGAGGUUUAUCAAGGAUUUCUCUAAGCUUGCAAGGCCUCUUUGUGAAAUAUUGGUGAAUGAUGUUAAAUUCAUAUGGGAUGAUGGAUUUGAAAGGAGUUUUGAAGAAUUGAAGCUAUUUUUGACAACCGUACCAAUAGUGAGGGCUCCCAACUGGCAACUGCCCUUUGAAGUAAUGUGUGAUGUCAAUGAUUUUGCUAUAGGAUUUUUUCUUGGGCAAAGAGAAAAUGGAAAACCUUAUGUGAUCUACUAUGCGAGGAAGGCAUUGAAUGAGGCACAAAGAAACUACACAACCACCGAGAAAGAAUUGUUAGCUGUAGUUUUUGCCUUGGAUAAGUUUCGCGCUUACUUGGUGGGGUCCUUCAUCAUGGUUUUUACUGAUCACUUUGCUUUGAAGUAUCUGUUGACUAAGCAAGAUGCUAAAGCAAGGCUGAUUAGAUGGAUUCUCUUACUUCAAGAGUUCAAUCUCCAUAUCAAAGAUAAGAAAGGAGUGGAGAAUGUGGUAGCAGACCACAUUUCAAGGCUAGCUAUCGCACAUAAUUCCCAUGCUUUGCCCAUUAAUGACGAUUUUCUAGAGGGGUCUCUCAUGUUGGUGGAAGUUGUCCCUUGGUACGCUCACAUUGCUAACUACCUGGUCACGGGAAAAGUUCCAAGUGAGUGGAAAGCACAAGAUAAGAAGCACUUCUUUGCAAAAAUUCAUGCCUACUAUUGGGAAGAGCCAUUUCUAUUCAAGUAUUGUAUGGAUCAGAUAAUAAGGAAGUGCGUUCCUGAAGAAGAGCAACAGGGGAUCCUUAGUCAUUACCAUGAAAAUGCAUGUGGAGGCCACUUUGCUUAUCAAAAGACAGCCAUGAGGGUGUUGCAAUCGGGUUUCUGUUGGCCAUCACUUUUCAAAGAUGCCCACACCAUGUGCAAGAGUUGUGAUCGAUGCCAGAGGCUUGGGAAGUUGACACGCAGGAACAUGAUGCCUUUGAACCCCACUUUAAUAGUUGAUAUUUUUUAUGUUUGGGGCACUAACUUCAUGGGACCUUUCCCUAUGUCUUUUGGCUACUCUUACAUCUUGGUAGGAGUAGAUUAUGUUUCUAAGUGGGUUGAGGCAGUCCCAUGCAAACACAAUGACCAUAGAGUGGUUCUCAAGUUUCUUAAAGAGAAUAUCUUCUCAAGAUUUGGGGUGCCCAAAGCCAUAAUUAGUGAUGGGGGUACUCAUUUUUGCAACAAGCCUUUUGAAACUCUCCUAGCCAAGUAUGGGGUGAAGCAUAAGGUAGCUACACCUUACCACCCUCAAACUCAUGGACAAGUUGAGUUAGCAAACAGGGAGAUUAAAAACAUAUUGAUGAAGGUGGUGAACACAAACAGAAAAGAUUGGUCAGUCAAGCUUCUUAAUUCACUAUGGGCAUAUAGAACAACUUACAAGACCAUUCUCGGGAUGUCUCCUUAUCGCCUAGUUUAUGGCAAAGCAUGCCAUCUCCCUGUGGAAUUGGAAUACAAAGCUUGGUGGGCAAUCAAGAAGCUCAACAUGGAUUUGAGCAGAGCUGGGUUGAAGAGGUUCUUAGACCUUAAUGAGAUGGAGAAAUUGAGAAAUGAUGCCUACAUCAAUUCAAAAAUUGCAAAAGAAAAAUUGAAGAGGUGGCAUGAUCAGUUGAUUUCCCGCAAGGAUUUUCAAAAUGGACAAAGAGUCUUACUUUAUGACUCUAAACUCCACAUCUUUCCGGGCAAGCUGAAAUCAAGGUGGAUAGGUCAUUUUACCAUUCACCAAGUGCAUUCAAAUGGAGUAGUGGAACUACUCAACUCCAACAAUAUCGAGAACUUCAAAGUGAAUGGCCACCGUCUCAAGCCCUUUGUGGAGUCUUUUUCUCACAACAAGGAGAAAUUCAUCCUCCUUGAUCCACAUCAAGCUUAACAAGACCAAUUUUCUUGAUGGACUUAGUCUUUCUAAAGACUAUCGAGUCCAUAACUUUUUGUUUUAUUUUUUAUUUGAGAUUUUUUCGGUAUUGUUACUUGUUUUGUUUUUUAUUUUUCGUUUUAAUUUUAUUUGGUUUGAUUUAACUUAGGUUUUUGAUGAUCAAUUACAGGGGGGAUUUCAAAUAGAGGAAAAACCAAGAUAAUUCGCACACCCUACGAAAAUUUCGCAAGGCAUGCGAAAUUUAUGGCUUAUUUUGCAUGGGGUGAAAAUUUUCGUACAUCUUACGAACCAAUUUCGAACACUUUGCGAAAAUAAACCAACCCUGCGAAAUCAUUUCGAUUACUCUACGAAAUUUUCGUAGAGCAUGCGAAAAAUUUAGCACACCAAACACCAUUUCGCAUACUAUGCAAAAACCUAAGGGGUCUGCGAAACCAUUUCGCACCUCCAAAUCCAUUUCGCACAUUGUGCGAAAACCAAGAGGCGCUGUGCGAAAAUGAAAAGUCGCCCUGUCAUCCCUUUUUAAACCCCUCGAGCCCUAAAAUCUCCAUUUCGCAAGCACCCCUGUCCUUGCGAAUCCCUCAUUUUCCUCUACUACCUUGCAACCUCGUCCCUUUCCAUUUGAUAUUGUGCCCCGCGCACAUCUCAUUUCAGAGACUCGCACUCCGCGCCCCCUCAAAGCAUGGACUCGAGACCCACCUUCCAUUUCCGACGUGGCACGGACCCAAGGAGCCCUUUCUGCCCCUUCACUAAGACACACACCAAGGCAGAAAGCCUCCUUUGCUCAAGUGCCUAGUGAUUCUCCAUCUUAGGCCUCAGAGGCCUCGGAGGCCCCGUGGAUUCCACCUUCCGAGGGUAGAGCAGCCAUUGGUCCUUCCUCUUCUACUCCUUAGCGUAGAUACGAGACGAGGAGACCACCUACUACACAAGGGGCGACUACUUCGAGCCUUGAGAAUUCAGUACGAUGCCUUCCUGCCAAGAGGGUCAAGACUUCAGGUCCAAGUGAGUCAUCCAGAGCUUCAUAGCCUAAGCCUCCUGUAGAUUCCAAGGUUCCUACUGACAUAUCACCGGAGUCUAUUAUCAGAAGCCCGAUGCUCAUAGCACCGCCCAUUGAGGGCAACUCAGAUUAUAGAGCGAGAUCUUUCCACUUGGAGCUAUAUUUUGAUCAGGAGGCCAUACGACAGCAGCCUGAGCUCCGAGACUCUUAUGGCUUACUGCAGAGGUACCAUCUUGAGGAACUUAUGACUCCUCGUGAGUUUUUUUAUCCCAGAGUAGCACUAAACUUUUACCAGUCCAUGACUACUCGUGGCGUCCCGAGUCCUACCACGAUUCACUUCACCAUUGAUAGACGUCAUGGUAUCCUCAAGGCCAGACAUAUUACAGAGGCUCUACAAAUUCCUUUCGAGCUAGAGGAUCCAUCUGUUUUUCGCUAAUGGUCCCCAGUAUCUCAGAGGGACAUGGUCCGUAUUUUAUCUAGGGGAACAUCUACAGAUUCGAUCUUUCUACGGAAGGAGCUUCGACCUGGGAUGCUCCUCUUAGAUGUGGUGCUAUGCUCCAACCUCUUUCCCUUACAACAUUCGGUACAUAGGUGAUGAGCUAUUUUGGACGCUUUAUUCCGUAUAUCAGAGGGCUUCUACUUUGGCCCGCACCACUUGAUCAUGGUCUCCCUCAUCCACUUUGAGGAGAAGGUUCAUAGGAAGAAGCUUCAGAGGGUGGACACCAUUCCAUUACUAUUCCUGAGGUUACUUUGCCAGGUCUUGGAGUACAUGGGCUUUCCUACUGAGCCUCGGCUCGAGCUUUGCCGCCUUUGUCGAGAGUGAUCCACUCUCGACAAAUGGAAUUAGUUGGCGGGCUAUUCUGCACCUCCAGGAGCCCCUCCCAUGGUAGCACCUCCAAUGUCCCCACAGGCAAAGUAGGGCGAGCUCCCGGCAAAGACUGUACCACCAAUGCCCACACUUGAGGCUAUUUCUGCUGCUCUGCCUAUGACUCCUACUGUUCCACCAGUUGGUCCUUUUACAUCCGAGCCUUCCAUCACCAUCUCGGCUUCGGAGUUUCGCGCCCUUGUGCAUACCUUUCAGACACUCACCACCACACAUACUCCUCUCUUCUAGCAAAUGGUUGAGAUGUGUGCCCAUCAGGACCGGAAGACUACUAUACUCUGCCAAAUUCAGCAGCACCUAAGACUUUUGCCUCAACCUCAACCUAACCAUCCCAUAUCAUCAGAGCCUCUAGCUCCAACUGAGGAUACUAUUCCACCUGAGAACACUACCACAGUAGAGGUCCGGUUUCCACCACCUUAAGAGGCCACCACAGCUACAUCAGAGGAUGUGUCAUCUCCACUUGAGGCUCCCACUACUUGAUCAUAGGACAUAUCUUUAUCUUAUUGUAUUUACAUAUUAUAUUACUAGAGAUUUGUCCUUGUUUUGAUACUUUAUAUUCUGGGAUUGGAUGUAUUGCCUGAUGAUAUCUCAAUUGUACUUUCUCAUAUUAAUAUAUAGACAUCAAUUUUUUUUAGUAUACUUAGCAUUUUUCUAUUUCCUCUACUCAUUACUCUUUUGUUUUUUUUUACUCAUGUGGUUUCUCUUAUACAACUCAGACUCCAUUUCACUCAGGAGGUACCACUUCCUCCCUUUAUUUUCAAUUGCUCUUGAAAUAUUGAGUGCAAUGUUGAUCUUGGUUGGGGGGAGAGUUGAGGAAGGAAGUUUUGUUAAUAAUGCUAGGUUAAUUUGUUAAUUUAGUUACUUUCUGCUUAAUUUUAAAAGUUUUCACUCUACUUUCCAUGGUUAUUAAGGAAAAAUUCUCAAAAUGAAAUGGGAGAAAUCGAAUUCUUGCAUUUUUACUUGAAUCUUAGAAUUUGUAUCAUGCUUAUUAAAGUUGAUGAAUUAUUGAAACUCCUAUUGAAUUCAACCUUAUUUUUUCCACUUUAAUCUUACCACACACGGUGCACAUUAGGUUCCAGUUAUAAGAUAAAAAACUAUCUCACCCCCUAAACUUAGAAAAAUUUACACUUGGUACCUUUGACAUCGUUUUAAUAGUGUUGGGACACCUUAUAAAAGGCCAAUGAGCCUUUAAAAAAAAAAAAAAAAAAAAAAAGAGAAAGAACAAAGUAUUGCACUUGCCUUGAAACCUGAGCAAGAUCCGAGGGGUAUACAGUGAAAGUCUUUAAAACCUGGUGCCCUAAGCCUUGAUUGGUUGGGAGUCACCGACCUCAAUGCUCGUUAUAAGGGUGAAUAGGUGGAGUUUAACAUAUUGUAGGUGCUUGGGUAUUGAAUUUCAAUCUCAAAAGUCCGGGAAAAAAUCUAAGGAGUUAGUGGUCAAAAGAUCCUUAAAGCUUGAUGCCCUAAACCUUGAUUGGUUGAGAGUCAUUGAUGGAUCCCCGCUACAUGGACAUUUUAGAAAACAAUACCUUUAGCAUUGCACGCCUACAAUGAAAAAAAAAUGUGAAAUAAAAGAGGUGCGUUCUUAGCCUAUUGGAGGUUGGUCAGUUUGCUAAAGUUUGAGAAAUCUAGGUUGGGGGGAGAGAAUAGUCCGACAUACUAUAAUAAAAAACUAAUAACCUUAACACUUAGAUUUUUGUGGAAGAGUAAGGAUUGGACCUUUAGGGGUGGAAAUUCUUUUGAUGCUUAAAUUUGCAUAAUGCCUACUCUUUAUAAAUUAUGAUUAGGCAAGAGAUUUGAUGACUCUUGUUCAAAGUUGGGUUUUUCCUCUUUGAUGUUCCAUGAGAGAGUAUAAUCCUCAUCAUGCCACUUGAAAUCUUUUUGGAGUGAUUAACAUGAUUUUGUAAAUUAUUUUACUGUCUAUUUUUCUUUAUCUCUCUUUUAUUGCUAAUGGACUAGCAAUAUGUCAGUUGGGGGGAGUGAUUACUACUCAAAAAGUACUCUUUUAUAGCUUGAAACUAACUGUUUUAAACACUUUUGAGUAGGUGUUAAUACAUUUUAACUCAAUUGGCACAUUAAGGAACCUAACAAGGGUUACUAAUAAGUUUUUGGCAAGUUUUGGUGUUUUUGGUAGCUAUUUGAUCAUUGAAACAAGCCAAGAAUGAGGGAGAAUUUUGUGAAGUCCAUAGCAAUGCAAGUUAAAGCUCAAAUACAUGAAGAAUCCAAGCUUUGAAGCACUUCAUAGCCCUUUGCGAAGCCAAUCAGAGAUGCAAGGAAGAAAACCAGAGGAAAAAAUCCAACAACCAGCAUUUUCGCAUGGCUGUGCGAAAUUUUGCACACCAUGCGAAACCACAAGAAGUAGCCAAAGAAUUUUGCACACCAUGCGAAAUUUCGCAUGGUAUACGAAAUCUUCCUAUGCACCAACUCCGUUAUAUUUUUAUCUUCAGAUAUUUUGUGUAAUUUCCUAGUUUCUCCUUGUAACCAACCUAGAUAUUUUCUUUUAUAUCUUUUUUUUAUAUUUUUUAGGUAACAUCAUAUAUAGGGGGAGAGACAUAAGGAGGAUAUGGAUGUUUUUCAUAAAACACUUUUAAUUUUCUGGUAGUAAGAAAUAUACAAAGUUUUUUGCUCUGCCUUACCUUCUCAUUUUGUUUUCACCUAUCUUUCUAGCCAAACAACCUCUGAGAAUGAUUUCUCAGGGGAUGAGUAGUUAGGUUUUACGUUUCUUGGAGUGAGAGAAGCUAGGUGAAAGACCCAAAUGCUAAGGUGGGAGUUGUCCUUGCUUUAAAUGAAAGUAGUUGUUAAAUAUUAAUGGUUUUUAUUUUAAGGUUUAGCUUUAAAUCCCUUAAAAACACCUUGAAUGGCCAAUACUUGGUAAGCUUUUCGGAUUCUAUGGAUGCUUAUUGCUAGAUCCAUGGAUGUCAUUAGUUAUCAUUUAUGAGCCAUUGGAAGGUGGUUCAAGAUGAGAGUCUUUAGUGUUUGAAGCCAUUAAUGGGAAACAAUUACCAUUUUUUCAUGAAUCCUUUGGAUAAAAUCUUAAUUGCUAAAUAUAAAACUGGUUCGGGAGAUAACCAUCCUUUAUGUUAUUAUGCCCAAUGCAAGGAGAAGAUUUCGAAUCUUCUCAUUUGUCUAAGGAACCCGAUCCUAGUGACCUAAAGCUCCUAGAGACCUUUUCUUUGUAGUUAACUUCAUUUAUUGUUUUUGCUUAACUUAAAAUCAAUCUUUGCAACCACAAUUCCAUUUUCUUUAAAAGCUAAUUUUUAUAAGGAAAAGCACCAUUUUAUUUCCUUCACUAAGUCAACUGUAUGAUGAAAACCCAUCCCUGUGGACGAUCUUAGAGCCACUAUACUAUGUUAUCUAUGCUAUCCUAGUGUGAGGUGAUUUAGGUUUUAUAAAUUUUGUUGAUAACACCCGUCUGAGCCAGAAUCAAAUGGAACCACUGAACCAGGGACAAAUCAACAGCCUAUAUGGGAGGGACACAAGUUUAAUUGAUUUGCAUUUCAGCGUUAUAGAUAAGUAUGUUUUGGAAGAUUUGUUCUGGAAAUACUGCACCAAGUACGAUUCUUUUUCUCUUGAGUGAGUCCAUUUGCAUGCCAAUUAACGAGUUGAAAAGUAGGAGCACCUACCUCGUGCUCAUGGAACCGAAUGUCAGUGAAGUGGGGCUCCUUUUAGCCUCUUGUGUUUCUGUUCCAACCAAGGCGGCGUAGGGAAAAACAACAAUAUGUCUGUGCUAAAUAUCAACGCAUGAUAGAUGUUUUUUUUUUUUUUUUUGGUAUGUCAAGGCUAACGAAUGAAAUGCAUUAGCUUGUUUUGUGACUAUAACUGCAAAUGUCCAAAUUGGAGUAUCUCCAUUUCUCACUUCGGAUGGUUAACUUUAUAAACAAGAUAUAGGAAACAUGUGAACAUCUUGAGGAACAAUUCAAAUUAUUCAUUAGAAGUCCUGGGUUAAGUUCCAAGAUUUAAAUCAGACCCUUCUAGCAGCUUCAAGGGUACUUAGCAACCUAUAACAUAUUAAUGAAGAUUUAGGAUUUAGACUCCGGAAUACAAAUAAAUAUGUAUCUCAUGCUUUGACUAGCUUCCCUACAUAUGCAUAAAAUGGAGAUGACCCAAAAAAAAUAGCAGAAUCUAGCUUCCCUACAUAUGCACAAAAUGGAGAUGACCCAAAAAAUAGCAUAAUCGCCUUAGUUUCUGUGGUUAAGGUGAUUCUCCGCUUAAUAUCCACAUUGACUCAUUAUGCAAAAUCAACUGAGCUAAUUUUAUUUAUUUAUUUAAUGUCAAAUAGGAACUCCUAAUUAACUGAUUACUGUCGAAAAGUGCUAUUUUGUAGACCUAAUUAUAAGGGUUUUAAGCACCUUUGAGUAGUAAUCAUAUUCAUUUAACCUAAUUAAUUCAUUAAGCUCCUUAGUAAUUAGUUCUAACCAUUUUUAGUGGCAAGUUUACAUGUUUUUCAUCAGCUUAUGAACCAAUUCAAGCAUGCCAAUUGAUGGAGGAGCUACUUGGGCGAGUUAAGCAAGGAUUUUGGACGUUUACAGGCUUGAAUUUCAAGUGGAAACACGAGCACAAGCAAUGGGAACACCAUUUCGCAAGGGGAGGCAAUUCACCUUGCCAAAUGACCAAUUUCGCAAGGGGAUUUUCCUCAUGGUGCAAAAUUUGGUCAUUUCGCACCAUGAAGAAACCACCUUGCAAAAUUUCGCAAGGUGGAUUUAGGCACCUUGCGAAAUGCCAAAUUUCACAAGGUGGCUUUUCACCUUGCGAAAUUUGGACCUUUCAUCUUCCCCCCUUGCGAAAUGCCUUUGAAAUCCCCUGUUUUGAGACGCUGUUGAUGAUAUUCCACUGCCGGUUCUCCAAGAUAUUUUGCUUGACUUUUAGCUUUAUAAAUACCUAUUUUACCCUUGUAAUCAACCAAUGAAAAGGUUGCUUUUGUAAUAGCUCUUGUAAUUUAGCUUUUUAUUGUCUUUAAAUAGAGGUGAAGAGCCUCAGACACGAUCAUCUUGUAACCUGUAACUUUAUAAGUUAUAAGAGCACUUUUGUUCAUACGCUUCUUUUCUCUUUUCUUUCUCAUUUUCUUAGUAGCCAAACAUCCUUGGAGGAUGAAAUCCCCAAGGAUGAGAGGCUAAAACCUUUUAGUUUCUUGAAGUAAUGGAUGCCAUGUGAAGCUCCCGUGUCAGGAUGGAGAUUUCCAAGCCAUAAAUGUAAGUAGCUGAGCGUCAUAAAUGUUUUCAUUCAAAGUAAAGCUUUUAAUCCCUCUGACUUGCUUUGAAUGGCCAAUACUUGAUAACCUUUUGGUCUCAAUGGAUUCUUAUUGUUAGAUCCACUGACGUUCAUUAGUUAUCUCCUACGAGCCAUUGUAUUGCAAGUCGAGGAGAUGACCUAUACCAAUAAAAGAGCAUUUAUGAGGUUCAACUACCCUUUUUGUAAGUUUUCAAGGACUAAAACUCAGUUGUUAAACUCAUACCGGUUCGAGAAGUAAGCAUCACCUUAGUUGCUUCCCCAACUCGAGGUGAAAAGUCCCAAAAUCUCCAUUUUUACACAGUGAGUUAAGCAUGGCUAUCCAAAGCUUUAAGAAACUUCUUUUUCCAUCUUUUAACCUAUUUUCAUGUUAGUUUAGUUUACAACACCUUCAUCUUUUUAUGUUUUCAUCUUAACCUAAUUUUUAUUAAGAAAAGUUCACUCCAUCCUCCGAACUUCACCAGUUAAAGUAAAAACCCUUCCCAGUGUUCGAUCCUAGAGCCACUAUGCUAUAGUAGCUUUGCUACUUUAGUGUAAGGACCUUAGGUAUAAAUUUUGUUGAUACCCUUACAUGCCAAGCUACCAAGAGUCGGGUUAUCAUUAACCUAACCAUUGGCCUGUGUAAAUUGAUUUCACAUGCACAAUGUUGUAGUAGAAGUCCAUAUUUUGAAUUUUAUUUUUGUAAAGGUAAGGAAAAUGAAGCAUUGUGUAAUUAUAAAAAUAACUUCAUUGGAAUUCACAAGGUUCACCCAAAAUGGAGCUACAUCUGUAUUCUAUCCUACAGUAGACUAUAUAGAUUGUACAAUAGUAAAUUGCAAAUACAAUUAAUAAGUCUUGUGCUUCCUUACUAAUAAUCCUUUGACAUGAACAUUGCAGCACUAAGGUCCUCUUGGGAAGACACCUUGCACCCAUGAGAGCACUAAGAGGAAGCAAGGCAGAGUCAUGGGUGCAAUGUCAUGACUUGUUGUUGCACCAAGAGAGGCUUGGUGAUGCCAUGGUGUUGCAGUAGCAAGAAUGUUGCCUUGGCAGGGACACGAUCUAGGGAUAGAUGCCAAGAAAGGCUUAGCACUCACAUGAGUUGCACAAAGAUGAAUGUAAUAGAGCAUCAGAGAGACGUCUUGGCAAGUAAAUGAAUGGAUCCAAGAGACAACAACAUGAGGAGUUUCAAAUGGAUAAGGAAUGACUCAAAGACAUUUGAAAGCUACAAGUUGGAUUCUAAUUACGAUUGCAAUUUGAGUUUGAGUAGGAGUUUAGAUUUUGAUUGUAAUUGUAGUAUGAGUUGGACUAGGAUUGCUUAUCCUUAGUCAAUAUAGGAGCGGUUCGUGUCACCCUAUGAAAAGAGUUUGAGUAGGGACUAGGAUUGCUUACUCCUAGUCAAAUAUGGAGUAGGUGGUGCCACACCUAUAAAAAAAAGGGACAACAUGAGAGAGAGAGAGAGAGAGAAAGAGAGAGUGAAUUCACUAAAGAUAUUGUGGGAGUUUUGCUUUGUUACGUCUUGUAUUAUUACUUAGAAUAGGAAUAAAAUACAAGUUGGGGCUAGAGCCCCAUAAUUAAUCUCGUGUGCCUUUGUGGUUAUUCUUUAUUUGUCAUCUCGUGUGGAUUGGAUUAGGUUGACUUAGAGGGCUUCUAAGCACCACCUUUGUGGGUUAUUAUUUAUUUUCCAUCUCUUGUGGAUUAGAUUAGGUUGACUUAGAGGGCUUCUGAGCACCACCUUUGUGGGUUAUUAUUUAUUUUCCAUCUAUUGUGGAUUAGAUUAGGUUGACUUAGAGGGCUUUUAAGCACCACAUUUGUGGGUUAUUCUUUAUUUUCCAUAUCGUGUGGGUUGGAUUAGGUUGACAAGGAGAAAAAUUAUGUGGGAAAUUUGUGUUGGGACACUUACCAUAACCAAGUAAAAUCUACCAAGUCCUUUGUAAUAUCUUCAACAAAUAUUUUAGACUAGUUCUUUCAGUUAGUGUAAAGGAGGAAGAAGUGGUAUUGAUUCUAGAAAUAGGGUGUGUGUAUUUGAACUACAAUCCUUAUGAUCCUUAGGUCUCUAAACCUUCGUGAUGGGCUCCCUGACAUUUCAUAGGUUGUGCUACACAUGCGUUUGAAAUUUAGAGUGCGUUUGACAGUGAUUCCGGGAAGUGUUUUUGGCCUUUCUUACACUUGAAAAUUUUUAUUUUUCAAGUAUUAGAAAUGCUACAAACACUUUUGAAAAUUACUGUCAAACACACUCUUAGGAGCGCACAUAUAUAGUAGAAAACUAGAAAUUGUGGUUUUUUUAGGAUUUACUGUAAUGUCAUUAGGAGGGUAGUAAGUUGAAAUUGAGUAUGAACAAAUAUUUCUUUCUUUGGGAUGUUCUUCUAGUAGGUGCUGAUGAAACUGUUCUUUCUACUGCCAAUGUCACAUAUCAGCCAGAAAUUGAAAAUUUCAGUCAAGGUGUCCUCUGUUUUAGUGGUGAGGAAAGCUAGAAAUUUUAAGGUGAAGUUUUGUUAAAAACCUUAAGUAGCUGGGAUAUCAGGCCUGUUUUGCUUGAAAAAAAAAGUUGCAAGAUAACUCAUAUGCCAAACAGGUUCUGAUAUUGUGAAUCUAUCGGCAGACAUCAGUAAUCUCAUCUUCUGAGAUGGAUGUUGGGGGUGCAUGUGGUGGUGGAGGGGCAAGGUUUCAUUUGGUUUAUUUUGUUGAUGGAUAUUGUCUAGCCACCUGCGCCAAGUUUGAGGGGUGGUGGGUUGUGAUGACCCUACAAUUACUAUUAAUUUCUUCAUCUUUUACCGAUUAAAGUGUCCGAACAGUCGAAGUUACCCUUAUGCAUGUCAACUUGAUCACUUACCUCUUCAAUGGAGUUUAUGCUGGUUCAUUUAGGAACUGAUUUUUAUUGUUAUGUAUUAUAUGCUGAUGUUUAGGUCUCUCCAUCAUCACUAUAUACAAAAAUUCUAGGUUGAUACUAUAGGUUGAGAUUUAUUUUUUAAAUAAAAAAUAAUAAAAAUAAAAAUUAUGGUGAUGUUUAGUUGUUUUAUGGAAAAUUUUAACAAGUAAAAGUUAUUUUUGGGCAAGUUUUCAAACAAAAAGAAAAGUAAAAGUUGUUUUGACAAAAACAUAUAGAAAAAAAAAUCAUAGAAAAUAAAUAAUUUCCCCAUAUUCUAACUUUUUUGAAUUUUUCUCAAUGGGCAAAGGAAUAUCAAAUCAAGUUUGAGUAGGAUUUCUUAAUUUUUAAAAUAACUUACAAUUAAAAAAUUUUGGUGUUUUCAUUUUUGGACAAUUUUUUAUUAAGCAAAUGGACUCUGAGUCAUGCAAGAGAUAUGGUUCAUUAACCGGUCGAACAAUUUUUUUAAAUUAAUUUAAAAGUCAAAUACAUAAUCAAUUUCACAAAAUUUAUAAACAAAAAUAGGUUUAGAGAAGAUCUACACAUAAUUUUACUUUUCUAAUUUUAUUUUAUUUUAUUUUUUGUUGGAAAAUAGUCUUCAAAUCAUGUAAGAUUUAAUAGGUUAAAUUUGUUAACAAUAAAUUUUAAAUUAUAAAAUAUAAUCUGGAACUCAAAAAUCAAUUCAAGUAAUGCUAAAAAAAAAUCAAAUUUGGUAUAGAAUGACUUUGUAAAUUUUUUUACAAAACAAAUGAAUUUUAAAUCAAGUGAGAUUUAAUGCAUUAGAUUUUUAUCAAAUAUAGUAAUUUUAAAAAUAAAUUUGGAACUCAACAAUAGACACAAUAAAUACCAAAAAAUAAUGAACCAAAAUUGGUUUGGAAUAACUCCACAACCUUUUUUUUUUUUUUUUGGUGCACACGAAUUUUCUUACUAGGUAUAUUGCUUUCAAAUUGAGAAAGAUUUACCAUUUAGAUUUUUUUUUAAUGAGUUUAAUGGUAUUUUAAAAUAAUUCAAAAUUUAAAAAAUUGACUAAUUAAUAUUAUAAAUUGAUAAACCAAGACUAUUUCAAAAUGCAUUGGGGGCUAAGGGGGUUGAAAAUAGGGACAAUGGGAUGGGUUUGGGACAUGACACUCAUAUCUCAUUUCCAUUCCAAUUACACAGUUAUCUCCCAUCCUUAUCCCAAACUUGUGUUGGAGCAAGUUGAUUUGUUCCCAUCUUUGUUGACGAAAUGACUAAUAACCUCAUCCCCUCCUUAUCUUAGAUGUACAUUUUGUCAAAUUUGAUCAGGUAUGAUUGAUCCAAGCCCUAACCCUAAUUGGUAAUGAGUGAAUACUACACCUAAUUGCAUUCUUCUUUCAUUGCAAAAUAAUGAGAUUAUAAUAAUCUAGCAAAUAAGAAAAAAUAGUAUGGAAGUUCAAAUUAACACCAUAACUAUCAAUAAUUUUAAGCUUAUAGAUGACUUAAAUGAUUAAAAACUAAUGCAAAAUCCUAAAAAAAAUAAAAAUCAUAUAAAGAAUUCACAAGAGAACAGAAUGAACAAAAACCAAAUAUGAACAUGGGUCAACAUUAGUUAUGGAUUUGGAUUCCUUUCAAGGCCAAUCUUUGAACCAAGACUUCAUCAAAUCAACUACUUCAAAGGCUUUUGUGUUCUUCUUGGGUUGUGCUCUCAAACAAAGACUUCGAGGUGAUGUUCUAGAUGAUUGAAUUACACAUAUUUAGGGUGGAGAGAUUGGAGAAGCUUGAAGAUGCCAACGAUGGGUACAAUUGAGUGGUCAAUAAGAACAAUGUAGCCUAUGACUAGUUUGAUGUCAUGGUACAAGAGUUUUAGGCAUUGAGGUUAAAGCAAGAGCAACAUGGAAUUGAUUUCGGAGUCUUUCAGUUAGUGUAAAGGAGGAAGAAGUGGUGUUGAUUCUAGAAAUAGGGUUUUAAGUGGUGCGUGAUUACUACUCAAAAAGUGCUAUUUGAUAGCCUUUAAUUAAUCCUUUUUAACACUUUUGAGUAGUAGUUUAGGCCUUUUAACUCAAUUGGCAUGUUAAGGAUCCUUUAAAGCAAUUUUGAUCACUUUGUGCAAGUUUUGGUGUUUUUGUUAGUAUUUUGAUCACCAAAGCAAGUCAAGAAUGAGGAGAACUAUGAGGAAUCAUGGGCAAAGCUUAGAAUUCAAUUGCCAAGAGUGAAUCCGGAUUGCAAGGAGAAAAAGCAAAGAGAAUCUGUCAUGAAGCCUAUUCUUGAUGACAGUCGUAGCAGCCACUUUUGGAGCACUUUCUGAAGUCCAAAUGAUGCAAGCUAUAUACCAUUUCAAAGAUCAGGAAGUCAACAAUCCAAUGCUUCAAACGGUGCGCGAUUCGGAGUUGAAACGAAGAAGUUGCAGCCAUUACAAGCCAGUCACUCUAAAGUGUUGCGGAAUCAGCCUUUUGUUGCGAGAAUUUCGCAGCACUUUUGUACAGUAAGGUGUUUCUCCUUCUGACGAUGCACGAACCAUGCCGCGAGAGGGAAGCUAGGAACUUCAAGAUGGAAGCCAACUUUGCAGCCUGGUGAAGAUAGCUUGGUCUUGCGAAAUAAUUUCGCAGCCCUCUUGGGUGUCUGCGAAAUUUCGCAGGCACCACUUUUUUCCUGCGAAAUGGCUCCGGAAGCCUCCCGAAGCUUGCUACCGACAUUGGGAGAUAUUUUCCAUUAGAUUUUUGUUGUCUAAAUUCCAAAAUACUCCUUGUAAACCACCAAUUACAUGAUUCCUUAGUUUUUAAGUUAGUAAAAAGACCAAAUAUCUAUGUAAUAAUUAGUUUUAUAUUAGUUUGCUAUAAAUACCUCUCGGGAGCAUGUUCUCAGAGAGGAGUUCCUUCUGUAACCAUUUUGGUAAGCAAGUAAAGUCUUUUCUUUCUACUGCCUUACCUUCUCACUUUGUAUUUUCAUUUUAUUUCUAAGUUAUGAAUUCUCUGAGGAGCUUUCCCCAGAGAAUGAGUAACUAAACCUCCAAUUCCUUGGAGCUAAGGUUGCCGGGGAAGGUUCCAAGUGCAAGAAUGCAAAGCUCUGUGGUUUUAGCUAGUAAUGAAGAGGAAGUGAAAUCCUUUAGUGAUUUCAAUGUUUUUAGUUAACUUAAAACACCUUGGAGUCACCUGGGCCAACACUUGGUAAGGCAAGUGAUUUCCAACCGUGGAAAUGCACUAGUUUACCCCUUGCGAGCCUCUGGUAGGUGACUUCAAGGUAGGAUUUUCUGGAAUUACCAACACUUGGUAAGCUUUUGGACUCCUAGGAGACAUCCAUUAGUUAUCUCUUGCGAGUUUGUGAAGGGGAAUCCAAGGUUAAAGAUCACCUUGAAUGGUAAGUGCUCGUGAGAGGCAUGAACCAUUGCAAGUUGUAUCAGUGAGAGAAUUAAAGUGAAAUCUAAUUGAAGGAGUCUCUGUACAUCACCGGUUAGAGAAUUGACUAUAAGUUGAAUCUCUAAUGCGAGGAAAUGAACCAUCUGACCGGAGCUAUGUCUUUUGCAUGAGGAACCACCCCAGUGAACCUAAAUCUCCAAGGAAUGCUUUUCUUCCUAAAUUAUUCCAAACUUCUGUUAAGUUAGUUAGUUUAAGUCUAAACCUUUACCAAUCAAACUUUGUGUUUUAUUUCUUAAGCUAACCGUGAAAUGAAACAAAACCAAUUCACUUGGAAUUGGUAUCCUUGAUUGCUUGCAAAUCAUUCCCAGUGAACGAUCCUUAGAGCCACUAUACUAUAGUAGCUUUGUAUUUGCUACCCUAGUGUAUGGUGUUAUAGGUAUAAAUUUUGUUGAUCACUUCCUCAAUCAAGGAACACCAGCUGAACACAAAUCAGCUGAGACACCAAUUGGGCAUGAGUCAAAUGGCGCCGUUGCCGGGGAAUGAGUGUCAAGAUCAUUGUGAUACCAUUUUUGAGCACUUGUGAUUUUCAUCACAAGUUGGUAAAGUUUCUUUCACUUUACUAAUUUUCAUUCUCUCUUUGUUUAUUUACAAUCUAAGUUUAUCUUUUUAAAAUUUAGUCUAGUUUAAUUUUGCUAUUGUAGCCUUGUUUCUCUUGUUGUCCUCUGUUCUUGUUGUCCUCUGUUUUCAUUUUAGUUGCAGCUGAAUACUAGUUGUGUAUGCCAAAGUGGAUACGAGACAUUGGAGGUAGGCUUAUUAAGUGUGAUACACCUCAGAGAGGAGAAUUGGAAGUAAUCUUGAAUAUCAUGGAGGCUGCACCUGAAGAUCAGCAUAGUCACCAAGGUCGUCAAGACAAUCUCAAUGAAUUCAGAUCAAUGAGGGACCGUAUGCAUCCACCUCGUAUGAGUGCACCAUCAUGUAUAGUGCCCCCUACAGAGCAACUAGUGAUCAGACCAUAUCUUGUUCCACUUCUACCAACUUUCCAUGGGAUGGAAAGUGAGAAUCCGUAUGCACACAUCAAGGAAUUUGAAGAUGUUUGUAAUACAUUCCAAGAGGGAGGAGCUUCAAUUGAUUUGAUGAGGCUUAAGUUAUUUCCUUUUAAUUUAAAGGAUAAGGCCAAAAUUUGGCUUAAUUCUUUAAGGCCAAGGAGUAUCCGCUCUUGGACUGAUUUACAAGCUGAAUUCCUCAAGAAAUUUUUUCCUACUCAUAGAACAAAUGGCUUGAAAAGGCAAAUUUCAAACUUCUCAGCUAAAGAGAAUGAGAAAUUCUAUGAGUGUUGGGAAAGAUACAUGGAAGCUAUAAAUGCUUGUCCUCACCAUGGCUUUGAUACUUGGCUACUGGUGAGUUAUUUUUAUGAUGGUAUGUCCUCCUCAAUGAAGCAACUCCUCGAGAAAAUGUGUGGAGAAGAUUUCAUGAGCAAAAAUCCAGAGGAAGCUAUGGAUUUCUUGAGCUAUGUAGCUGAUGUUUCAAGGGGAUGGGAUGAACCAACUAAAGGAGAAGUGGGAAAGAUGAAGUCUCAGUUGAAUGCUUACAAUGCAAAGGCUGGGAUGUAUACUUUAAAAGAGGAUGAUGACAUGAAAGCAAAGUUGGCAGCUAUGACAAGAAGAUUGGAGGAGCUGGAGCUGAAAAGAAUGCAUGAAGUGCAAGCUGUUGCUGAAGCACCAGUGCAAGUGAAGUUGUGUCCCAAUUGUCAAUCGUUUGAACAUUUGGUAGAGGAAUGCCCUGCAAUUUCAGCUGAAAGGGAAAUGUAUAGAGAUCAAGCAAAUGUUGUUGGACAAUUCAGGCCCAAUAACAAUGCUCCUUAUGGAAAUACCUACAAUUCAAGUUGGAGGAAUCAUCCAAAUUUUUCAUGGAAGGCCAGAGCAACUCAAUACCAACAGCCGGAUCCACCAUCUCAACAAUCUUCAAGUAUUGAACAAAUAAUAGCUAAUCUCAGCAAGGUAGUGGGAGAUUUUGUGGGAAAGCAAGAAGCCACCAAUGCUCGAGUGGAUCAAAGAAUGGACAGAGUGGAUCAAAGAAUGGACAGAAUGGAGAGUAUGUUGAACAAAAGAAUGGAUGGAAUGCAAAAUGAUAUGAAUCAAAAAUUUGAUAACAUCCAAUAUUCAAUUUCAAGGCUUACAAAUUUGAAUACACUGCAAGAAAAGGGAAGAUUUCCUUCUCAACCUAACCAAAAUCCCAAAGGUGUCCAUGAAGUGGAAAGCCAUGAGGGAGAAUCAUCACAGGUGAAAGAUGUGAAAGCUUUGAUCACUCUAAGGAGUGGUAAGAAAAUUGAGCAGCCAACACCCAAGCCACAUGUUGAGAAAGAAGAAGAGAUGAAGAAAGGGAAGGAAAUGGAAGAUAAAGGCAGUGAGAUCAGUGAAGAAAAGAAGGACUCUGAUGCAACAAUGAAAGUAAUUCCAGAGAAGGAGCUUCUGAAGGAAGAAAUGCUGAAGAAAUCAACUUUUCCACCUUUUCCUCAAGCAUUACAGGGGAAAAAGGGGGUUAGAAAUGCAGCUGAAAUCCUAGAAGUAUUGAGGCAAGUGAAAGUUAAUAUUCCACUGCUGGAUAUGAUCAAACAAGUUCCAACGUAUGCAAAAUUCCUAAAGGACUUGUGUACUAUCAAAAGAGGGUUGACUGUAAACAAGAAAGCCUUCUUGACUGAGCAAGUAAGUGCAAUCUUACAGUGUAAGUCUCCUUUGAAGUACAAAGACCCUGGAAGUCCUACCAUUUCAGUCAUGAUUGGAGGAAAGGUAGUGGAGAAAGCCUUGCUAGACUUGGGAGCAAGUGUGAAUUUGCUUCCAUAUUCUGUCUACAAGCAACUGGGACUUGGAGAGUUGAAGCCAACAGCAAUCACUUUGUCUCUGGCAGAUAGAUCAGUGAAAAUUCCAAGAGGGGUAAUUGAGGAUGUAUUGGUUCAAGUAGAUAAUUUCUACUAUCCUGUAGAUUUUGUUGUUCUUGAUACAGAUCCUACUGUAAAGGAAGCUAAUUUAGUUCCUAUCAUCCUUGGAAGGCCAUUUCUUGCAACUUCAAAUGCAAUCAUCAACUGUAGAAAUGGGCUUAUGCAACUCACUUUUGGUAACAUGACACUGGAUCUAAAUAUUUUCUAUAUGUCUAAAAAGCAAAUCACUCCAGAAGAAGAAGAGGGUCCAGAAGAGCUAUGUAUUAUUGAUACUUUGGUGGAGGAGCACUGCAAUCAACAUAUGCAAGAUAAGUUGAAUGAAAGUUUUGUGGAUAUUGAGGAAGGUUUUUCUGAAUCUCCUAAUGGGCUUGCUACUCUACAAAGUUGGAGAAAGAUAGAAGGAAUUCUACCUUUGUUCAAUGAAGAAGAGGAGGCAGCUGUUGAAAAAGAAAUUCCAAAACUCAAUCUGAAGCCUUUACCUAUGGAGCUGAAAUAUACAUAUCUUGAAGAAAAUAAUCAAUGUCCUGUCGUAAUAUCUUCAUCUCAAACCAAGUCUCAAGUGAAGGAUGCAAGCUUCAAAUGGGAUCCGGGCAAACUGAAUCAGGAAGGGCAAAAAGUUUUGAUGUAUGACACAAGACUCCAUAUCUUUCCUGGGAAGCUCAAGUCAAGGUGGAUUGGUCCAUUUGUUAUUCACCGAGUAUAUUCCAAUGGAGUGGUGGACUUAUUGAAUUCCAAUGGCAAGGACAGCUUUAGAGUCAAUGGAUAUCGUCUUAAGCCGUUCAUGGAGUCAUUCAAAUCAGAAAAGGAGGCAAUCAACCUCCUUGAACCUCAAAAAGCCUAAGUGAAAUGGGUUUGCUGGACGUGGUUUUACCACAGUCCAAAAAUUUUUGUAAAUUUUGUAAAUUUUCAAGUUGUUUCCAUGCUUUUAAUCUUAGUUUUUGAUUUUAAAUCAUGUUUUUAGGUGUGUUUUAAUCGUUUUAUAUGAUCCCAGGCGGAAGAAAUUUCAAGGGGAUUGAAAAGAAAAAAAUCGGGUCGAAAUUGGAGCCGAAACAGAGCAAAAACAGGGGAAAAACAGAGCUCUGCGAAAUUUCGCAGGGUGAAGGAAACUUCUGCGAAAUUGGCAUUUUGCUGCCAAACCAUUCCGCAGCACUGUAGAAGCCUCUGCGAGUGUAUUUCGCAAUUGCGAAAGUGGAUUUGGCACACGAGUGCCACUUCGCAGCACAGUGACAUCAAUUUCGCAGCUGCGAAACUCACUGCGAAGUUGCUGCGAAAAUGGCAAGUUGCUGCGAAAUUGGCGUUUUGUUGCGAAACGUAAUCUGACCCCUGGGCUUCCGUUUUUCCUAUUUAUACCUGUCAAAAGUGCUGCGAAAAAGGUUUCAAAAAUUAGAGCACCAUUCUCGCAGCCCUUUCAUCUUCUUCGCCAAGCCACGCCGUCCGUUUCUCCGGUCGUCUUCUCCGUUUAGCAGCGCCGGCCAAAGAUCGAUAGCCCAAAAAUGGCACGAACGCGAGGGGCAAAGUCUUCAUCCCCUUCGAACCGCAAAAGGAGUCUGCGAAAGGAGCCAAGUUCAGGCUCUGUUCCAGAACCUGCUCCAAAGCCUUCGCCGUCGAGACCACAACCUUCUCCAGUGAAGCCGGCGCCACCAAAGCCGCCGGCAAGGCGAUAUUUAACCAGGUCAGGUGGUCAGCCAUUGAAGAAGAAAGCCAGAGUUGAGAGCUCUGAACCAAUCGAUUUGACUGAGCAAUCCCCUGAGAAAUCACCAAAUCCUUCACCGGUACAAAUUCCAGUGCCAUCACCGGUUCCCUCGCCAAUUCCCUCACCAGAAGCAACUCCAAUUCCAUCGCCGGUACCAUCUCCGGCACCCCAAGAAAAAGCUCAGGAGCCUCAAGCGCCAAUUCCAGAGCCCCAAAUUGCAGCUGAAGCACCUCUGGAAGAAGUGAUCCGAAGGCCAAUGCUGCCUCAGCCCCCAAUCGAAGGAAACCUGGAUUGCCGAACUCGGGCAUUCCAUUCUGAGCUUUGCUUCGAUUUAACAGCAUUCAGAGUGAGGCCAGAGCUUGCCCAAUCCUUCCAACUGCUGAGGAGAUAUCAUAUGGAGCAUCUGCUAGCUCCAAGGGAUUUUUUCUAUCCCCGGGUAGUCACGGAUUUCUACCAAACCAUGACAACCAAAGAAGUAAGAAAUCCAACUCUGAUUCAUUUCAUAAUUGAUGGAAGGCAUGGUAUUUUGGGAGCAAGACAUAUUGCUGAAGCCCUGCAAAUUCCUUUUGAGCCAACUCAAUUCGACAAUUUUAAAGCUUGGACAAAUCCUACUGAGUUAGAGAUGGUUAGCACACUAACCAGAGGAGCUGCAAAUCGAUCGCAUUUGUUGAGGGGGGAGCUACCUCCAGUUAUGUUUUUGAUUGAUGCCUUUUUGAGGCAUAAUAUCUAUCCCCUGCAGCAUUGGACCCAAAGAAGGGGAAUUCUCCUAGAAGCCUUGUACAAAAUGUCUGAAGGAUUCUUCUUUGGGCCUCAUCAUCUGAUCAUGGCAGCCCUUCUAUACUUUGAGGAGAAGGUUCACAAGAAGAAGCUUCAAAGAGCAGAUUGCAUUCCACUCCUCUUCCCAAGGCUGCUAUGCCAAGUUUUGGAGCAUCUCGGAUACCCCUCUGAGCCUCAGCAGGAAAGAAAGAGAAUAUGCCGUGAGCCUUUUACCCUUGAUAAAUGGAAUAAUAUGACGGCCUACAAAAUUGAUCAGCCUGGGCAGCCUCAGCCAGCAGCAAGGAGAGUCUCCCCAAGACAUAUACCUGAAGGUAUAACACUUGCUACUCCUGCCAUCCCUCGAGCUCCACCAGCUGCACCUGCUCCAUCACAGCCAUCCACAUCAGCUGAGCCGAGGAUGGCCAUCCCUAUAUCCGAAUAUCGAGAGCUGUGCCGUGCAUUGGAGACUCUUACAGCUUCUCAGAGCAAUCUUGCUCAGGAGUUGGCAGCCAUUAAAGCAUGCCAGGAGCAGAUGUUAGCCUCUCAGACUCAACAAGCUGCCAUCCUAAGGCAGCUUCAAGUCCAUUUCGAUCUGCCACAAGCUGUAGAGCCCUCUAUUCCUACUCCACCAGAGCCACACUCUCAGCCUUCAGAGUCUCAUCCUCCAGAACCCGAAGCACCAGCUGAUCCACCUACUGAGGAGGCAGAUCCUUCUGCCUAGCACCAUCACCCCCCUCAUCAGACAUUAUAUAUAUAUUUGCUGUUUAUGUUUUUAUGCAUGUUUGUUUUGUUUUAGUUGAAAAGAAAUCCCAGUAUUUUGGUACUAUAUAUGGGAUUCCUUGUGUUACUUGUCUUUAGUAUUGUAAUCACAUGAACUCAAAGUAAUACAAGUUGACUAUUUCUUGUUAAAAGUUAGCAUUAAAGUUUCCUUAUUUCCUUUUCUCACAUAUUCUAUUCUUUUUGAAACAUGUGGUUUUCCCCAAUCAAUAUUCGAAUUUGAUAUCAGCAUGGAGGUACCACUUCCUCCCUUUUAUUACAGUCACUCAAAUCACAUUGAGGACAAUGCUCAGUUCGGUUGGGGGGUAUGAGGAAGGAAGUAUUCUAAACCUUUUUGGUAUUGCAAUUAUAUUGGUUAAUUAGUUGUAGAUUUUACUUUUUACUAGUGUUACUCUAUUCUCCAUGAAUUUUGAGGAAAAAUUUUCAAAUUAAACCAAGAGAAAUUGAACUGUUGUUUUUCACUUGACUUAGAGUAUGGAUUAUGCUUACUAAAGUGGUUCAAUUGUUGAAACUUCUACUGAAAUUGAAUUGAGUUCUUCCACUUUAAGCUAUCCACACACUGUGCACAUUAGUUUCCGAUUAUAAGAUGAAAAGCUAUUUCCCUCUUGACUUAGUAUAUUUUUGGGACUUGGUAUAUUUGACCUCAUUUGAUAAAAAUUGAAACACCCUGCAAAAGGCCAAUGAGCCUUUGAAAUAAAGAAAGUUGUUUGCUUGCCUUGAAACCCGAGCAAGGUCUGAGGGGUAUAUGGUGAAAAUCUUUAAAGCCUGGUGCCCUAAGCCUUAAUUGGUUGGGAGUCACCGACCUCAAUGCUCGUUACAAGGGUGAAUAGGUAGAGUUAGCAUAUGGUAGAUGCUUGGGUAUUAGAAAUUCAUUCUUAAAAGUCCGGGGAAAAAUCCGAGGAGUUAGUGGUUGAAAGAUCCUUAAAACUUGGUGCCCUAAACCUUAAUUGGUUGGGAGUCAUCGAUGGACCCCCAUUACAUGGACAAGUCAGAAAGAGUACCCCAUAAAGCUACCUUAAAAAAAAAAAAAAAAAAAAAAAAAAAAAAAAAGAUGAAAGUGUGUUCUUUUCUUAUUGAUUUUGGUCAGUUUGCUAAAGUGUUGAAAAGAGAUAGGUUGGGGGGUGAGAUUAGUAGCAUAUUAUUCUCGGAACCUAAGGAACCAAUACACAUAGAUUUUUGUGGAAGAUUGAAGUUUAGUUCUUAGAAAAUGAAAUGAUUUUAAAACUUCAGUUUGCAUAAUGCACUCCCUUGAUUGACAGUGUUUAGCAUAGGUGUUAUGACUCUUGUUGAGAUUUGGGUUUGUAUUUCUUUAAUGAUUCAUGUGAGAAAUAGAUCAUCAUGCCACUUGAGAAUUAUUUUCCUUUUAGCAUGAUGUUGUAAAUUUUAGAUUAGUUUGCUAUUUAUUUUUUAUUUUCUCUCCUAUAUUGCUAAGGGACUAGCAAUAUGUCGGUUGGGGGGAGUGAUUACUACUCAAAAAGUGCUAUUUGAUAGCCUUUAAUUAAUCCUUUUUAACACUUUUGAGUAGUAGUUUAGGCCUUUUAACUCAAUUGGCAUGUUAAGGAUCCUUUAAAGCAAUUUUGAUCACUUUGUGCAAGUUUUGGUGUUUUUGUUAGUAUUUUGAUCACCAAAGCAAGUCAAGAAUGAGGAGAACUAUGAGGAAUCAUGGGCAAAGCUUAGAAUUCAAUUGCCAAGAGUGAAUCCGGAUUGCAAGGAGAAAAAGCAAAGAGAAUCUGUCAUGAAGCCUAUUCUUGAUGACAGUCGUAGCAGCCACUUUUGGAGCACUUUCUGAAGUCCAAAUGAUGCAAGCUAUAUACCAUUUCAAAGCUCAGGAAGUCAACAAUCCAAUGCUUCAAACGGUGCGCGAUUCGGAGUUGAAACGAAGAAGUUGCAGCCAUUACAAGCCAGUCACUCUAAAGUGUUGCGGAAUCAGCCUUUUGUUGCGAGAAUUUCGCAGCACUUUUGUACAGUAAGGUGUUUCUCCUUCUGACGAUGCACGAACCAUGCCGCGAGAGGGAAGCUAGGAACUUCAAGAUGGAAGCCAACUUUGCAGCCUGGUGAAGAUAGCUUGGUCUUGCGAAAUAAUUUCGCAGCCCUCUUGGGUGUCUGCGAAAUUUCGCAGGCACCACUUUUUUCCUGCGAAAUGGCUCCGGAAGCCUCCCGAAGCUUGCUACCGACAUUGGGAGAUAUUUUCCAUUAGAUUUUUGUUGUCUAAAUUCCAAAAUACUCCUUGUAAACCACCAAUUACAUGAUUCCUUAGUUUUUAAGUUAGUAAAAAGACCAAAUAUCUAUGUAAUAAUUAGUUUUAUAUUAGUUUGCUAUAAAUACCUCUCGGGAGCAUGUUCUCAGAGAGGAGUUCCUUCUGUAACCAUUUUGGUAAGCAAGUAAAGUCUUUUCUUUCUACUGCCUUACCUUCUCACUUUGUAUUUUCAUUUUAUUUCUAAGUUAUGAAUUCUCUGAGGAGCUUUCCCCAGAGAAUGAGUAACUAAACCUCCAAUUCCUUGGAGCUAAGGUUGCCGGGGAAGGUUCCAAGUGCAAGAAUGCAAAGCUCUGUGGUUUUAGCUAGUAAUGAAGAGGAAGUGAAAUCCUUUAGUGAUUUCAAUGUUUUUAGUUAACUUAAAACACCUUGGAGUCACCUGGGCCAACACUUGGUAAGGCAAGUGAUUUCCAACCGUGGAAAUGCACUAGUUUACCCCUUGCGAGCCUCUGGUAGGUGACUUCAAGGUAGGAUUUUCUGGAAUUACCAACACUUGGUAAGCUUUUGGACUCCUAGGAGACAUCCAUUAGUUAUCUCUUGCGAGUUUGUGAAGGGGAAUCCAAGGUUAAAGAUCACCUUGAAUGGUAAGUGCUCGUGAGAGGCAUGAACCAUUGCAAGUUGUAUCAGUGAGAGAAUUAAAGUGAAAUCUAAUUGAAGGAGUCUCUGUACAUCACCGGUUAGAGAAUUGACUAUAAGUUGAAUCUCUAAUGCGAGGAAAUGAACCAUCUGACCGGAGCUAUGUCUUUUGCAUGAGGAACCACCCCAGUGAACCUAAAUCUCCAAGGAAUGCUUUUCUUCCUAAAUUAUUCCAAACUUCUGUUAAGUUAGUUAGUUUAAGUCUAAACCUUUACCAAUCAAACUUUGUGUUUUAUUCCUUAAGCUAACCGUGAAAUGAAACAAAACCAAUUCACUUGGAAUUGGUAUCCUUGAUUGCUUGCAAAUCAUUCCCAGUGAACGAUCCUUAGAGCCACUAUACUAUAGUAGCUUUGUAUUUGCUACCCUAGUGUAUGGUGUUAUAGGUAUAAAUUUUGUUGAUCACUUCCUCAAUCAAGGAACACCAGCUGAACACAAAUCAGCUGAGACACCAAUUGGGCAUGAGUCAGUGCGUUAGAGGAUCAAGAAGAAGAAAAAGAAGGAACUGUUGGAAUUAGUAUGAGUGUGAAGAGAAAAGUAUAUAAAUAAGGGGAAGUAAAAGCAAAGUUCAAAAAGCUAUAUUUUUUUAUUGUUGGUGUAUGGUUGCAUGAUUAUCCCUAUAAAUAAUAGGAGUUUUUUGGUAUUCUACUAGUAGUUGAAGCAUAAUUUCAUAAAUUAAUAUUUAGAGCGGGGUGGGGUGAGUUGUGACAAAAUUCAUACCCGUCCCAAACCUUGGUUCAGAUUUUUAAAAUAUUCUCAAACUUAUCAUAUACCCAACUUUUAUAUUUCAUACUUGUCCUAAUAGAGGCACGUUAGGCCGGGUUACUUGAGUAACCUACAUAAUUGUCAUCCCUAGUUGAAAUACACUUUUUGGCAGUGGCCACCAACUGAGCUAGAAGCUUGAUUGAUUGACCUACAAGAUUAGUUCUCAUCAUUUUAAAAAAAGUUCUGGCUUUGGUUGUGAGUGCAAUUGAAUCUAAACUGGCAUUUGCUUAAUGCAUCUACUUCAAUCCUAAACUUCUUACUUCUUAAGCCUCAAUUGUUGUUAGGAUUUUGGAAAACCCAUUUCCUUAAAUUGUAAAUUUAAGAUAAAAUAAAAUAAAAGUGAGACAUUUCUUGAUUGAAUAUUGUUAAAGGUCCCUUGGCAUUAAGACUUGGUUGAAGCCUUGGAAGAUUAGUGGAACUCUCAACAUGUGUUUGAAUCUUGAGGAGAGUGGAUGUAAGCCAAAAUUUUGUCAAACCAUUAUACAAAUUGAGUUUGAAUCCUCAUUUCUUGAUUUCUUAUUUAUUUGCUUUUUCUUAUUAUUACUUGAAUUGUCAUUUGCAUUCAUUAAUGUUAAAAUUGGUUAUAAUUAACCAACACUAAUUCUCUUUCCCCUUCCCUUUCUUGGGUGUAAACCUAGGUUGGAUUAACUAGAUAAAUCUAUUAAGAUGGUAAAAGAAUAAUUAUUCUUAACAUACAUAAGAUCAUCUUCAAUCAAAUGACUCAUUGGCUAAUAUGUUGAAUUUGCUUAUUACUUGCAACUCAAAAUUGUGUUCUAGUUGUGUCAAGUCCCCAGUGUAUGGACAUUAAAUUUGUAGUACGUGAUGAGUAAUUAGAUGGUCCAACUCCAAGAAAGUGAUUGAAAAGUAGUUCAAGAAAGGUGCAAAAGGGAAUUGUUUUGGUAUUUUCGUUUUUAUUCUUGAAGGUGGCAGAGCUAAAAUUUGAGAAAUCAAGCAAAACAUACUGAAAUUACAUUGAAAGAAAGAAGAUGGGAGUUAAUGUCUUGCAGUACAUGAUAAGGACUUCAUGCAUGUAGUGUGACCCAUGUCUUGGACUGAUGCCAACUCACGGUUACACUUAUACCCUUGGUUCUCUCUUUACUACCUUGGCUAACCUAGAUCAGGCUAUGAGAUAGGCUCCUCACCACACCAUUACUUGCCCAUUAAUUAGAGACAUUUUCAAGCAAUGAGGUAACAUGGUGACACCAAGAGGGUCUAUUCCUCGCCCGGAACAAGUCUAGACUUGGUCUCAAAAAAAUGGAGAAAAAUGAGGUGUCGUUAUGUAGAAAUACAACAACCAUGCCUUCCUCAUUACUUAGAUUCAGAAUGUGAAGGUGAAAUUGAGAAACAGAAACUCUUGAAACCAAAAUGAAAAUUGAUACUUUUACGAAGAAUUACAACAACAUUAGAGGAAGACUACAUUCUUCCUCUUUAUUCCUACAUUUCUACACUACUUCUACUCCACUCCAUAUUUCUACAUACAUCUUUAAUCAGUCUUCCCUCCUUUAUAUAGAGCCAUCUUCACACAAAUUUCGCAAGGUAGAAAAGAGGAAUGAAACUUGGAGCAAGGUUCGACUACUGGUUGUAGCUUGUCAAGGCUGGAAGUGAACUUUUCUUGGCUUUCUGGGCAUGGGUAGUAACUUGUGGGUUCCUGUUUGGCAUAAAAAUGGCUAGAACAUGUGGCACUAUCUUGUUGGAUGAUGUGUCAAGCAUGUGGCAGCCAUCUAGUGGCGAUUAUGUCAAUUUUGGGAUGGAGAGUUGGCAUCCAAUUGCAAAGAAAUAUGACGUCUACCAACAUGCAAUGUAAACCUAUGUAGAUCAUAUGAAGAUAGAGAGGAAAAAUAUAGAAAUGGAUAUAUACCUAGAACUAGCUUUUUAUUAAAUGAAACGGAGAGACAACAAUGAAGGAAAAUAAAAUUUUUUGGCUUAUAUCAAAGAGUUCACAUUGUGUUACCCUAGGUUUUCUUAAAACUUACUUUUAUGAUAACAAAAAAGAAAAAACCAUUAUUGUUUAAUCCUUUGUUUUAAACGCAUGUAAGGUGUAAUUAAGUUAGUUCAAUGCAUUAAUUUAAGAAACUUGACCUAUCAAAAGUACAAAAUUAGAUGAAAUCCAUUUCAAUGGUUAAAAUGAUCAAAAUCAAACUUUUUCUAAGUAUUUUUUAAAAGCAUCAAUAGUGAAAGACAAUUUUAUAUUUAGUCGGAGUUUGGACAAAACUGAAAAACACACAAAAUCCAAGCGACCAUCUCUAGCUUGGAUGGUCGCUUGAUCCCACCUAGAGAUGUGCAUGAGUAAAAGGAUUUGAAAAUGGAAAUUGACUAUGUAGUCGAUCAAUUAACUUUGCAACAUCAUAUGCAAUCCUAAUUGCUAGUCAUCUAAUCAAUUAGGUAGUCAAUCAACAGGCCAAAAAUAUGUUUAUAAUGACUAUUUUGUACAAAAACCACCUGUAUAGUUAAAUAUAAUGCAUUUCAUUUAUAAAUCUUCUAAUUCUUGAAUAACGAUCCUAUCAUCCUUUGAAAGUUUUUAUUACACUUUUUUUACUUUUGUUCUAAAACUUACACAUCACCCUUAAUUGUACCAUGAGAACCUAGCUAUUUUUUAUUUUUUUUUUUGUAAUUCAUCAAAGUUAGCUUUUGUAUUCAUUGUUGUAUUAUUUUUAGUAUAACUUAGAAAGCUAGUGUUUUCAAGUGAGUAAAAUUAACUUGUAAAUAUUGUAAAGAUUCAUCGACAUGUAUCUUAAACUAAGUGUACAAGUUAAAACAUUUGCUAGUAGAUUUUCUCAAAAUUUAGAAUAGAGCUUGAGACUAUUGAAAUAGGUGGGGUUGCACCAAACCACAUCACAUCGUUGUUUGCACCUUUUUUCACUCUCUUUUACUUAGUUGCUCUAUAUUUGUUGUCUAGUAAUAUCCUAUAGGCUUGAUGGGUUAGGGAGCAUCCCUUUGUGAAAAAAUUUUAUUCAAUCCUUAGUUGUAUCACGCAUAUAUAAAAUGCCUCAUUGUUUUAAUGGUAUUCAGUCGUGGCAUCACAGAUAUGGGCAUCUAAAUUUUAAAAGUUUGAAACUUUUAUCUAAAGAAAAUAUGGUGCUUUGCCUUUUUGUAAAGCAUGUUGAUGAAAUCCAUGAGAAUUGUGUACUUGGGAAGCAACACCGAGAUGACUUUUUUUUUUUUUUUAUAAUAUUGUUUGUCCAAAUUCCCUACAAAUUAGGCCACCAGAUGUUCAUAAUUCUCCCUUCUUGAAUUUGAAAACUCGGACAAUUGGACAAUGCGACACCUAAGUCCGGUUUCUAAAUGCUAAAGUGAAAGGGUAGGUAUGGACCAUUGAAAUGUGAUCACAACUUUUCUCUGUAGCCAUGUUGUCUCUUUUUUCUUUUGCAUGAUUUUCUUACCUUAACAGAAUCAUAGACUUGUUUAGUCUCUAAAUGGGAUUAAUUUCAUCCAGCUUUAAGCUACUAUAUUAUAUCUAGGUGGAGGACUUUUAAGAGUGCAACCGACAUAGAGCACAUGGAAGUGGGUAUAUGGGACAUGAAAUUUCUUCUUAUAAAGAUUGCAUGAUUUUUAUAUUAGAGUUGUUGAGGCGCUAUGUAUUUAGCUUGUUUUGCAGUUAAAUUAAUUGGAUAAGUAGACAUUGGCGUUUCUAAAUCUACUGUGAAGUGCUUCAUGUACGUGUGAAGUAUUAGAAAUUUCUUUCUUGGCAACUUGUUUUUCUUUGCGGUCUACUGAUAGGUUUGACUAAAAUUAUAUUCCCUGUCAUGCUAAUUAAUUUUCACGUGCAUGCUCAAAAGAAAAGUAUGACCUUAGUGCACCAAAAUCACUUUGAUUAAUUUGUGAUAGGUUUUUGUGCAUCAUGACAUUAGCCUUAUUCAUUUAGAUAAUGUUUAGUUUUUAGAAAGUAUUAAGAAAAGGAAAAUAAAUAUUAAGAAAAAUAUUCUUAUAUUUGAUUGUAUUAUGAAAAAUAUCAUAAAAAAAUCAAAUAUAAUUUAAAUUAAUUAAUAAUUUAUACAUUUUCAAAUUAUUUAAUCUUUAUAUUGAAGAUAUAAUAUAAAUGAAAUGAGUUUUAAGUAUUAUAUAAAAGUGAUUUAUUGAUCUUACAUAUAUAUAUUUCUUUUUUUUUUCCUUCUAUUUUUUCUCUUUAUUUUAUUUUCCUUAUGUUUUCCUCAACAUUUUCCGGAACCAAACAUAGCCUUAGGAAAUCCACAAUUACCUUCAACUGAGUAGAUUCUGUUGUUUUAGCAAUGUUAGGCUGCUAACUUGUGUUGGUACGAACCUAUUAAGCCUAAAGAUGUAAUUAGUUAGGAUAUUCUUUUCCCUCUAGUCUUGUAGCUCCACGUGUACAGUUGGUUAGGACCUCAUUGUAUAUAAUGCUUGCCCUGUUAUUGUAGAAGACAACAAAGAUAAAUAAUAUUAACAUUUUUCCUCUCAUCUCUCUCUGUUUCCCUCUGUUUUCAUCUCCUCUCUCAUCUUGGUAUCAGAGCCUCCAUGGCUUCUUUCAAAGAAACCUCCGAAUCACCUUCUGCUAGCAUUGUUAAUGUGCAAAACCCAUUAUCUCAAUCAAACAACCUUCCUUCACCAGUAGCCACACCCUCUUUUUCUUUCUCGUCUAUGAAUCAACCUCUCACAGUGAAGCUGGAUAAUGGGAACUACCUCAUAUGGAAGAAUUAGCUUCUAAAUGUCAUCAUUGCUAACGGACUCGAUGAUUUCAUUGACGGAUCUCGACCCUGCCCUCCUCGAUUUCUCGAUCUGCAACAACAAACCCUCAAUCCAGAGUACUCAGCUUGGCAGAGAUACAAUCGACUUCUGAUGAGUUGGCUGUACGCAUCCUUGUCCAAAGAUAUAAUGGCUCAGAUUGUUGGGUAUUCAACAGCUAUGGAGAUUUGGAAUGCCCUUAAUCAGAUUUACUCUGCCUCUUCUAUGGCGCGGUUUACUGAGCUUCGCACCAAGCUUCAAACGCUCAAGAAAGAUGGACUCUCAGUUGGUGAAUAUAUUCAAAGGCUCAAAUCCAUUUGCAAUAGUCUUGCAGCAAUAGGAGAACCAGUUUCUGAGAAAGACCAUCUUAUCUAUUUGUUCAAUGGAUUAGAUUGUGAGUAUUAUUCUUUUGUUACCUCCAUUCAAAAUCGAUCUGACCAACCAACUAUUGACAAAAUCCAUAGCCUAUUGCUUAGCUAUGACUUCCGGCUUGAACAACAAAACUCUGUUUCUCUCCAUUCUGCCCAAGUCCAUAUGGCUCAUCUGAACAAGAAACCUUAUAAAUCAACUCCUCAACCUACAUUCAAUCAUAUUCACAUUCAACCUAGAUACUCUUCUCCACCUUUUAAGCCAACCACUAGUCAAUAUCAACCCAACAUUUUGGGCAAACCACAACCACAACCAUGACAGCCUCAACCUCAAUGGAAACCACAUUUUUCAAUCUAAAAUCAAAAGCCUCAGCGCCAAAUUUGUGGUAAAUUUGGACACACUGCUCUUAUUUGCUUCCAUCACACAAAUUUGAACUAUUCACCCCAACCUUCUCCUAAAUCUUUCAAUACUGUUCUCACCACAAAUUCCCAGCUCCCUAAUCCUCCAAAAUUUUCUUACCCUACAAUGGCUCAUCCUGCUGCUACGCAUAACACGGUUCCCGAUACAAAUUGGUACAUGGACUCAGGUGCUACACAUCACUUUACUCUGGACAUCAACGUGCUUGACACUGUGACACCAUUUAGUGGUUCAGAACAGGUGACAGUUGGGAAUGGUAAGCAACUCUGUAUCUCACAUCUUGGUACUGCAAAACUACCAUCUUCGUAUUCUCCUCCUGUUCUACAUCAGGUAUAUCACACUCCAAAAAUUUCAAAUAAUCUUAUUAGUGUUAAAAAAUUGUGUUCUGAUAAUAAAGUUUUUGUUGAAUUUUAUGCCACUCAUUUUCUUGUCAAGGAUCAGGUUUCGAAGAGAGUUCUCCUUUAGGGUCAACUUGAUAAUGGCUUAUACAAAGUUCAGUCGUCAUGCUCUCCUUCUGCUGUUUCCUUUCCUCCUCAAGUUUUCAUAGCCAACAUCAAGUAUCCAAAUCUGUGGCACAAGAGACUAGGCCACCCAGCUUUAUCUGUUGUUAAUCAAAUCUUGGAUUCUUGUAACAUUGCUCGAACACAGAAAAUUUGUUUUAAUUUUUUAAAUUCUUGUCAAUUAGCAAAGAGCCACAGGCUUCCUUUUUCUCUGUCUCCAUCCAUUGCAGAAAAACCUUUUGAGUUAAUUCAUACAGACCUAUGGGGUCUUUCGCUCGUUCGCUCUAUUUCUGGUGCUCUUUAUUUUUUACUUUUCAUUGAUGAUCAUACUCGUUUUACUUGGUUUUAUUUGCUCAAAACAAAAGAUGAAGCAUAUCCUACUUUUCUCAAGUUUCAAGCUCUCAUUGAAAAUCAAUUUAAUACCAAGAUUAAGGCUGUCCAAUCUGAUUGGGGAGGUGAGUUUCGAUCUCUCUCCAUACCGUUUUCAAAUAUGGGCAUUGUCUAUUGUUUAUCGUGUCCAUACACCUCACAACAGAAUGGGCGAGUUGAGCGAAAAAAUCGCCAUGCGAUUGUCCUUUCUUGCUUGCUCUAUGCCCUUAUCUUAUUGGCCUUAUGCCUUUCAAACUGCCACUUACCUUAUUAAUCGUCUCUCUACCCCUGUGCUGCAUCAUCAAUCCUCUUACUUCGCACUCUAUCACAAACUCCCAACUUAUACUCAUCUUAAGGUCUUUGGUUCCUCUUGUUUUCCGUAUUUGCACCCUUAUAAUACCCAUAAACUCCAAUACAGGUCACUAGAGUGUGCUUUUCUUGGUUACAGUUCACACCACAAAGGUUAUCUAUGUCUUGACAUUCAUUCUAGCAGGGUGUAUAUUUCUCGCCAUGUGAUUUUUAAUGAAGAUUCUUUUCCAUUCAAGAAUUUGAAAUCUUCUCUCUCUCAGUCUAUUUCUUCUUCCUCUUCUUUAUAAGUUCCUCUGUUCAUUCUCUUGCCUCCCCUUUCCCCAUCUCCUCUUAUUUCUUCAUCUAUACCUCAUUCUUUUCCCUCUUCUUCUUCUACCUCUAGUACUUGUUCCCCUCUCGUUGCUCCUACCUCUCUUCCUUCCUCUUCACACUCUGUGUCUCCAUCUAUUCCACCUCCUUCUCCACCUUCUCCGAGUGUGGACCUGCUUGCACCUUGUGUGAAUACAAAUUUACAUACUUCUUCUCGCACUCACAAUAUUCAUCCUAUGGUGACUAGAUCUAAGGUUUGUAUCUAUAAACCUAAGUUGUUGUUGAGUGUCUCCAUAGGUUCUCUCACUAAGCCUACUUCCUUUCUUCAAGCUAUUAAAGAUCCUUCAUGGAAGCAAUCCAUGGAAUUCGAGUUUGCUACCCUUCAACACAACAAGACCUGGCAUUUGGUUCCUUCACCUUCCUCAGGCGAAGUAAUCGGUUGUAAAUGGGUCUAUAAGCUAAAGCUUCAGCCUGAUGGCUAAAUUGAGAGAUACAGCCUGCUUAGUAGCUAAGGGUAUCAUCAAAUUGAAGUAUGGACUACUUCGAAACAUUCAGCCUGAUNNNNNNNNNNNNNNNNNNNNNNNNNNNNNNNNNNNNNNNNNNNNNNNNNNNNNNNNNNNNNNNNNNNNNNNNNNNNNNNNNNNNNNNNNNNNNNNNNNNNAGCUUCAGCCUGAUGGCUAAAUUGAGAGAUACAAGGCCUGCUUAGUAGCUAAGGGUUAUCAUCAAAUUGAAGGUAUUGACUACUUCGAAACAUUCAGCCUGAUUGUCAAGCUUUCUACUAUCUGUAUUGUGCUCAGUCUUACUUUUUCCCAGAAUUGGUGUAUUAGACAGCUGGAUGUUCAUAAUGCCUUCUUACAUGGUGACUUAGCUAAAGACGUUUUCAUGGAACAACUGCCUGGAUUUGUUGAUCCUCUCUAUCCUACUCAUGUCUGCAAGUUGGAUAAGUCUCUCUACUGUCUUAAAUAGUCACCUCGGGCUUGGUAUACUAAGCUGAGUACUUCUCGCUACACUUGGGAUUUGUUACUUCUAAGAAUGACUCUUCCUUAUUUAUUUGUCAUUCGUCUCAUGGGUUACUUCUUGUUCUUGUCUAUGUGGAUGAUAUAAUCGUCAUUGGGAGCCACUCUCCUCAGGUUACUCACCUUAUCCAACAGUUGCAUCAUUAGCUUUCUUUAAAGGAUCUUGGUCCUUUACAUUAUUUUCUGGGCUUGGAGGUUCAUCACACCCCUACUGGUAUUCACCUCAGCCAAGCAAAGUAUAUCACUGAUCUCCUUACCCGGGCGGCUAUGUUGGAUGCCAAGCCAUGUCCCACUCCUAUGUCCUCCAACACAUAUCUCUCUUUUCAUGAUGGAGUGGCUCUUGAAAAUGGUUCAGAUUAUCGAAGUUUUGUUGGUGCCCUUUAGUAUUGUACCAUGACACGCCCAGAUAUAGCUUUUGCAAUAAAUAAAGUGUGUCAAUUCAUGCACCAUCCCUCUAAUGUUCACUGGCAGGCUAUAAAACGUAUUCUCCGGUACUUAAAGGGCACAUCUCAUUUUGGUCUCUUCCUACAGCCUUCCUAUGACUUCAACAUCACUUGCUAUACAAAUGCCGACUGGGCUUCCUGUCCUGAUGACAAGUGUAGCACCAGUGGCUACUGCCUCUUUCUUGCCUCUAAUCUGGUUUCUUGGUCAUCUUCCAAACAAAAAGUGGUCUCCCGCUCCAGCGCCGAAUCAGAGUACCGAGGGGUAGCAAAUGGGGCUGCUGAAAUUGCUUGGACUGAAUCUCUUCUUUGUGAACUUUCCAUUACUCCCCCUCCCCUCAUUCUCUGUGACAAUAUCAGUGCCACGUACUUAGCUGCCAAUCCUAUUUUGCAUGCCCGCACCAAACAUGUGGAAAUCGACUAUCACUUUGUCACGGAACGUGUUCUUCAAUGCUCUCUUUUUGUCCAGUUUACACCUUCUGAUGAUCAACUUGCUGAUUGCAUGACCAAGCCUCUCUCCACCCAACGUUUCAUCACUCUACGCUCCAAGCUCACUGUUCUCACUAGACCAAUGAGCUUGAGGGGGGAUGUUAAGCCUAAAGAUGUAAUUAGUUAGGAUAUUCUUUUCCCUCUAGUCUUGUAGCUCCACGUGUACAGUUGGUUAGGACCUCAUUGUAUAUAAUGCCUGCCCUGUUAUUGUAGAAGACAACAGAGAUAAAUAAUAUUAACAUUUUUCCUCUCAUCUCUCUCUCUGUUUCCCUCUGUUUUCAUCUCCUCUCUCAUCUGAACCAAAUGAUCCAUGUUAACCUUGGCUUGGUUUGAUUUGGCUCUAUCUUAGAGAGCUCAAGGAUCACGUCAACUCUGGUUUCUACUAUUCAGGUCCAUUCCCAUAUGAACUGGUUCAAAUUUGAGAAAAUGGUAACAGACCUUUAGUGAUGUUGGUUUGGAGCCAGUUGCCAAACCCGCCCUGAGCUUUACCACUAAUGUCAAGGGAGAAAGCCAUUUGAACAAAAACAAUAGCUUCAAGGGACUGAAUCGUGGAUGAAAUCUGAUCCACAUUUCUUCUCAUUUUGGAAACAAAUGAGAACUUAACUAAGAAGAUUCUACGGCCUCAUAGUGCUUUUCCUGAUCUAAGGUUGGUUCGUUUCCCAAACUGUGAGAUGCACGUGCCAGACUUCAGAACUCUCACGCUCAGGAGUGUAUCCACGUGGUGGACAUAAGAUGGUGGCUUAAGAUCUGGUGUCGGUGGCUUUACUUUACUAGGAGAGUAGUGUGUCUUCAUCUCAUUCACUGCCGGAGGGUGGCGUAAGCAGUGACGCUAAGGUGGGGCACAGUCAAUAUCAUUUGCAUUUGACCAUUAUAGUUUUCUCCCGGCUUUAAAGUAACCUUAUCGUGAUAAAGGAUUACUAGCACUAGUUCAGAUGAUAGUCAUGUUAAAUUCGGACCAUGUUUGUGUCACAUUAUCAGCAACCAUGUGUUUAUGGUUCAUGCUUUCUGCAACUAAAAUUGAUAUAUAACCAGGUGAACUUCAAUCUAAAUUCUGAAAGUACUCAUGUGAUAGAUGGUGCCCGUCUGCAGAGUCCAUCAAUUGAAAAAUGGAGUGAGUGUAUCUAUAAGAGGGAAGGCUUGGAAAAUGUUCAGUUUUCUGGGAAUUCAACAAGGAUCUAAAAUAGAUUGUUUUCUUUGCUGAUUUCAAUGGUUGAAAUUUGAGAAGAUUGUGUCCACAUAACACAACUAUUACUGGUCCUUCUGUUGCAAUUUAUCCUCUAAAGCUCUAGCAUGUCUUCCAAUUCCCACUUCCCUGUUACUCCAGGAAAGCUAUUUCUGUCAUUGUGAAGAAGAAAAGAGAAUGUACAUAUCGAUGCUUUUAAGUGACUGGAGCAUUUAUAUCAGGUGGUCUGCAGCCAUAUAUGCCACUUUGUGAAGAUUGGAACAGUCAAUCACUAGGCUAUAUAUUAGUGUGGCCCAGCCACUUUAAUCAAGGACAAGUCUUCAUACUUAAAGUCAAAUUCUGCCUUUAGUCUCAUUAUAAAUUUCUGUUUAAAUAUUAAGCAAACAUUUGUUUAAUGCGAUUAAGACAGUACUAACUCAAUACCUGUUCUAUUUUUGGAUGCAAAUGCUUGAUGGUUUCAUCAUUGGAUGGGAUAAAGGUGCAUUCAUGAUUAGGAAUACUAGUAGUUAUAUUUUAAUUCUCUUUUUUCUCAAUGAGACUUGUUGGCACAAUUUUGCUGUUGAGAAACCUACCUCUCCAUGGAAAAUAAGUUGUGAUUGAUAGUACUGGAUAUAUUCAAGAAAUCUAAAUAUAGAUAGCACAAAAUAUUAUCGACAUAAAUAGCAUUAACAGCGUACGUAUGUCUCAGUGCUCAUCAGCUAUAAGCAUGGGGCAAACACUUACUAUGAGCAACUUACGUCAAAAUUCCAGAAUAGGACAUAGAAGUGACAGAUAUAGAACAUUGCAUAUGAGUCACAAGAAAGGAAAUUACGGGUGCAUAGCAGCUCUUAUUUUACAUACUACUACUCAUACUGAUCAAAGUCACUCAGUUGGGAUGGGUGGGAGUAGGAGGUUUGUGGGGUGGCUUGUGCGGAGGAGUUGGCAGCUUCUUUCCAGGACCUGGUUGCUUCUCUGCUGGAGUUGAAGGAGGCUUAAUCUUCCGAGGUGGCUUGUAUGAGUCUUCAGCAUUCUCAGCUGGAGGGUGACCAGGGUUGUGACCAUAAUGUGGUGGCUUCUCUCCCUUAGGUGGUUUGCCAACUGGGGUUGGUGGCUUGUAUGAGUCUUCAGCAUUCUCAGCAGGAGGGUGACCAGGGUUGUGACCAUAAUGUGGUGGCUUCUCUCCCUUAGGUGGUUUGCCAACUGGGGUUGGUGGCUUGUGUUCUGGGAGUGGCUUCUCCCCCUUGGGAGGUUUUUCCAAUGGGGUUGGUUUGUGUUCAGGAGGUGGCUUCUCCACUGGAGGCUUGUGUUCAGGAGGUGGCUUCUCCACCGGAGGCUUGUGUUCAGGUGGUGGCUUCUCCACCGGAGGCUUAUGCUCUGGUGGUGGCUUCUCGAAUGGGGGAUGCUUAGGAUAAUCAGCAAGUGAGGGGGCGGUGAGAACCACCAGGCCAAGCAACACCACUAGCAAAUAUGUAGGAGACAUCUUUGGGUUUGGGCUCAGAUGGUGCAAAACUAGGAGAAUUGGCUAGCCUUUUAUAGCGGAUCGUACCCAAUAAUGAAAUGACACGUGUCAUUAUGACCCAUGUGUAAUGGGGUCGAUUUGGGUCCUACAGUGUUGAAAACUUCGACAUCCACUUUUGGCCUUUUGCUUUCUCUACAGCCGCCUUGCUUUUUCCCUCUUUCCUUUUGUUUUCCUCCUGCCCCAUUCUAUCAACUAAACACAAUUAUGUAGUUGUUUAAUUCUUAAAUGAGAUAUUAUCCGUCAAUCGUAUUAUAUUUUAUCAAGAGAGAACGGAGUGCAAUGUGGCUGUAAUUUUAUCGUUUAGUUUUAUCUCUUGGACCACUGCAUUUUUGUUAAGAGGUGCAAUAAUACACGUCUUUAUCUGCCAUUCAAUAUUUACAGUAAAGAGAGGGCACAAAACUCUUCACUUCGCACCAUAAUUAUUUUGUUUUCUGGACACCCCGGGGCCCUUUGGUUGGUUUGGGGGUCAGAAAGUGAACAUCAUAGGGGGUUUUUCCCUUAUGUGCAUUUGUAUCUGAUGGCUUUAACUCGCCUUGUUACUACAAAGAAACUGUCACAGAUAGGAACUUAUUCCAGGCUGAGUAUCUCCUCAUAGACCCUAUAAAAGAAGACAAGUCAUAAUGAACAUCUAACCUUUGUUCAAUUUGAUUCAAUGCCCCCAUUGUGUCCAUCUCACAAAUCUGAAUUAUUAUAUCCAUUGAAUACAUAAAUUAAUGAAGAAAAUAUGAAACCCAAGAUACAUCUCUGCACAACCUCAACCCUGGUUGCUAUGUUUCCCUUCUAUUCACAUGAUUUGAUGCUAAUUGCCAAACUUGCAACAAGCCCUGAGUUUGACACCUAGUAUCGAUGGGCGAAUUUAAAGUCUCCUCCAAACAUAUAUUCCACAGCUUGAAGCUCACAGAAGAUGUUACAGGCAGGGAAAAACCUUCAGAGUUCGCUACCAAAGAUAAUUAUUAAGGAGAUAUCACAAAGAGAAUUCCAAGGGGUCUGAAUCAAAGACAAAUUGGUCGUUCGUGGGGGUUCUUACUUUCUUUUGGGUAUAACUCACUGAGGGCACUGUCUUUGUUAUUUGCAUUUCACAUUUAGAGUUCUGUUCUGGAAACAUAUAAAAGGAGCAUCAUUUUGUUCUUGGGUAACCCAUAGUCGUGAGUGGGUCCAUUUGCAUGCUACUUAGUUGAAAAGUUGGACCAUUUGCUCCGACGCCUACCUCCCGGAUUCCAUGCUCGGAUAAAACAAGAAUAAAAAAAAUAUUUAUAAUUUACAAAUGGGGGAAAGAAAAAAAUGUCAACAACAAACCAGGAAAAAAGAGUAGUAAAAUUCAUGUCACAUGCUAGUGAGAGAAGGGGUUGUUACACUCACUCGAAGUUCUUUCCAAAAUAUCGCAUGGUAUUUUAUUUUAUGUGUCAGCGCAGUUGUGAAUGGAACGUGCAAAAGUCCAAAUUGGCGUUUUUCCUUUUCCCGUGUAGGAUGGCGACCUUUAAUAAAUAUUUAAAACAAAAAACGAAAAAAAGGAGGGAAAAGGGAUCAGAAAAGAUAAAACAAUGUGUACAAGAGCUCAAUUAGUUUGCAAAUUACUGUUUGGAUUUUGAUAGUAUUUUAUUUGUCCAUCUAUAUUUGAUGGAAAAGAGAAUUUAAGAUAUUUCUGAAACAAAAGCAUUAGUGUAAAACUAAAUUAAGGUAUAAUUAAGUUAGUUCAAUGCAUUAAUUUAAGAAACUUGAUCUAUCCAAAGUACAAAAUUAGAUGAAAUCCAUUUCAAUGGUUAAAAUGAUCAAAAUCAAACUUUUUCUAAGUAUUUUUUAAAAGCAUCAAUAUUAAAAGACAAUUUUAUAUUUAGUCGGAGUUUGGACAAAACCAAAAAGCACACAAAAUCCAAGCGACCAUCUCUAGCUUGGAUAGUCACUUGAUCCCACCUAGAGAUGUGCAUGAGUAAAAGGAUUUGAAAAUGGAAAUUGACUAAAUAUUUAGUUGAUCAAUUAAAUUUGCAAUGUCAUAUGCAAUCCUAAUAGCUAGUCAUCUAAUCAAUUAGGUAGUCAAUCAAGUGUUUGUAAUGACUAUUUUGUACAAAAAACCACAUGUAUAGUUAAAUAUAAUGCAUUUCAUUUAUAAAUCUUCUAAUUCUUGAAUAACGAUCCUAUCAUCCUUUGAAAAUUUUUAUUACACCUUUUUUACUUUUGUUCUAAAACUUACAUAUCACCCUUAAUUGUACCAUGAGAACCUAGCUAUUUUUUUUUUUUUUGUAAUUCAUCAAAGUUAGCUUUUGUAUUCAUUGUUGUAUUAUUUUUAGUAUAACUUAGAAAGCUAGUGUUUUCAAGUGAGUAAAAUUAACUUGUAAAUAUUGUAAAGAUUCAUUGAUAUGUAUCUUAAACUAAGUGUACAAAUUAAAACAUUUGCUAGUAGAUUUUCUCAAAAUUUAGAAUAGAGCUUGAGGCUAUUGAAAUAGGUGGGGUUACACCAAACCACAUCACAUCGUUGUUUGCACCUUUUUUCACUCUCUUUUACUUAGUUUCUCUAUAUUUGUUGUCUAGUAAUAUCCUAUAGGCUUGAUGGGUUAGGGAGCAUCCCUUUGUGAAAAAAUUUCAUUCAAUUCUUAGUUGUAUUACGCAUAUAUAAAAUGCCUCAUUGUUUUAAUGGUAUUCAGUCGUGGCAUCACAGAUAUGGGCAUCUAAAUUUUAAAAGUUUGAAACUUUUGUAAAGCAUGUUGAUAAAAUCCAUGAGAGUUGUGUACUUGGGAAGCAACAUCGAGGUGACUUUAUUUUUUUUUCCUUUUAUAAUGCCACACCUAAGUCCGGUUUCUAAAUGCUAAAGUGAAAGGGUAGGUAUGGACCAUUGAAAUGUGAUCACAACUUUUGGCCUUUUCCUUUCUCUGCAGCCAUGUUGUCUCUUUUUUCUUUUGCAUGAUUUUCUUACCAAAACAGAAUCAUAGACUUGUUUAGUCUCUAAGCUACUAUAUUAUAUCUCGGUGGACUUUUAAGAGUGCAACCGACAUAGAGCACAUGCAAGUGGGCAUAUGGGACAUGAAAUUUCUUCUUACAAAGAUUGCAUGAUUUUUAUAUUAGAGUUGUUCACGUGCAAUGUAUUUAGCUUGUUUUGCAGUUAAAUUAAUUGGAUAAGUAAACAUUGGCAUUUCUAAAUCGACUGUGAAGUGCUUCAUGUACGUGUAAAGUAUUAGAAAUUUCUUUCUUGGCAACUUGUUUUUUCCUUGCCAUCUACUGGUAGGUUUGACUAAAAUUAUAUUCCCUGUCAUGCUAAUUAAUUUUCAUGUGCAUGCUCAAAAGAAGAGUAUGACCUUAGUGCACCAAAAUCACUUUGAUUAAUUUGUGAUAGGUUUUUUUGCAUCAUUUAGAUAAUGUUUAGUUCUAAGAAAAAUUUAUAUAAAAAUGGUUUAUUUAUCUUACAUAUAUAUAUAUAUAUAUAUAUUUUUUUUUUUUUCAUUUUUUUUUCUUCUAUUUUAUUUAUUUAUUUUAUUUUCCUUAUGUUUUCCUCACAUUUUCCGGAACUAAACAUAGUCUUACGAAAUCAACAAUUGCCUUCAACUGAGUAGAUUCUGUUGUUUUAGCAAUGUUAGGCUGCUAACUUGUGGUGGUACGAACCAAAUGACCCAUGUUAAUCUUGGCUUGGUUUGAUUUGGCUCUAUCUCAGAGAGCUAAAGGAUCACGUCAACUCUGGUUUCUACUAUUCAGGUCCAUUCCCAGAUGAACUGGUUCAAAUUUGAGAAAAUGGUAACAGACCUUUAGUGAUGUUGGUUUGGAGCCAGUUGCCAAACCCGCCCUGAGCUUUACCACUAAUGUCAAGGGAGAAAGCCAUUUGAACAAAAACAAUAGCUUCAAGAGACUGAAUCGUGGAUGAAAUCUGAUCCACAUUUCUUCUCAUUUUGGGAAAAAAUGAGAACUUAACUACAAAGAUUCUACUGCCUCAUUCAUAGUGCUUUUCCUGAUCCAAGGUUGGUUCGUUUCCCAAAUUGUGAGGUGCACGUGCCACUCUCACGCUCAGGAGUGUAUCCACGUGGUGGACAUCAGAUGGUGGCUUAAUAUCUGGUGUCGGUGGCUUUACUUUACUAGGAGAGUAGUGUGUCUUCAUCUCAUUCACUGCCGGAGGGUGGCGUAAGCAGUGACGCUAAGGUGGGGCACAGUCAAUAUCAUUUGCAUUUGACCAUUAUAGUUUUCUCCCGGCUUGAAAGUAACCUUAUCGUGAUAAAGGAUUACUAGCACUAGUUCAGAUGACCGUCAUGUUAAUUCGGACCAUGUUUGUGUCACAUUAUCAGCAACCAUGUGUUUAUGGUUCAUGCUAUCUGCAACUAAACUUGAUAUAUAACCAGGUGAACUUCAAUCAAAAUUCUGGAAGUACUCUUGUGAUAGAUGGUGCCUGUCUGCAGAGUCCAUCAAUUGAAAAAUGGAGUGAGUGUAUCUAUAAGAGGGAAGGCUUGGCAAAUGUUCAGUUUUCUGGGAAUUCAACAAGGAUCUAAAAUAGAUUGUUUUCUUUGCCGACUUCAAUGGUUGAAAUUUGAGAAGAUUGUGUCCACAUAUCACAACUAUUACUGGUCCUUCUGUUGCAAUUUAUCCUGUAAGGCUCUAACAUGUCUUCCAAUUCCCACUUCCCUGUUACUCCAGGAAAGCUAUUUCUGUCAUUGUGAAGAAGAAAAGAGAAUGUACAUAUCGAUGCUUUUAAGUGACUGGAGCAUUCAUAUCAGGUGGUCUGCAGCCAUAUAUGCCACUUUGUGAAGGUUGGAACAGUCAAUCACUAGGCUAUAUAUUGGUGUGGCCCAGCCACUUCAAUCAAGGACAAGUCUUCAUACUUAAAGUCAAAUUCUGCCUUUAGUCUCAUUAUAAAUUGCUGUUUAAAUAUUAAGCAAACUUUUGUUUAAUGCGAUUAAGACAGUACUAACUCAAUACUUGUUCUAUUUUUGGAUGCAAAUGCUUGAUGGUUUCAUCAUUGGAUGGGAUAAAGGUGCAUUCAUGAUUAUGAAUACUUGUAGUUAUAUUUUCAUUCUCUUUUUUCUCAAUGAGACUUGUUGGCACAAUGUUGCUGUUCAGAAACCUACCUCUCCAUGGAAAAUAAGUUGCGAUUGAUAGUACUGGAUAUGUUCAAGAAAGCUAAAUAUAGAUAGCACAAAAUAUUAUCGAUAUAAAUAGCAUUAACAGCGUACGUAUGUCUCAAUGCUCAUCAGCUAUAAGCAUGGGACAAACACUUACUAUGAGCAACUUACGUCAAAAUUCCAGAAUAGGACAUAGAAGUGACAGAUCUAUAUAUAUAGAACACUGCAUAUGAGUCACAAGAAAGGAAAUUACGGGUGCAUAGCAGCUCUUAUUUUACAUACUACUACUCAUACUGAUCAAAGUCACUCAGUUGGGAUGGGUGGGAGUAGGAGGUUUGUGGGGUGGCUUGUGCGGAGGAGUUGGCAGCUUCUUUCCAGGACCUGGUUGCUUCUCUGCUGGAGUUGAAGGAGGCUUAAUCUUCCGAGGUGGCUUGUAUGAGUCUUCAGCAUUCUCAGCUGGAGGGUGACCAGGGUUGUGACCAUAAUGUGGUGGCUUCUCUCCCUUAGGUGGUUUGCCAACUGGGGUUGGUGGCUUGUAUGAGUCUUCAGCAUUCUCAGCAGGAGGGUGACCAGGGUUGUGACCAUAAUGUGGUGGCUUCUCUCCCUUAGGUGGUUUGCCAACUGGGGUUGGUGGCUUGUGUUCUGGGAGUGGCUUCUCCCCCUUGGGAGGUUUUUCCAAUGGGGUUGGUUUGUGUUCAGGAGGUGGCUUCUCCACUGGAGGCUUGUGUUCAGGAGGUGGCUUCUCCACCGGUGGCUUGUGUUCAGGAGGUGGCUUCUCCACCGGAGGCUUAUGCUCUGGUGGUGGCUUCUCCACCGGAGGCUUAUGCUCUGGUGGUGGCUUCUUGAAUGGGGGAUGCUGAGGGUAAUCAGCAAGUGAGGGGGCGGUGAGAACCACCAGGCCAAGCAACACCACUAGCAAAUAUGUAGGAGACAUCUUUGGGUUUGGGCUCAGAUGGUGCAAAACUAGGAGAAUUGGCUAGCCUUUUAUAGCGGAUCGUACUCAAUAAUGAAAUGACACGUGUCAUUAUGACCCAUGUGUAAUGGGGUCGAUUUGGGUCCUACAGUGUUGAAAACUUCGACAUCCAGUUUUGGCCUUUUGCUUUCUCUACAGCCGCCUUGCUUUUUCCCUCUUUCCUUUUGUUUUCCUCCUGCCCCAUUCUAUCAACUAAACACAAUUAUGUAGUUGUUUAAUUCUUAAAUGAGAUAUUAUCGGUCAAUCGUAUUAUAUUUUAUCAAGAGAGAACGGAGUGCAAUGCAGCUGUAAUUUUAUCGUUUACUUUUAUCUCUUGGACCACUGCAUUUUUGUUAAGAGGUGCAAUAAUACACGUCUUUAUCUGCCAUUCAAUGUUUACAGUAAAGAGAGGGCACAAAACUCUUCACUGCUCUGCAUGUGUCCCAAAAAUGCGAUUGGACAAAUUAUGAUUUGCAUGCUAAAAAGAGGCAAAUGAGGUUAAUUCGCACCAUAAUUAUUUGGUUUUCUGGACACCAUAAAAAGAUGUUAUACAGGCAGGGAAAAACCUUCAGAGUUAGCUACCAAAGAUAAUUAUCAAGCAGAUAUCACCAAGAGAAUUCCAUAGAGUCUGAAUCAAAGACAGAUUGCUCGCUCGUGGGGGUUCUUACUUUCUUUUGGGUAUAACUCACUGAGGUCACUGUCUUUUUUAUUUGCAUUUCACAGUUAGAGUUCUGCUCUGGAAGGUUUGUUCUGGAAACAUAUAAAAGGAGCAUCAUUUUGUUCUUGGGUAACCCAUAGUCGUGAGUGGGUCCAUUUGCAUGCUACUUAGUUGAAAAGUUGGACAAUUUGCUCCGACGCCUACCUCCUGGAUUCCAUGCUCGGUAAAACAAGAAUAAAAAAAAAUAUAUAAUUUACAAAUGGGGGAAAGAAAAAAUGUCGGAAAAAAUAGUAAAAUUCAUGUCACAUGCUAGUGAGAGAAGGGGUUGUUACACUCACUCGAAGUUCUUUUCAAAAUAUCGAAUGGUAUUUUACUUUAUGUGUCAGCGCAGUUGUGAAUGGAACGUGCAAAAGUCCAAAUUGGCGUUUUUAUUUUUCCCAUGUAGGAUGGUGACCUUUAAUAAAUAUUUAAAACAAAAGACGAAAAAAAAAAGGAGGGAAAAGGGAUCACAAAAGAUAAAAUAAUGUUUACAAAAGCUCAAUUAGUUUGCAAAUUACUGUUUGGAUUUUGAUAGUAUUUUAUUUGUCGUUCUAUAUUUGAUGUAAAAGAGAAUUUAAGAUAUUUCCGAAGCAAAAGCAUUAGUUUGCUCUGUGAUGUCCCACAUCGAAUAGGGGAGAAAGUUUCUGGCGCUAUAUAUGUAGAGGCUCCUCUUAACCAAGUAGAUGCGUUUUAAAACCAUGAGGGCCCCCUUAGGUCCAAAGCGGACAAUAUCUACAUGAUUGGGUGUAAGUCAUUACAAAUGGUAUCAGAGCCGAUCCCCGACCCCGGUGUGGGGGUUUGUUUGGCCCUGUAAGGGGUGUUUGUCUGUUUGACCCCACAAUCCCAUGGGACACAACGAGGACGUUGUGUCUGCAUGGGGGGGCGUUUGUGAUGUCCCACAUCGGAUAGGGGAGAAAGUUCCUAGUGCUAUAUAUGUAGAUGUUUCUCUUAACCAAGUAGAUGCAUUUUAAAAUUGUGAGGGCCUCUUUGGGCCCAAAGCGGACAAUAUCUACAUGGUUGAGUGUAAGUCAUUACAUGCUCCAUGUCAAUUUCAGCAUUUCUCAUAUGUUUCACACAUACACAGAAGAGCAUCGUUUUUUAAAGCAUGCAUUUAUGUUGGAUUAAUUUGGAUUUUGUGGGAACUGGGGCAAGGAUCACAUGGAAGAGAGGUUGACUUUUUUCAGUACUUCAAUGGUUGAAAUAUGUGAAGGCUUGAUUGAUACUAAAGCUUGAAAUUGCGACUCUGUCAUUUGUAAAAAAAUAUGACAGCUUCCAUGCUCUCGUUUGGUUGCAUUGUCCGGUCGAGAGGUGCAAAAAGCAUUCUCUCUCUUCUAAUAGUCUUUUCGUUUAAAUCAAGGGAUUUGCCUUCCCGGUCGAGGUCCAAUAGAGGGUAACGGUCACCUACUAAACAUUAAAUGCUCCAACAACUAGUGAACUGAUCGACCCCAGCUCGACUAGUUGAGGUUACUUUUUGGUUUUCUUGUCUCCCGAGGUUAGAAACCUAUAAAUAGAGAGCUUCACUUCAUUUAUGAGUAAGAGAACACCUAAAUUUAUUUGUUUACCUACUUGUUUUUGCCAUAAAAGCUCUCAUUUCUUUUCUUGGUGUAUUAAAUCUCCAUUUGCAUAUCCUUUAGUGCACCUUUGUGAUUCAUUCUAGCCUUGAGUUGUAUUUAAGCCUUUGUUGAGCUAGGUUGAGAGUUUCAUACUUGUUUAUUGAGUGUUAAAGCCUUCAAGUGAGUUAAAACUUGAAGAGAUUGUGUAAGAGCCCAUUGGAGUCGGAAUCCAAGUGUAAAGGUGAUUAAAAGCUUGGUUGAAGCUUCAAGUUAGUGGAACUCUCACUCGGUUAUGAGCUUGAGAAGAGUGGACAUAGACAAGGCAGUGUCGAACCACUAUAAAAUCUGAGUUUGAUUUCUCUAACCUUAUCUCUUUAUAUUUGCUUCUCUUGUGCUUAAAUUUUUUGUGUUUAAAAAGAAUUUUUAAAAACUCAAUUCACCCCCUUCUUGGGAGUUUUUCUCUUUUAAGAUCAGCUUUUAUUUUCUCAAUUGGUAUCAGAACUAUGCCUCUUGUUUAAGACUUAAUCGUCUAAGAGGAAAUGGCUAAUCCAUCAAGUUCAUCUCACAUUGAAAGUUUUGCAACCAAUAGACUUCUUUUUUUUUUUUUGCGGGAACUGAUUAUCCCUAUUGGAAAACUAAAAUGACUUGGUUUUUACAAUCAAUUGAUUUAGAUGUAUGAGAUGCCAUUGAAGAUGACCUAACUUUUCCUUCAAAACUAGUUGAUGGAGUCAUGGUUCCAAAACCUAAGCAAGAAUGGGAUGAGCGUGAUUGAAGAAAUUUUCAAUUAAAUGCUAAAGUCGUUUAUACUUUGCAAUGCUCUAUGGACAGAAAUGAAUAUAAUAGAAUAUGUCAAUGCAAAUCGGUUAAAGAAAUUUGGAGAUUGCUUGAAAUAACUCAUAAAGGAACAAAUCAAGUUAAAGAGUCAAAAAUCAAUUUACUUGUUCAUAGAUAUGAAUUGUUUUUUAUGAAAGAUAAUGAAACUAUUGUUAAGAUGAUCACUAGGUUCACCAACAUUGUUAAUGGUCUUAAAGCCUUGGGAAAGACCUACAAGGAAUCCGAAAACGUGAUGAAGAUCUUGAGGUCACUUCCAUCAAAGUGGCAUACCAAGGUCACCGCAAUUUAAGAAGCAAAAGACUUGAUCAAGCUACCUUUGGAGGAGUUCAUAGGGUCAUUGAUGACAUAUGAAAUCAAUUUGGCAAAGAAGUAACAAAAAGGUGAAGACAAAAAGAAGAAGAACAUAACUCUCAAAGCUACAACUAAGGAAGAAGAAGUUGAAGAAGAAAAACAAAUUGAAGAAGAUGAAGAUUUAGCCCUCAUCACAAGAAAGUUCAACAAAUUCAUGAGGGGUGAAAGGUUUAGAAGAAGAAGGUUCACUUCUAGAAGAGACUUUUCUAAAAAGGAAUCUUCAUCUAAUGGUGACAAAAAGAGAUGGGAAGAGAAAAGAGACUUGGUGUGUUUCAAGUGCAAGAAACCGGGACACAUUAAAUAUGAUUGUCCUCUCUACAAAAGUGAAGUCAAGAGGAAAAAGAAUAAGGCAAUGAUGGCCACUUAGAGUGAAAGUGAAGAUGAAUCAUCCGAAGAAGAAAAUGAGAAAGAAGUGGCAAACAUGUGUUUCAUGGCAAUAGAUGAACUUGAUGAGGUAAAAUCUAACCUUAGUGAUUAAGAUAUACAUGAUGCAUUUGAAGAAUUGUAUGAGGAUUUUUAAAAACUUAGUUUGAAAAAUAUUUCUCUUAAAAAGAAAGUUCAACAACUUGACAAAGAACUUAGAGAAGUAAAAGAAAAAUUUUCAAAUGUUAAAGUUUCUAAAACUCAUCUUGAAAAAGAAAAUGAGAUUCUAAGAAAGAAAAAUGAAUAGUUGAACUCCUCUCUUUCAAUCUUUUCUUCUAGACAAAAAUCUUUUGAAAUGAUUCUAACUAGCUAAAAAUGUGUUUUUGACAAACAAGGGUUAAGAUUUAAAUCUUCAAAAAAUCAAAAGUAUUUUAAAAACUAUUUUGUAAAGGAAUCCACAAGUGCAAGUCCUUCCACUACUUGCAACUUUUGUGGAAGAGAAUGGCACAUUAGUAGUACGCCCUUUAAGAAAUGGUUCUCAAAAGAAUUUAAAUGCAAAAACUAAAAAAGAUUUGGAUUGAGAAAUCCAAGGUCACUAACCCUCAAGGACCCAAAAAGAUAUAGGUACCUAAAUCAACUUGAGUUUUAUGUUGUAAGGUUCAAAGAAUGAUAAGUGGUUCUUAGAUAAUGGUUGCUCAAGACACAUGACCGGAGAUGAAUCCAAGUUUGCUUUUCUUAAAAAGAAAAAUGGAGGAUAUGUUACCUUUGGAGACAAUGCAAAAGAAAGGAUGAUUGGUCAAGGCAACAUUGGUAAUGGCACAUCCUCUCUCAUUGAAAGUGUUUUAUUAGUAGAUGGUUUCAAACAUAACCUUUUAAGCAUUAGUCAAUUUUGCGACAAAGGUUUUUAAGUGAUUUUUUAAGCAUCUCAUUGCAUCAUCAAGGAUAUUCAAAAUGAUAAAACCAUUUUCAUGGGCCAUAGAUGUGAUAAUGUUUAUGCUAUAAAUAUUUCAAAAUAUGAUGGCCAUGAUAGAUGUUUUUCAAGCAUGCAUGAUCAAAGUUGGUUGUGCCAUAGGAGAUUGAGACAUGCUAACAUAGACCUCAUUUCCCAACUCAACAAAGAUGAACUUGUUAGAGGCCUUCCCAAAAUAAUUUUUUAAAAAGAUAAAGUUUGUGAAGCUUGUCAAGUGGGAAAGUAAAUCAAAAACUCUUUUAAAAACAAAAACUUCAUUUCCACAUCUAGGCCACUUGAGUUGUUGCAUAUGGAUUUAUUUGGUCCCUCUAGGACACCAAGUCUUAGAGGAAAUUCUUAUGCAUAUGCUAUUGUGGACGACUUCUCUAGAUACACAUGAGUCUUGUUUUUUAGUCAAAAGAAUAAAGUUUUUUAUGAGUUUUCAAAGUUUUGCAAUAAGAUUCAAAAUGAAAAAGGUUUUUCAAUUACUUAUAUAAGAAGUGAUCAUGGGAGAGAAUUCGAAAAUAUUGAUUUUGAAGAGUAUUGCAAUGAGCAUGGAAUUGACCACAAUUUUUUGGCUCUUAGAACUCCUCAACAAAAUGGGGUAGUUGAAAGGAAAAAUAGAACUCUUCAAAAAAUGACAAGAACCAUACUAAAUGAAAACAACUUACCAAAAUAUUUUUAGGCCAAAACGGUUAACACUUCUUGUUAUGUUUUAAAUAGAGUAUUAUUGAGGCUCAUACUUAAGAAAACUCCCUAUGAGCUUUGGAAAAACAAAAAACCCAACAUUAGUUAUUCCAAAGUCUUUGGAUGCAAUAUUUUAUAAUAAACACCAAAGACAAUCUUGGAAAAUUUGAUGCAAAAUUGGAUGUUGGAAUUUUCCUUGGUUACUCAACUUCAAGUAAAGCUUUUCGAGUUUUAACAAAAGAACCAUGGUUGUAGAGGAGUCCAUCCAUGUUAUUUUUUAUGAAUCUCCAAGAAAGAGAGAGGAUUGAUGAUGAUUUAGGUUUGAAGACCUCUAUAGGAAGAUUGCAAAUCGAAGAUAGAAGACAACAAGAAGAAAAUGGAGAGAAUCCAAAGAAAGAAGGAUCACCAUUGGCACUACCCCCUCAUCAACAAGCGCAAGGUGAAUCAAGUCAAGAGCUUCCUAAAGAAUGGAAGUUUGUCAUCAAUCACCCACAAGAUCAAAUUAUAGGCAAUCCAUCUAGUGGGGUAAGAACUAGAUCCUCUCUUAGAAAUAUUUGCAAUAAUCUAGCUUUUAUCUCUCAAAUUGAGCCUAAAAAUAUAAAUGAUGUUUUAGAUGAUGAAAAUUGGAUAAUUGCAAUGCAAGAAGAGUUAAAUCCAUUUGAAAGAAGUGGAGUAUGGGAAUUAGUACCAAGACCUUCAAAUCAAAGUGUUAUUGGAACUAGAUGGAUCUUUAGAAAUAAAAUGGAUGAAAAUAGCAUAAUUGUUAGAAAUAAAGCAAGAUUGGUAGCCCAAGGUUUUAAUCAAGAAGAAAUGAUAGAUUAUGAAGAAACCUUUGCCCCCGUAGCUAGGUUGGAAGCCAUUAGGAUGCUACUUGCCUUUGCAUGUUUUAAAGACUUUGUUUUAUAUCAAAUGGAUGUGAAAAGUGCUUUUUUAAAUGGUUUUAUAAAUGAAGAAGUAUAUGUUGAACAACCACCCGGUUUUCAAAGUUUCAACUUUCCUAACCAUGUUUUUAAACUUAAAAAGACACUUUAUGGUUUGAAACAAGCACCUAGAUCAUGGUAUGAAAAAUUGAGUAAAUUUCUUUUGAAAAAAAUGUUUUAAAAUGGGAAAAAUUGACACAACUCUUUUUAUAAAAACCAAAGAAAAUGAUAUGCUCUUAGUUCAAAUAUAUAUUGAUGAUAUCAUUUUUGGUGCUACUAAUGUCUCUCUUUAUGAAGAAUUUUCUAAGUGCAUGCAUAGUGAGUUUGAAAUGAGCAUGAUAGGAGAACUCAACUUCUUCCUUGGACUUCAAAUCAAGCAACUAAAGGAAUGAACCUUCAUCAAUCAAGCAAAGUAUAUAAGAGAUCUUCUCAAAAGGUUCAACAUGGAAGAAGCCAAAACAAUGAAGACUCUAAUGAGCUCAUCCAUUAAGCUUGAUAAGGAUGAGAAAGGUAAAUCCAUUGACUCUAUUAUGUAUAGAGGCAUGAUAGGUUCUUUGCUCUAUUUGACCACUAGUAGACCUUACAUUAUGUAUAGUGUGUGUUUGUGUACUAGAUUUCAAUCUUGUCUUAAAAAAUCUCACUUAAGUGUCGUGAAAAGAAUCCUCAAAUAUUUGAAAGGGACAAUGGACAUAGGCUUAUGGUAUCCUAAGAGUGAUAACUUUGAAUUAAUUGGUUUUUUGGAUGCUGAUUUUGUCAGUUGUAGGGUUGAAAAAUAAAACACUAGUGGCACUUUUCAUUUCUUAAGACACUUACUUGUCUCAUGGCAUAAUAAGAAGCAAAAUUUGGUAGCUUUGUCAACAGCAGAAGCUAAAUACAUAGCAACUGGUUUAUGUUGUGCACAAAUCCUUUGGAUGAAAUAAACACUUAGUGAUUUUGAUUUAUCUUUUGAGCAUAUUCCUAUUAAAUGUGAUAAUAGUAGUGCCAUAAGUAUAUCAAAAAAUCUCGUGCAACACUCUAGGACUAAGCAUAUAGAGAUUAGACAUAAUUUUCUUAGAUAUCAUACACAAAAGGAUGAUAUAACACUUGAAUUUGUAAGCAUAAAAGACCAACUUGCCGAUAUCUUUACAAAACCUCUAAGAACAUUUUGUUGAUAUUAGAGGACAAUUAGGAGUGAUUUCUUUAUGAUCUAAUGUGAUGAAUUCUUGAUGAAUAUACUUUUUGAUUGCAUGAAUUUCAUGUCAUAUAUGCAUCAUAUAGAAAUAUACUUAGAUAAUGGUCAAAUUUCGACCAAAAAUCAAAAUUCCCAUGGCAUUAGGCAUAAAAAUUUUGGAAUUUCAACUGAAAAUGGUAGGAGGAGGAUCACAAAAUGAGAAAGUAUGCAAAAAUUGAAAAAUCAAAACGUUGACCAAGCGGUCAAUCGGACUAGACCGAUCGACUAGUUUGUCGAGAUUUAGGAUUUUUAAGAGACUCCAACGCUUCAAUUUUUGCACCGUUCUCCUCUAUUUCUUCACGGUUUCUCUGAUUUUGUCUUUUAGAGACUAAUUUGAGUGCGUUUUGGAUCAAUUGAAGCAUUUUGGAUUGGAUUUUAGGAAGAUUGAAAGUUAAGGUUUCGGAUUUGGGUCGCCUUCUCUUCCUCUCGCGUGUCACAAUCAGCUUUAGCAUUGUUCUCUUUCCAUUUUCACACACCUAGGGUUUCAGUUGUGAGCAUCUCUCUCUCUUUACCAACCACUACUCCCUUGCUUCUUCCAUAUGGCUCCUAGGCGAGAGUCCGCUACUUCUAGGGCACAAGGCAAGCACCCAACUGAGUCGUCUCAGUCAAAGGCACGUCGAAAAGUGAGAUUUGACAUUGCCUUGUUCAGUUCCAUGGAGGACUACCAACUAUACAAGCAACACUUUGCUUAGAGACGAGUAGUUCCCAAGAGAAAUAUUAAUUUUCCUCAACUUCAGCAUUUCGAAUUUAAGGGUCUAUUUACUAGGAUGGUUGGUUGUCUAUUGUCACAAUUUCGGAGCCGGUUUUCCUGACCUUAGUGCGAGUUUUUUACUCGAGGGCGACUUAUGGCAUGGGUGGCAUGAUCAUUUCUACUGUUGGAGGAGUUGAGAUCUGUCUGGACCCAGAGAGCAUCUGCCAUAUUUUCGAUAUUGCUCUGGUUGGACUCAAAGUAUACAAGUCCAAAAUGUGGCCCAUUGUGCCAGGAUUUGAGCUUAGAGAGGUCAUUCAGAGGAUUUGUGAACUUCCAGACGCCCAGGAGAUGGGCAAACCAUUGCCACACAGUUUGACGGUCAUCAACAGGGUGCUACACCAUAUAUUGUGCUCUAUCUUUCUACCACGAAGUGGACAUUGAGAUGAGGUCUCUUAUUAUGAGGCAUUCCUUAUUGACUCCAUUCUAACGGAGAGACGAAUUCAUCUACUAUGUCAUCAUUCACUAAGCCUCCUCACAGUGACAUACCACCUCAUCAGGCACCUCUUGCUCCUGACCAUGCUCCAUUGAUGGAUUUAUUUACUCAUAUUAGCUCUCUAGGCACUCGCAUGAAGGAGUUUGUUGUAGUUAGUGAUACAUGGUUCUACUCCAUAGAGGAUCGCAUGGAUCAGUAUCAGACUGGCUUCACGUCACAGUUUGAGUAUCUCCAAUAGAGGAUUGAGCAUAUUGAGGAUCACUUGAGCAUGAGAAGAUGAUGGCUUUUCUAUGCUCUGUGUUUCCACCUCCACCUCGUCAACCUUGAUUUCUUAGAGACCCAUUGUUUUCAUUUUGUAAUGUUGCCAAAAGGGGGAGAUAUUUAGGAUCUAGGACUCUAUAGGAGACUUACAUGCAUAUCAUUUUCAUAUCAUUGUUUGGAUCGUACAUAUUGGAUAGUGAUACUUUUUACUUAUAUAUGAUAUGCCUAUAUGUUUCAUGUCUUACAUUGUUUCUUAUUGCAAAUUAUCUCUAACAUGUCUUGAUUAUCUUUUUUUUAACUUCAUAAAUUUUGAUUGUUAACCCAUGAUUGGUUUGAGGGGAAGAUUCUUCUUCUCCUAGAUAACCAAGGUUUGUCAUCAUAAAAAAAUUGGAGAUUGUUAGCCCAAGGGUUCUCCUAAUCAUGUUUUGAUGAUAACAAACCAUGCUUAAGUUACUAAUUGGUUUGAAUUAUAAAGAAUUUCAAGUGUUAAUUUGAAAAUUCAUCAAAGAACCUAAUGGAUGCAAGAUCAAGAUUUUUGGAAGACCUUUAAUCAUAAGAAACAUAUGUAAGAUGAAUGCAUGGGUGCACUUAAGAUUUGCAUAUCAUUUCAUGCAUAUUUGGAAAACACGGUUUAUGCUUUAAAGUUACAUUUCCAUCAAAAUUUGAGAUCCAUCAAAUGAACCUUAGGAAAAAUGUUUUAAAAUUGGCAUAUAAUUUUACCUAAAGACCUUGCCUAAGUGUUAGAAGCAAAAGGACAAAAAAAAUAUAGGUUUUCUGGUCAAAAAUGGUGAACCAGUCAAGGCAUUGUCUAAAUCAGCUCAAUCGGCCAAGGUACCGGUCGAUCGGUUUCCCUUUCCCUGUCGAGAUCUAGUCAAGAGGUACAAAAAUCACAAUCUCUGUCUCUUUCUCUCUUUGUCUAUCUUCCAGUAGUCUUUCCUUCCCGGUCGAGGGAUUUGCCUUCCCGAUUGAGGUCCGAUUGAGAGUAAUAGUCACUUGCCAAAUAUUAAAUGCUCCAACAGUUAGUGAACUGGUCGACCCCCACCUUGCCCAGUUGAGGUUACUUUUUGGUUUUCUUGGCUCCCGAUGUUAGAAACCUAUAAAUAGAGAGUUCCACUUCAUUUAUGAGCAAGAGAACACUUGCAUUUAUUUGUUUACCUACUUGUUCUUGCCUUAAAAGCUCUCAUUUCUUUUCUUGGUGCAUUAAAUCUCCAUUUUGAUAUCCUUUAGUGCACCUUUGUGAUUCAUCUUAGCCUUGAGUUGUAUUUGAGCCCUUUUUUUAGCUAGGUUGAGAGUUUCAUACUUGUUAAUUGAGUGUUAAAGCCUUCAAGUGAGUUGAAACUUGUAGAGAUUAUGUGAGAGUCGAUUGGAGCCGAAAUCCAAGUGUAAAGGUGAUUAGAAGCUUGGUUGAAGCUUCAAGUUAGUGGAAUCCUCACUCAAUUAGGAGCUUGAGGAGAGUGGACGUAGCCAAGGAAGUGUCGAACCACUAUAAAAUUUGAGUUUGAUUUCUCUAACAUUGUCUCUUUAUAUUUGUUUAUCUUGUGCUUAAAUUUAUUGUGUUUAAAAAGAAUUUUUAAAUACCCAAUUCACCCCCCUCUUGGGUGUUUUUCUCUUUUAAAAUUAGCCUUUAUUUUCUCACAAACUAUUGUAGUAUAGUGGUUUUUAGGUGUCAUCCAUUAGGAUGAAUUGUUCUCGGUAAUUAAGGCGUGAAUGAGAGGAGAAUUAAUGAUUGUGAUUAAGUAAAAUUGAUUUGAAAAUUCAUGGUGAAAAAUCAAUUUAACAAUGGUUUCUAAUUGAGAAAAACAAUGAAAUGUGAAAUAAAAUAAAAUUAAUAGGAAAUGAAAUUCUCGAAGUUAGAAUUUUCUAAAAAACAAAUUCCAUGGUGAAUGGAUGUUGAGAUCUAAUUUUCAUCAAGUUAGAUUGAAAACCGAAAUUUUCAUAUAAACUGAUUUUUUAUUUAGUUUUAGGUCUAGAUUUAAUUUCCCUUAAAAUUAGGUUAUUUAAUCCAAGAAAUCAAUUCAAAUCAUAUAUUCAAUUCAUCUUAAAUUAUCUUCCAAUUAUUCACACAAUGCAACUAUUCAAUCUCAUCAAAUCUAGCUUUUAAGAAUUUAAUGAAUCUACCUAGUUUGCAUUGUAAUAGUCAUCCAUGACAAUUUGAAGAGAAAAAUAAUUCAAUUAAUCAAUCACUUGGAUCAAAUUACCUUUGCAAUUAAAGUUCAUUUCUCUAAUUCACCACAGAUUUUGUCUCUAGAUCCUCCUUUCUCAAAGAAAAAUGAGAUUUAGCCACACAUGAUUGGAGAUUUGGUCUCAUAAGGCAUGUUUAGCUAGUGAUAAAAUGAGAGAAAAUAAAGAAAAAUAGAGAAUUCGAUUAAGAAAGAAAAUCUAAAAAAUUCUACAAUUAGAAAUGUCCAAAAAGCUUUUUCAUGAGAAAAUCAAGUUUCUAUUUAUAGGCCAAGGUCAAGUGGACACUUGACAUCAUCUAAGAGGUCUUCCGGAAGCUUCUUCAUCAAGAAAUCUGGAGUUUAAUAAUAAAAUGGUCAUUUCACAAGAGCUCAAACAAUUUCGCAUGAUUAUGUGAAAUAAAAAAUGCAACAACAGCAAUUUACAUCUUCUUGGAGCAUUUCGCAUGACUGUGUGAAAUUUUCACAUGAUCAUGUGGAAUCGACUUGACAACUCUCAUUUAGCCUACAACAUAAUUCCACCUUUUGGUCCAUUUUUCAUAGUCAUGCGAAAUGGAAAUAUUUGAUUUUUAAGUUUUCUUUUGUCAUUUCUUUCAUUUCCUUCUCUUGAUUCCACUUCAACUACCUCCGAAUCCUGGUCCAAACCAAUUGCAUUACUUCUUUCAUUAUGCAUUUGGAUCAUCAUCAACAUUAUUUGUUCUCUUCAAUUUGAUUCAUCUCUUUUGUCACCAAUUUAUCAAAAUCAUACCUUGAAAUGACUCCAAAACUUCAUAAAACUUGUUAGUAACUCUUGCAAGGGCAACAACAUAUUAAUUAAGUGUUUUAGGCAUAGUUACUACUCAAAAGAUGCGAAACUCAUGAUAAUUAUUAUAUAAAAUAUGCUCUUUUUGAGUAGUAAUCAACUUUCUUGCAUAAGCAGACCUUUUAGGGUGGAGUACUAAAGACCAAUAUGCUUGUCCUUGUUGUAAUAAAGAAACUUGCUCUUAUUGAUUGCACCAUGGGAGAAAAUUUUGCUACAUGAGUUAUCAUCAAUUUCUUCCCACCAAUCAUAGAUUUAGACGUGACAAGAGGCCUCUUAAUGGCAAGGAGGAACUGACACUCACACUUAUACAAUUAUCGGGCAUUGAUGUGUUGCAACAAUUAGAAUAACUUACACCAAUUAUGUUGGGGAAGUCACAAAAGGCAAACAUGAAAACUAAAAGGAAAAAAGAAAAAUGUUACAUAUCACCACAACUGGAAAGAAAAAAGUAUUUACUUUCAUUUGCCAUAUUGGAAAGCACUUAUUUUACAUCAUAAUAAUUUAGACAUAAUGCAUAUUGAGAAAAAUGUGUGACAAUAUAAUUGAGACAUUGUUCAGUAUUGACGAAGAAACAAGGACAACCUAAAUAGUCAUCUCGAUUUACAAGCUCUAACUAUUAGAAAUGAGAUUCACCCAAUAGAAAGCAGGACCAAAUUUAUUUUGCUUGCAACAUGCUACUCACUCACCCCAAAUGAGAUUAAGGAAUUUUGCAAGUUUUUGAAAUCAAUAAAGGUCCCCAAUGGCUAUUCUUUCAAUAUCUCUCGUUAUGUGCAACUCAAUGAAAGGAAGAUAUAUGAGCUCAAAUUGUAUGAUUGUCAUGUCCUAAUGCAACAACUUCUCUCACUUGUAGUUCGUGGAGUUCUACAUAAGAAUGUUUGUGGAGUUAUCAUAGAAUUGCGUAAUUUUUUCAAGCAAUUGUGCUCAAAGGUGUUAGAAACAAAUCACUUACACCAACUUGAGAACAAUAUUAUUGUCAUACUAUGUAAAAUGGAGCAAAUAUUUCUUCCAUCAUUCUUUGAUAUUAUGGUGCAUUUACUUGUGCAUCUAGUAAGGCAAAGGUUGCAAGACUUGUGCAAUAUUGUUGGAUGUACCUAAUUGAACGAUAUUGUUAUAAUUUCAUAUGAAUCAUUUAAUUUUAUUUUAUAUUAUGUUCAGUUCAUUAACAUGUACAUUGGUCUACAUAUGGAUGAUGAUAGGUACCUAAGCACUUUAAAGUCAUAUGUGCGUAAUAGAACUUUUCUAGAAGGUUCUAUUGUAGAAAGGUACCUUGCAAAAGAAUGUACAACAUUUUAUUCUAGGUACUUGAAUGAUGUGGAAAUAAAGUAUAAUCACAAUGAUAGAAACUUUGUUGGUUUCAACACUAGAGGAGAUGAAAGGGGUUAUCUUUAAACAUAUUGGACAUGCAUUGGGAAAGCCCAUAUUUCAUUAACUUAGUUCAAAAGAGUGGUCACAAGCACAUUUAUAUGUGUUGACAAAUUGCGAAGAUGUCAUACCAUUCAUUGAGUAAAAAAUUUAUUUGAAUUUUAAUUAAAGCUCUAGUUUAUAUCCUUAAUCAAUGUUUUUUAAAUUCACAAGGAGCACAAGCAAACCAUCAAGGCUAGACCACAUAUACGUGUUUGAGACGUAGAUUUAAUUCAUAACAAGGAAUUUAUCAAGUGGUUUGAAAGACAUGUAAGUAUAUUCCUUAUUAUAAGGGAUUUAUUUCACAUUAUGUUUAUAUUGAAUCCAAACCUAUUAUUGAAUUGUAGGUUGAACAAUUACAUAAUGAAGGUCAUAUAUCUGAACACCUUCUCACAUUAUCAUGUGUUCCAAAUUCAUUAGUUACAUGCUUCAAAUGAUAUAUUGUCAAUGGAUUUAGAUCCCACAUUAAAGAACGUGAUAAAAAAGUUUUUAAAAAAAGACUCAGAAUAAUGGAAUUGUUGUAGUUGCAAAAACGUCAAGCUUUACAAGUGCAUGUGAUAUGAGUCCAAUUAUUAGUGAUGCUCUCUACUAUGGUGUUCUAACUAAAGUUGUUGAGUUACAUUAUCUUGGUGAAAAUAAGGUUGUUUUAUUCGAGUUUGAUUGGUGGGAUGUUACAAAUAUUGGAAAAUUGAUAAAAGAUGAUGAGUACAAUUACACAUUUGUUAACUUUGCAUGAAUUCUAACCACGAACGAACGAUUUGUACUUGCAUCUCCAGCAAAGUAAGUGUUCUAUGUGAAGAAUGCGAAUGAAUCAGAUUGGCAUACUAUCAUGGAGAUGCAACCUCAAGACCUCUAUAAGAUGAACGGGAUAGGAUCCAAUGGUGAUUUUGAACCAUUUCAACAAAGUGAACUACAUGAUCACUAAUAUAUCUCAGAUUUAGUUGAUGAAGAUAUAAUCAAGUGGAACAAAAGUGAUGUUUUAGGACUAAUCAUCCUAAAAAAUAUUGUAGUUUCUUAAAAAAAAAAUGAAAAUGAAGAAGAUAAUUGAACCUUUGUCAUACUUUAAAAAGCAACUAUGCAUUGUUCAUUUUGUAUGUUUUGGUUUUCUUCAUUUAAUUUCCUGAUUUUUGUGAUUCAAUGUCAUAUUAUUGAUCUUGAAAUAUUUUUCUAAUUUUUCAUUCUACGAUGGUUUCAACAAGGAUGACAUCAAGUCAAAAAAGGAAAUGUGGUCCCACACACAAUAUUGCAUUACAGGGAUUAAGGUCAGGGAAGAAGGUAAAAGUUGCAUUUAAUGAGUACAAUCAAUUGGUUAAACAGAAAAAUGGAAAACACUUAUCGAGCUACAUAGGGACACUUGUAUCUAACCAACACAAUGUACCUCUCCAAGCUAGUGAUUGGAAAAAUGUUCCAAAUGAUGCAAAAGAGAAAGUAUGGCCUUUGUUUUGGUAUGUUGUAUUUCUCACUAUAUGAUGUCAUUUCACUGUUAUUCUAUUUUGUGACUAACGUUUGAAUCAUAUGUAAGAAAAAUUUGAAGUAGAUAAAGACUGAAAAGAUUACAUGUUGGGUAUAGCCUCAAAUAAAUAUAGAAGCUAUAAAAAUAUGAUGAAUGCAAAAUACUAUGACCCUUGGCAUAAGGAUGCAUGAGGAGAGGUUAAUACAUAAAUCACCAUUUGUCUCUGAUGUUGAUUGGAAGUGGCUUGUCUCUGAUGCAUAAACCAAAUCCCCCACUGAAUGUUUGAUAUUUGAUAGCAGGAAAAACACACCCGCAGCUAUACACCUCCAUCAUUCAGAUAAUUAUAGUGGGGGAGAUGAUUCAUGGUUGCCCUUAUACCCUUUAUUUGCACCAUCUAUUGAGAUUCUUUAUCAUGGCCAGGUUUUACUGCAGCAAUAAGAUAUGGUGGCAACAAUUUUAUCUAUAGGUGCGGUUCCAGACCGCCUCCAUAGGUGCGGUUCCUGACUGCCUCCAUAGGUGCCUCUUCUUGUAAUGUUUGUUCUGGGAAUUACACUUGAAAGCCUUAUCGUGAUAAGGGAUUACAAACACUAGUUCAGAGGACAGCCAUGUUAAACUUCCACUAUGUUUGUGUCACAUUAUCAGCAGCCUAGUGUUUAUUGGUCAUGCUAUCUGCAACUAAUAUAACCCGGUGAACUUCAAUCUAAAUUCUGAAAGUACUCAUGUGACAGAUGGUGCCUUUCAGCAGAUAUCAUCAAUUUAAAAGUAGUGUGUGUGCCUAUAGGUGGGAAGGCCUUGGCAAAUGUUCAGUAUUCCGGUAAUUCAAGAAGGAUAUAUCUAAAAUAGAUUUUCUUCUUGCCCAUUUCAAUAGUUAAAAUUUGAGAAGAUUGUGUCCACAUCACACAAAUAUUAUUGGUCCUUCUGUUGCAAUUUACCUCUGAACAUGUCUUCCAAUUCCCACGGUCCUGUUACUCCAGGAAAACUAUUUCGGUCAUAUUGAAAAAAAAAAUAUUAAAGAAGGUACACAUGCUUUUAAGUGGACUGGGGCAUUCAUAUCAGGUGGUCUGUAUCCACAUAUGCCACUUCGUGAAAGGUGGAACAGCCUAAUCACUAGGCUAUUUAGUGUGGCCCAGCCACGUUAAUCAAGCACAAGUCUUCAUACUUAAAGUCAAAUGGUGUCUUUAGUCUCAUUACACAUCGCUAUUUGAAGAUUAACUCAUCACUAGUGUAAUGCGAUUAAGACAGUCCUAACUCAAUAUUUGUUCUAGUUUUGGAUGCAAAUGCUUGCUGGUUUCAUCAUUGGAUGGGAUAAAGGUGCAAUCAGGACUAUGAAUACGUGCAGUAAUACUUCAUUCUCUUUUUUCUCAAUGAGACUUCUUGGCACAAUUUUGCUGCUCAGCAACCUACCUUUCCAUGGAAAAUCAGUUGUGACUGAUAGUAAUGGAUAUAUUCUAGAAAGCUAAACAUAGAUAGCAUUCAAUAUUAUCGAUAUAACAUUAACAGCGUAUGUCUCAAUGCUCAUCAGCUACAAGCAAUGGACAAACACUUUGAGUAACUCACAGCAGUCAAAAUUCCUAAACAGGACAGACGUGACAGAUCUAUAUAUAGAACACUGCAUAUGAGUCACAGGAAAAGAUAAUACGGGUACAUAGAAGCUCUUAUUUUACAUAUUACUCAUACUGAUCAAAGUCGCUCAGUUGGGAUGGAUGGGAGAAGGAGGUUUGAGGGGUGGCUUGUGCGGGGAAGUUGGCAGCUUCUUUCCGGGAGCUGGUUGCUUCUUUGCUGGAGUUGAAGGAGGCUUAAUCUUCCGAGGUGGCUUGUAUGAGUCUUCAGCAUUCUCAGCAGGAGGGUGACCAGGGUUGUGACCAUAAUGUGGUGGCUUCUCUCCCUUAGGUGGUUUGCCAACUGGGGUUGGUGGCUUGUUUUCUGGGAGUGGCUUCUCUCCCUUGGGUGGUUUGCCAACUGGGGUUGGUGGCUUGUGUUCUGGGAGUGGCUUCUCCCCCUUGGGAGGUUUUUCGAAUGGGGUGGGUUUGUGUCCUGGUGGUGGCUUCUCUCCCUUGGGAGGUUUACCAAUUGGGGUCGGUGGCUUGUGUUCUGGGAGGGGCUUCUCUCCCUGGGGAGGUUUAGUGGGUGGCUUGUGUUCUGGAGGUGGCUUCUCCACCGGAGGCUUAUGCUCUGGUGGUGGCUUCUCGAAGGGGGGAUGCUCAGGGUAAUCACCAAGUGAGGGGGUGGUGAGAACCACCAUGCCAAGCAACAACACUAGCAAGUAUGUAGUAGACAUCUUUGGGUUUGGACUCAGACAGUGCAAAACUACGAGAAAUCGCUAGCCCUUUAUAGCGGCUCGGACCUAAUACUGACAUAAUAUAAAAUAAAUAUUAUAUUUUAUCAAGAGAGAACAGAGUGUAAUUUUAUCAUUAAUACCGAUCGAGGCCAAAGAAAGAAGACCCAUAAUCCAUUUCCCACAAGCAUACACAAUGCAGCUGUAAUUUUAUCAUUUACUUUUAUCCCUUGGACCACUGCAUUUUUGUUGAGAGACACAAUAACACAUUUUUAUCUGUCAUUCAACAUUUACAGUAAAGAGAGGGCACAAAACGCAAUUAGAUAAAUUAUGUUUUGCCUGCUAAAAAGAGGCAAAUAACUUUAUUUGCAACAUAAUUAUUUUGGUUUCUAGUGACCCCGGGGCCUUUCGGUUGGUUUGGGAUCGGAAAAUGAACAUCAUAGGGGGGGUUGUGCCCUUAUGGGCAUAUAUAUCUGAUAGCUUCAACUGGCCUUGUUCCUAGAAAGAAAUUGCCAAAGAUAUAAACUUAUUCCAGGCUGAAAGUAGAUGAGAGUCAUAAUGAACAUCAACCUUUGUUCAGUUUGAUUCAAUGCCCCCAUAGUGUUCAUUUCACAGAUCUGAAUGAUUAUAUCCGUUGAAUACAUAAAUUAAUGAAGACAAAUAUGAAACCCAAGAUACAUCUCUGCAUAACAACCCCAACCCUGGUUGCUAUGUUUCCCUUCUUCUAUUCACAUGAGGAUACUGGUUAUAAUUGUCAAACUUGCAACAAGCCCUUUGACACCUAACGUCAAUGGACGAAUUAAAAGUCUCCUUCAAACGUCUAUUUCACAGCAUGAAGCUUAUAAAGGAUGCUGACAACCUUCAGAGUUAGCGACAAAAGAUAAUUAUCAAGGAGAGAUAGUUCCAUGAGAAUUCCAAGGAGUCUGAAUCAAAGACAAAUUGCUCACUCAAGGGUUCUUAUUUUCUUUUAGGUACAAAUCUCUUGAGUGUUGUUAAAGAAACACGUCACUGUCAUUUUGAUUUGCAUUUAACAUUUCACUUUUGUUCUGGAAGGUUUGUUCCGGAAACAUAUCAAAUGAGCAUCAUUUUCUUCUUCGGUGACACAUGGUCGCGAGUACGUGGGUCCAUUUUCAUGCCACUUAGUUGAAAAGUUGGAAAGAAAAAACAUGCCAACAAGAAGAUAGUGAGAGAAGGGGCACUUCAAGCCUUUAACAUGAACAAACAGUAAAUAAAAGAUGUUUCUCCACUCAUAAAAGUGUGUUAGAUAGCAAUAUAACGAAUCACAUCCAAAAUCUUUACUAGGCUCAAACAUAAAGAAGACUCAUUUUUAAGAAAAGAUAAAAAUGGCAUUGUCUGAUAGUAUCCAAUACACGAGAUGGCACUUAAUUUGUACAAGAUCUGUCAAUGCUGACGCACAUUUUCUGAUUAAAAAAAAACUGAUCAGUCAAAAGCAAUGAAGAGAAGUGAUGACAAUGAAUGAUGCUUCCAAUAUUUUCACCCCUUAUAGUGUUCUUCAUGAUUCAGAUAUAUAAUUGGAAAUAGAACAACCCUAUGCCAUACAUUCGUCUAAGUAUGGUGUCUAAUUUUUUGUGUCAGCGGUUGCGAAUGGAGCGUGCAAAAGUCCAAAUUGGCGUCUCUCCAUUUCCACAUAGGAAGGUGACCUUUAUUGACAAAUACCCAAUAUUUGUAGACAUUCCUUAAAUAUCAUAACUUCUUGUUGAUUUGAAAAUCAUUUUUCAACUACCAUGUUUUAAUAAAUAUUUUUUAAAAUGUAUUUUUAUCAAAGUCCACCAUGAUGGAUAAUAUUCACCAUGCAAUAAUUAAUAAAGUACAAACUAAGCGAAAUGAAAAGCAUUUUCUUUGCUUUGAGUUGAUUUUGGUUGCAUUGAGUUGAUUUUGGUUUCAUGGUUUUUUCAACUCUUAUUUUGAUUGGAAGAUGUCAAGAAAAGAAAACAUAAAGAAAAAUUAAAAGGGAAAAAAGAAGAAAAAUAAAAAAAAAUAGAUUUAAAAGUUAAUAAAUUAUUUUUUAUAUUUAUUUUAAUUCAUUUCACUUAUUUUUCUUUUACUAUAUAAAAUUUAAAUAAUUUAAAUUUUAUAAUUAAUUUAAUUACAUUUCAUUUUCUUCUAUAUUUAAAUAUUGGAAAAAUAUUUUACUUAAUAUUUUUUUCUUUAAUUUCUUUGGCAUUUUGGGAACCAAACUUAGCCUUUAAAAUAAAAAACAAAAAAAAAAUGAAAAUAAGGAGGGAAAAGUGAGAAAAGAUAAAAACAAUAUGUAAAGGAUUUGAAAAGUAUUAGUUUGUAAUUACUAUUUGGAUUUCAAUAGUAUUUUAUUUGUCUUUCUAUAUUUCAUGUAAGAGAGAAUUUAAGAUAUUCCCCAAGGCAAAGCAUUAGUUACCUGCAAUCAGUGGUGAUAAGGCUCCAAGCCAAUUUUGGGCCCCAUAUCUUAAGACAGUACAAUUUCCAUUUCAACAUUUCUGAUUUCUCAGAUGUUUCACAUACCACAGAAGAACAUUGUUUGUGAAAAUAUGCAUUUAUGUUGGAUUUUGUAUGCUGUGGGGACUGGGGCAAGGAUCAUAUGGAAGAGUGGUUGACUUUUUCUGUACUUUAACGGUUGAAAUAGGAUAAGCACGGGCAUUUGUGAGGCUUAAUUGAUUUUGAAGCCUGAAAUUGCGUUUCUGUCAUUUUGUCAAAAAAAUGGCAGAUUCCAUACUCAUAUGUUUGGCCUGUGGCCAUGUACAGAUGCCAUUUAGUGACCAGUUUGUAACUGUCAAUCGUUGCGUUUUGACUCUGCCUCAACAACAUCUGCCAUUGACGGGUUUUCAUACUUGCAAAUCAAAUAGUCUUUCGUCCCAUCAGGAAUUUCGGUUUAAAUAUUAUUAAGCAUACGUUUGGCUGACAAUCAUUAUCCAGUUCAUGAUUUGGUUUCUUACCCUUAAUCAAUGGUUUCUAAGUGAAUAUAUGUAGAAGGAAAUCCGAAGUGUAGACAGUAGUAUCGAUAACUCUCAAUAUUCUCUAUAUAAUAGAAUAAACAGCGUCAUAGUGAUCGUCGCCUACAAGCAAGGUACAAAUACCAAAACGAGUGACUCACAUAGACAUCUCCCAACAAGAUGUAGUAGUGACUGACACAUGGACACAAUUAACUCGUAGAAAAGGAUAAGACCAUUGCACAGCAGCUCUUAUUUUACAUACUACUUAUGCUAACCAAAGUCAAUUAGUUGGGAUGGGUGGGAGAUGGAGGUUUGUGCGGUGGCUUGUGGGGCGGAGUUGAUGGCUUCUUUCCAGGAGCUUCUGGCUUUUUCAUCGGAGCUGAAGGAGGCUCAAUCUUAUGAGGCGGCUUGUAUGAGUCUUCUUUACUCUCGACAGGAGGGUGGCCAGGGUUGUGAUCAUAAUGUGGUGGCUUCUCUCCCUUAGGUGGCUUGCCAACUGGGGUUGGUGGCUUGUGUUCAGGAAGUGGUUUCUCUCCCAUGGGAGGUUUAGCAAUUGGGGUUGGUGGCUUGUGUUCUGGGAGUGGCUUCUCUCCCUUGGGAGGUUUAGUAGGUGACUUGUGUUCUGGAGGUGGCUUCUCCACCGGAGGCUUGUGCUCCGGUGGUGGCUUCUUGGUUGGAGGGGGCUUGGGGUAAUCAGCAAGAGAUGGGGUGGUGAGAACCACCAGUCCAAGGAACAACACUAGCAAGUAUGUGGGAGACAUUUUUGAGUUUGGGCUGAUCAGAUGAUGCAAAACUAAAGCAUUACGUGACCUUUUAUAGCAUGUAGCUCCCAAUACCCACUAAGUAUUGUGGGGUCCAUUUGUGCCCUACGGGGUUGAAAACUUAGACAAUUGGGCAAGGACCCACCUGACUAUGGAGGACUAGUGAGGUGUGAUCAUAGCUUUAGGAUUUUUCUUCCUCUGCAGCCGUCGUGCCGUUGGCAUGAUUUUCUUAAUCUUAAAUAAAGGCAUAGUUAUAGAGUUGUUUAAUCUCUAAAUGGGAUUUUAUAUAUAUCUUCAGAUAGCCAUUAAUAUAUUUGAUGAAGAAAGAAAGACAAGUGCAUACAACAUGUAUACGACUAGCUUUCAUGGAGUUCAUUUAUGAUCAGUUUUCCUGUACAUGUAAACCAGGAUCAUAUAUAUGUUUCUGUUCCACAACUAUUUUGGAAUCUUGUUUAUCAGUUUUUAUCAUUAUAAUGUCACAUAGGCUGCCAACUUGGGCGCUAAAAGAACCAGUUGGGCUAGUUCGUUUCAGAAUUUCAAUGUGGAUUCAGGAAUUGUUUUGUAAGAUAUGCGAAAUAGUAGAGGGAUGAAUAGUGUUUCAUUAAUAAAAGUGUCCUGUAAAUUAGAAGGUGUCAUAGAAACUAUAAUCAAUAAAUAACUUUUUUUCCCCACGGGUGGUGUUUCUUGUGGGGAUCAGUGACUGGUUUAGGUUCACCCAAAAUGAGUUCAGACUAAAAUUGGUUUGAGUCAAUGCCGUGUCUCUUUUUUCCAGAAAUCAACUAUUUUAUGCAUUGAAUAAAUCAUACAAAGAAAAUAUGAACGCCCGCAAAACCUAAACCCUGGUUGCUAACUUUCUAUGUUUCAGUUCUAUUCACGCAAGAAUAUUAGUUUAAGUUUGGGAAAAAUGGCAACUUACCUAGUGAUUACUUGGUUUUGGUUUGCGACUAUUUACGCAACCAACCAUGAGUUUGACUUUAACGUCAUGGGUUGAAGCCUCCUACAGGAAGGGAGAAAGCUCCACAGCUAGCUCCAAAAGAGAAUUAUCACAUUGAUAGCUCCAGAGAUUCCCAAGGGGACUGAAUCAAAGACAAGUUCCUCACUUUUUCUUCUUUUGAGGCCAAAUAUGAACCAAGGAUCACACAACCUCAUUCAACUUCAUAAGUUUGAUUUCAUGCAGUUGAACACUGGGUGAAGGCCAUGACAAGAAUUGAUUCAAAAAUUCUAUCACUCUUUUAAGUAAUGGAAGAUUAUUAUCUCUGAUUGGCAUCACAACAGCACAUGCUCCUAGAUCUUUCUAGACACUCCAUGCAAUGAAAGCACAAUGGAUCUUGUAACGAUAGAAACUAAGCCAUGCUACAGUACUAGAUGAUGAGGUAAAACUAGUAGACACGGGUGGCAGCCUAUAUGGGAGGGACACAAGUCUAAUUGAUUUGCAUUUCAGCAUUAUAGAUAGGUAUGUUUUGGAAGAUUUGUUCUGGAAAUACCGCACCAAGUAGGAUUCUUUUUCUCUUUAGUGGGUCCACUUGCAUGCCAAUUAACGAGUUGAAAAGUAUGAGCACCUACCUCGUGCUCGUGGAACCGAAGGUCAGUGAAGUGGGGCUCCUUUUGGCCUCGUGUAAACUUGAUUCAGAAGUGAAGUUAAUAGUCUUCCAUUCAGAUGGAUACAUGGGAAUUUUUCUCUUUUAUUUAUUUAUUUAUUUUUUUUUUGUGUGUGUAUGUCAAAGGAUAAUGAAUGAAGCGCGUUAGCUUGUUUUCUGACUGGAACCGCAGAUGUCCAAAUUGGAGUUCCUUCAUUUCUUACUUAGGAUUGUUACAUGUAUAAACAAGGUAUAAGAAAUAUGCCAACGUGUCUUGAGGAGUUAUUGAUUAGAAAUAACAAGUCACCCGACUGUAGAGUUCCAAGAUUUGAAUCUUCAGACCCUAUAGCAGCCUCUGGGGUACGUGGCAUCCUAUAGCAUAUUAAUGAAGGCUUUUUCGAUUUAGACUUCACAAUACCAAUUAAUAUGUAUGCACAAAAUGGAGAUGACCCCAAAAAAAACAGAAUCGCCAUAGUUUAUGAGGUUAAGGUGAUUCUCCACUUAAUAUCUACAUUAGCUAAUUAUGUAAAUCAAAUGAACUUCUAUUUUUCCUUUUUUUUUUUGGUUUAUGUCAAAUAGUAGCCCAUAAUUAACCCAACCAUUAGCCUGUUUGAAUUGAUUUCACAUGCACAAUGUUGUAGUAGUUCAUAUUUUGAAUUUUAUUUUUACAAAGGUAGUUAAGGAAAAUGAAGUAUAAUAAUUAUAAAAGCAGACUAUAUACACUACAAUAAUUGUUAGAAUGGUAUCUCAAAUUCUAAUUUAAAAUAUUAUUUUUUGUAAAAGAAAUAUUAUAUAGAAUAUUUCCUAAUUUUAUAAAUGAUUAUAAUUAGAUCUUUAUAAAAUAAGGAAAGUUGGUAAGAAUAUCUUUAUAAAUAUUUUAGGUCAUGAGAGAAAGAAAUGGGAUAAAAAUGUGAUGAAGAGGUGAAAUAAGAGAGUUGAUUAGGAUAUAGAUGUGAAGAAGAAAGGGAUUCAAUAUAUAUAUAUCUUUCAAUUACCACAUUAAAACCCUGUGAACCUUUUAUAUGGUUUACUUUAUUUUUAUAUUCCUCCUUUAAUAUAUUUACAUUAAUGCUUCCAUUGGCACAACAAUAACGAAUUACAAAUACAAGCAACAAGUCCCAUGUUUUAUUACCAAAAGCAGGUAAAAUCCACCUAAUAUAUUACAAUAUAUUCAUCCAAUAUUUUAGACCAAUUCUUCACCAUAAAUAUCAUAAUGUGGCUUUUGUUCUUUCUUAAAUUUAAAUUGAAUUGUCUUAUAUCAAUUUGUUUGUGAUUUUUUCAUUAACUUCACUUUCAUUUGGUUAUCUUUGGUUUUUGAAAAGUAUUAAGGAAUUAAUUAACAAAAUAAUGUUAAGAAAAAUAAUUUUCUCUCUUUUGAUUUUGAUUUUGUAGUAGAAAAAUAUAAUUAAAAUUAUUUAAAAAGUAUGUAAUUUUAAAUUAUUUAAUAUUUAGAUAAAAAAAAUAAGUCUAAUGAGUUUAAAAUAACAUAUAAAAAUAAUUUAUUUAUUUUAAAUUUAUUUUUUAUUUUCCAUUAUGUUCUCUUUCUCUUUUACUUUUUCAUAUUUUUUCUUACGAAGAAUCAAACACAACCUCAUAUUAUAUGUCAAGUGUUUGUCUAUAUUUGAGCAAUGUUAGAUACGGCCAUGGAUUCAUCAAACUAAACUGAUUUUAAUAGAUACUUCACAAAUUGAUUUAUACACUAAAUCAUUGGAUAGCAAUGAUGCAUUGGAAUUAAACGUAGGAUGAAGCUCGAAGAACACUGUUUGUGUAACAACAUAUUUAUGAAAUUAUGCAAAGGAUGAGCUUCGGGGUAGUAGUACAAGGUCAUUAAUGGAGAGCCGUGUUAAACCUUGAUUGUGAUUGGAUUCCGUUAUCAGCAACAGCAACCUUGUUUGUAACCUUGAAAGUCAUUCUGUCCACAUCGAAACUCCAAUUUGACGUUUGUAAUUACCAUUCCUGGAGUGUUCCUUGAUUGAAAUUUAAAUAAUAAUUGCGGCCCACAAGGAAUAUUUUCGAUUCUGUGGGAAUUUGACAAGGUUUGUUAGAGAAGACUGGUGACAUGUUGACUUCAAUGGUUCAAAUAGGAGACGUAUGUGGAUUUGGGGGGUUUAAUUGAAACUGAGUCCCUAUGGCUUUUUAAUAUUUGCAUUGAGCAGUCUCCAUGUGACUUCCUAAUUCCCACCAACCCUCCUGUCCAUGCUGUGAAACUAAAUUGUAAUUUAUCAGCCUUUGUCAAUGGUUUCUAAAUUAAAGAUAUAGACCAUGCAUGUACUUUAAUAAAAGCAAAUCUAAAGUGUAGAUAGCAGCAAUGGUGACACCCAAUAUUCUCCAUAAAAUAGAAUUAGAAUAAGCAGUGUUACAUUGUUCAUGAUCACCUACAAGCAUACAAGAACUUCCAUGAAUAACUCAUAGCAAUUGCCAACAGGGCGUCGUAGAGACUCAUACAUAGAACACUAUCCACCCAGAGGAAAGGACAAGACCAGUGCGCUGCAGCUCUUAUUUUUCACAUGUAUACCACCACUCGUAAUAACCAAAUUCACUCAGUUGGGAUAGGUGGGAGAUGGUGGUUUGUGGGGUGGCUUGUGGGGAGGAGUUGGAGGAGGCUUUAUUUUCUGAGGCGGCUUGUAUGAGUGUGCAGGAGGAUGCCCGGGAGUGUGACCAUAAUGUGGUGGCUUCUCUCCCGUAGGUGGUUUGCCAAAUGGGCUUGGUGGCUUCUCUCCCUUAGGAGGUUUACCAAUUGGGGUUGGUGGCUUGUGUUCUGGGAGUGGUUUCUCUCCCUUGGUAGGUUUGCCAAUUGGGGUUGGCGGCUUAUGUUCUGGGAGUGGCUUCUCUCCCUUGGGAGGUUUGCUAAUUGGGGUUGGCGGCUUAUGUUCUGGGGGCGGCUUCUCUCCCUUGGGAGGUUUGCCAAUUGGAGUUGGCGGCUUAUGUUCUGGGAGUGGCUUUUCUCCCUUGGGAGGCUUGCCAAUUGGGGUUGGCGGCUUAUGUUCUGGGGGUGGCUUCUCUCCUUUAGGAGGUUUGCCAAUUGGAGUCGGCGGCUUAUGUUCUGGAAGUGGCUUUUUUCCCUUGGGAGGUUUGCCAAUUGGGGUUGGCGGCUUAUGUUCUGGGGGUGGCUUCUCUCCCUUGGGAGGUUUGCCAAUUGGAGUCGGCGGCUUAUGUUCUGGGAGUGGCUUCUCUCCCUUGGGAGGUUUUGUUGGUGGCUUGUGUUCUGGAGAUGGCUUCUCCCCUGGAGGCUUGUGCUCCGGAGGUGGCUUCUGAAAUGGCGGGGGCUUGGGGUAAUGAGCAAGAGAUGGAGUACUGGUGAGAACCACCAUUCCAAGCAACAAUACUAGCAAGCAUGUGGGAGACAUCUUUGAGUAGUUGUAGCUAAGAUGGCGCAACACUGUAGGCAUUGGGUGGCCUUUUAUAAAGGGCUGGACCCAACAGCCAUAUGACACGUGUCAUGAUGACAAAUGAAGUUGAGGGGAUCCAGAUGGGUCCUACUGAGUCGAAAACUUGCACUAAUUGAUCUGGUGAGAUGACUAUUUCUGUCCUUUUGCCCUUCUCGGCCACCCUGUGCUGUUUUCCUUUUGCACGAUUUUCGUUGCCAAACAAGCAAAUAAUAUUUCGCCAAGAAAGAGGAGAGUGAAUGUGGAAUGCAUCAAGUCCCAUCAAGGAUGGCAGAGAAGAAAUAGAAGAUUGCCCAACUGUGAUAAACAUAGCAUACACGUAGCACCAGGAACUUCAUUUACUUCCAUCUAAUGGAACAUAACAAUCUUCUAAAGUUUUUGCAUGAUUUUGUUAUAUGUCUCUUAGCCUAAAGUUGGAAAUGCGCAACAAAUUUUGUCACUUCUCUAUUUCCCACUGAUGAUGUUAAUUAGCCUUCAUAGAUAUCAUCCUUUCUACAAAGUGCUUCAUUUGUGUGUUAUUGUAAAGUGUAAGAAAAGUAAUUGAACAUGUUCUUUUUCCUUUCAUAGAUGACUUUUGAUGUGCAUUUUAAAAGCAGCGCUGUGAGUCGGUGACCUUGAUUCACACGGAAACUAAGGCUCCUAUAGGACCCACUUUUAGCUGGUUAGGGGUGAAGAAAAUAUCAACUUUUCAGAGUGAUUUAAGUCAAGGCCAAGCCUCACUGUGUCAUUACUCGUGUGAAUUUUAUAUGCACAUACAUACAUAAAUAAAGUAUGAGACCCAAAUAACACCUUCCCUUUACAAACUUAACCCCAGCCGCUCUCUUUCAAUUCUUUUCACACAAGGGUAUUGACUCUAUAAAGGUCAAGAAAAUCAUAAUUUCCUAGGGUUUACAAGGUAAUUGGCUUAAUGCUAAUGUGAAAACAUAAAAGAUAAUAGUAUAUUGUAAGCUAACGAAUAUUCUAUAGUUAUAAUUAUUUGUGAUGUGCAUAAAUAAAUCUUCAUAUAUAUAAUGGAACAAUGAAUAAAGAACCAAUGAAAAAAUACUAUAUAUCAUUGCUUGGCAUUUAAACCGUAUAUGCUGCUCUUUCUAGCUACUCCAUCCACUGAAAGACAACAAGGUAAUCCAUGUUAUAAUGAUAGAAGAUACUGUCUCUAGGCUUUUUGUGAUGAAAAAUAUAAGAUAUGGGUAGGGUUGACCCUUGUAUGUUUGUCCUAUAAACACUUCAAAGUAACAUAUUUUUCUUCUUUAGCAACUCAUAAUGAUGGGGUUCAUUUGCAUGUCACUGAGUUGAAAAGUUGGACAAUUGCCCAUGUCGCCUUCCUCCUAGAUUCCGUAGUUCACGGGAAGGUAACUCAAGUUUGACAUAUUUUGAAUUCUUUUCACUCGGACGUCUUCAUAACCUGACAAAACAAAAAUGAAAAACAGAGGAUUGGUAUAUUAUUCAUGGUAAGCCUCAAAUUAUAGUAGUAUGAGAAAGGAGAAAAAGAUUUUGGGAACUCCAAUCUGGAUAAUUCUCGUUUCUUCUCUUGAAUAAAAAUUUCACUUACCUAACUUCGUUUGGAGAAAUGGCAUAUUUUAAUUUUGUACGUCAUUGCUAAUAAAUGGAGCAAUUUAGCAUGUUUUGUGACUGAAACUGCAAAUGUCCAAUUGGCAUUUCUUCAUUUCCCACUUAGGAUCUGAUCUUGUAGACCAUAUAACGAUAUGUAUCUGUGCAAGCAUUGAAAACUAAUGUGAACUAUGAGGAGUUACAAGCCACUGGACUGUAGAGCGAGUGCCAAGAUUUAAAUCUUCAGGCUCUAUCUGGGUAAGGGGAGGAUAGCGACCUAACCUUUUACCAAAGGCUUAGAAUUUAGACUUUUGGAAAAAAAUUUCUCAUGUUUUGGCUGGAUUUCUUGUGCUUGGCGCAAAAAGGAGAUGGCCUCAAGAAAUAGCAGACUCACUUUUGUUUUCAGCCCUUAAUAAUUCUCCACUGCUUUCCAUAACUACAUGGGUUAUACAUGCAGUCUGCUGCAAUAUUCCAGUUAUAUUUAUUAUUUCAAAGAGGGUGAAUGACUUCACAUGCAAUAUGUUGCAGUAACAACCCAAAUUUUGGCACACCAUCUUAAGAAUAGAAAAGUAUAAUAAAAGAAAUCAAUCAGAGAAUCACUUUGCAUGCAGUUCAUAGAGUUCGCCCAAAAUGGAGCCACAUGUACGGACAACCCCACAAUAGACAAUCUUCUCUAUACAGUAAUAAAAUACAGAAAUGGUUAAUGAAGCUCUGUAUUUCCUUAUCAUAUAUGACCGGUUGAAAACUCAGCAAGUCUUCCUCAAUCACAGACAGUUGGAGUUGCUUCAUCAAAAUCAUGCCUUCAUUACUGGCUUCAUUUUGGUUUCAAUGUCUGUUCUACCCUUAAAUUGGGUCUCUGCUUACUACCGGGAUAUCCUUUAGCGUCCUGCAAUUCUACUAGAUUAAAGAGAAUGACUUAAUUCUGCAUUCUGCCGUCCCUAGUCCAAGUGGUACUAGAAUUGAUGUUUCCUUUAGUGUCCUUUCUUCAUACUUUCAGGUUCUUCCCUUGUUUCAAUAAUGCUGUUUUCCUUCAUGUUUAACCUCUGUUGAACCACUUAAAACAACACAAUUUGCACACCAAUGUUUCUUUACAGAAAAGACUGUUUGCAAAAAUGCACAUGUUAUAAGGUUAAUGGAAGAAUUAAUUUGGGGAUAAGGGACUAGGAUUGGGCCAAUGAAGUUUGGUGUUAAAUUUUGAUUAUGAUUGCUUUUCAUUAUCAGGUACCUUAUAUUUGCUGAUGCUAUCUGGAACUAAAUUCAAAUCAGACAUUAUCCGAUUACUAACAGGACAUAUCAUGUCCCUCUGCAGAGUUUCUAAACUAACAUGUAUCGAAAUGUGGCCCCAAAAGGAAGGCUAGGAAGAUGGAGGAUUUUGUAGGAAUCGACCAGAAUCAGAUGGAAGAGAGAUAGUCCUGUUGACUUUAAUGGUUGUGAUAGGAACAUGCAUCAUUAUAUGAGAAGUUGCAUGAAUUUAUGUAUCCUGUUAUCGUUCCUUGACGAUUUCCCAAUGCAAUUUCACUGUCCACAAGACUAACCUCUCCAUGCAGUCAAAUGAAUUGUAAUUUCUCUAUUGGUACCAGUAGUACAUUUCAUACCAAACAUAUAGUAAAUAUAAAAUAUAAAUAGAUCAAGGAAAUCUGAAUUGUAGAUAGCACUGCAAGUAACACUCAAUAUUCUCUAUAUAUAAUAAAAUAAACAGUGUCACAAUACUCAUCACCCAGUGGCAAGGGAGAAAAACCUACAAUGAGUACUCAAAUCACCAUUCUCAAACAGAAACAUAGCAGUGACUGAUACAUAGAACCUAUAUGCUCACAGGGAAAGAAUAAGAUGACCAGUGCACAGCGGGCAGCAGCUCUUAUUUUACGUACAACUCAAAUCCCAAACUAACCAAAGUCGCUCAGUUGGGAUGGGUGGGAGAUGGUGGUUUGUGGGAUGGCUUCUGGGUAGGAGCUGGUGGCUUCUGUCCCUUUGGUGGUUUGCCUAAUGAGCUUGGUGGCUUGUGCUCCGGGAGUUGUUUCUCUCCCUCGAGUAGGUUUCGAGUCUUGUCAGAUGGCUUGUGUUCUGGUGGUGGCUUCUCUCCCUGGGGUGGUUUGCCGAAUGGGCUUGGUGGCUUGUGUUCGGGGAGUGGCUUCUCUCCCUGGAGAAGGUUACGAGUUUUGUCAUAUGGCUUUUGUUCUGGUGGUGGCUUCUCUCCCUGGGGUGGUUUGCCGAAUGGGCUUGGUGGCUUGUGUUCGGGGAGUGGCUUCUCUCCCUGGAGAAGGUUACGAGUUUUGUCAGAUGGCUUGUGUUCUGGUGGUGGCUUCUCUCCCUGGGGUGGUUUGCCGAAUGGGCUUGGUGGCUUGUGUUCGGGGAGUGGCUUCUCUCCCUGGAGAAGGUUACGAGUUUUGUCAGAUGGCUUUUGUUCUGGUGGCGGCUUCUCUCCCUGGGGUGGUUUGCCAAAUGGGCUUGGUGGCUUGUGUUCGGGAACUGGCUUCUCUCCCUUGGGAGGUUCAGUUGGUGGCUGCUGUUCCGUAGGUGGUUUCUUCACCGGCGGCUUGUGCUCCGGAAGCGGCUUCUCUACCUGGAGAAGCUUACGAGUUUUGUCCGAUGGCUUGUGUUGUGGUGGUGGCUUCUCUCCCUGGGGUGGUUUGCCAAAUGGAGUUGGUGGCUUGUGUUCGGGGAGUGGCUUCUCUCCAUUGGGAGGUUUAGUUGGUGAUUGGUGUUCCGUAGGUGGUUUCUGAAGUGGGGGAUGCUUGGGGUAGUCAGCAAGAGACGAGGUAGUGAGAACCACCAGUCCCAGCAGCAACACUAGCAAGCAUGUGGAAGACAUCUUUGAGUUCAGGCUGAGAUCUGUGCAAGGAUAACAGAAUUAGGUGGCCUUUUAUAGAGGCCUGGACCCAACACCCAUAUGACACGUGUCAUGCACUCAUGGUGACACAUAAUUCUAUGGGACCAUUUGGGUCCUACAGAAGUUGCAAAGUUGGACUACUGAGGUGUGAUCACAACUUUUGUCCUUAUUGCUUUCUCUGCGGCCAUUGCACGAUUUCCUUUAGCAUCAUUUUCUUGGCUAAAUAAGCGUAUUAUAUUUGUGGCAGACCGUCCACGUGUCAUAAACAGAUAUAUUAUAAUAAUGUAGUAUGCUUUUCUCCAAUGGAACAUGACACUCUUCUAAGUCUUGUUUUAAAUAUUGUGCAGGAUUACUUUAUACGUUGCAGUUCCAAGUCAAAAUUGGUGGGCAAACGUUGGCCUUUUUUCAUUUCACCUAAGAUUAAUGCUCACCUGGGAUAGGCACUACAUGACUUAUCUGCUCUUUUACUGUAAAGUUGCUUUGUGUAUGAGAUACACCUCCCCUGCACACCCUCAACAUUCGUUGCUCUGUUUUCCUUGUGUCCAGACGAGGAUAUUAAUUGGAGGCUGACAAAACGACUGCUAGCCCAGGAUUUACAAGGUCCUGGUUUGAGGCUUCGGUGAAAGUAUUUUUGAAAAGACACACAUAGAGAUAGUGCGUUUGGUGCAAUGCAGCACUGUGAGCCAUUCUGACGCGUUCUUAAUUUCAAAACUAAUGAAUGCUUCAAAAUUUUAAGAAGUGACAUUUCCAAAUAUUUGAGUUCGUUUAAUUGAACAUUGGAUAACUAGUGAUCAUAGAUUAUUAUCUGUGCUUGGCACUAUAAGAGGGUAUAUGCUUCUUUUUCUGGCCCCUCCUUCAAGGGAGGAGGGACAAUGUGAUCUGUAACGUUAGAAGCUAUUCCAUGUCAUCUUUGGGCUCAGUUCAAAACUAAAAGAUAAUGGGGGGGGGGGGGGGGGGCAUAUCAUUUUAUAUUUCUUCUAGAAGGUUUGUUCUGGAAAUAUUUCACAGGAGCAUAUCUUUUUCUUCUAUUACGUCAUCCGCAGCCUCCAAUAGGUCGGUUAACAAGCCACCGAGUUGAAAAGUUGGAAAAAUGGGAACACAGCCCGCCUCUUGUAUUCAGUAGUUAAAUAAAAGGUCACUAGAAGUGAGAUCCCUUUUGGCGUCUUGAUUUUCAAUCCAGCACCUCUGUGACCUGACAAACCAAAAAAACUAAAAAAUAAAAAACAGUACGUGGGUUGGUGUUAAGCAUCAAGACAUGUUAAUGAAAGAAGGUAGAGAAUAGGAUAUUGAAAUCCCAAUCCUGAUAACAUGAUUUUCUUUGCUAACAACCAUAUUAUAUUUUAUCAAGAAAGAGUAAUGCAUGUGGCGUCCAUCAAGACCCAUUAGAGUUCCGCUAAAGCUAUAGUUCUGUCAACGUUAUCAUUUACGUUUCCUCUAGAUAAUGGCAUUUUCCUCUAAAGCUCUUGCACCAUUAGGCUUCAAGUCAAAAUUUCACAUGUGAACUUUGGAAAUUUUCUCCAUUUGCCCCUAAGGAUACAGUUAGAAUUGACUUAAAAUCCUGAUUGAUAUGUACUAUUAACCAAAGAAUAUUGUAUAUAAUAAUUGAAAUAUUGUUGAUUCAUCGUGGAAAUACAUUUUGUAAGGAAAGUUGUUGAGAAUUUAGUAUGCUAUAUGGAGAAAAAAGUCAUGACUUAAGGUUGUGUAUGUAUAUUCUAUAUCAAAUAUUAGGUAGGAAUGUGGGAAAGAGCAGAGUGUAAUGAUAAGAAACAAAGAAAUAUAAGAUAUUCUUGAAAGUGGAAAAUAUAAAAUGGCUAACGAGUCAAAUUUAUGAUGCGUAAGGGGGAUCAUGUCACAUAAGAAAACCAUGGCAUACUAAAGACGUACGUGUGGUAUGGAGUAAUAAUUUUGUUAAAAUAAGUUUCUUGUUGGAGUACAUUAGGUGACUAUUCAUAACGUAUCAAAUUAAAGAGUCAAGUGCAUCAAUGAAGGCAUAUGUAGAAAAUUUGUUUGUGACAUGUACCAUAAAGAUAAGAUUGACUUGAUAGAAUUUAGUCUAAGUAGGAGUUGUUAAAGGUGUCUUAAAUUUCUAAUUGAUGUAUAUUUUUUUCUAAAAAAAUAUUAUAUAGAUAUUUUAAUAAAUGAUUAAUUCUUUGUAAAAAUACUUACAUAAUAAAAAACAUCAUUAAAAAUAUCUUUAUAAAUAUUUUAAGUUACAAGAAGGAAAAAAACCACUGUGAGAUAAUGAUGAACAUGCAACACUGUACCAAGUAAAUAAAAAUGUGAUAAAAAAAAAAGAGAAACACUCGAUAAAGGAAGGCUCGUAUAUAAAGAGUAAUAUUUUUAAUCAUAUGAUAGAAUGAUUUUCUCUCAUUCAUGAAUAUAGGCAAGAUUGGGGAACCAUUAUAAAAUUUUGUACACCUCGUGUAAAUUGAUGUUUGUCUUCAUAUUUUACACCAACAAAUGACAUUGAAGUUGUCAUUGAUAAAAGGGAAAAGGCAUGCCUCCACACCAUGUGCUUGAUUCGAAUGGUUCAAGUUUGAAGAAUUUUCUCCGGAAGAUCUAAAACAUUUUCGCCUUUAAAUUUCAUUUGAUUAUUAAUAUCCGAAAAAAUAGUUAAAUACUCUUUCUAUUUUUGAGUUGUUGAAUUUUUUGAAAGUUUUUAUAUUUGUUAUCAAGAAUUUCUAUUUUAUUAAGGGUGAAUAUUUAUAAAUAAGAUAUUAUAUAAUAUUUGGAUAAGAGAGAAUGGUGGAAUAUAAUAAAGUUUUAAUCCUUCCCAAUUUUGAACCUUUUUUUUUUUUUUUGAUAUAAUCGCCUUUCUCUUGCAAUCCUAUUAUCAGGUACCUUAUAUUUGCUGAUGCUAUCUGGAACUAAAUUCCAAUCAGGCAUUGUCCAAUUACUAAUAGGACAGAUCAUAUCUCUCUGUUUCUAAACUAACAUGUAUCGUAAUGUGACCUCAUAAGGAAGGCUAGGAAGAUGGAGGAUUUUGUGGGAAGCGACCAGAAUCAGAUGGAAGAGAGAUAGCCCUGUUGACCUAAUGGCUGUAAUAGGAGAAGCGUGUGGUUUUAUGGGACUUAACUGAUACUAAACCUGUAUGAUGCUUGGAGUGGUGUUUCUUUCAUUUUGUUAAGAAAAUAUGGCAGCAUACAUGCUUUCAACUGAGUGCAUCAGAGCAUCCAUAACAGAUGGUCUGCAACCCUAGGUGCAUGCCACUUUCUGACUGAUAAUGAAAUUGUCAGGUACCUGGCCUUGACUAAGCUCAACAGCAUCACAUAAAGAGAAGCUUUCAUACUUAGAUUACUGUUUAAAGUUUUUGCUUAUUUGAUUUCUUAAUGCCAUUAUGACAUUAUUGAUUCAAUUCUGCUUCCGAUUUUCGAAGUUCUGGGCAUCUACUGAUUGCAUCAUUAUAUGAGAAGUUGCAUGAGUUUAUGUAUCCUGUUAUUGUUCCUUUGCGAUUUCACUGCUCACGGGACUAACCUCUCCAUUCAGUCGAAAUGAAUUGUAAUUUCUUUACUGGUAGCAGUAGUACUUUUCAUAGCAAAGAUAAUAGAAAAUAUGAAAUAUAAAUAGAAGGAAAUCUGGAUUGUAGAUAGCACCAUAAGUAACACUCAAUAUUCACUACAUAAUAAAUAGACAGUGUUACAUAGGUAGAGAAACCUACAAUGAGUACUCAUCACCAUUCUCAAACAGAAACAUAGCAGCGACUUAUACAUAGAACCUAUAGGCUCGCAGGGAAAGAGUAACAUGAUAAGUUCACAGCGGGUAGCAGCUCUUAUUUUACGUAUUACUCAAAAUCUCAAACUAACCAAAGUCACUCAGUUGGGAUGGGUAGGAGAUGGUGGUUUGUGGGGUGGCUUCUGGGUAGGAGCUGGUGGCUUCUUUGUUGGAGUUGAAGGAGGCAUAUUCUUCUGAGGUGGCUUGUAUGACUCUUCGGCACUCUCUGCAGGAGGGUGCCCAGGGUUGUGACCAGAAGGAGGUGGCUUCUGUCCCUUUGGUGGUUUGCCUAAUGGGCUUGGUGGCUUGUGCUCCGGGAGUUGUUUCUCUCCCUCGAGUAGGUUUCGAGUUUUGUCAGAUGGCUUGUGUUCUGGUGGUGGCUUCUCUCCCUGGGGUGGUUUGCCGAAUGGGCUUGGUGGCUUGUGUUCGGGGAGUGGCUUCUCUCCCUGGAGAAGGUUACGAGUUUUGUCAGAUGGCUUUUGUUCUGGUGGCGGCUUCUCUCCCUGGGGUGGUUUGCCAAAUGGGCUUGGUGGCUUGUGUUCGGGAACUGGCUUCUCUCCCUUGGGAGGUUCAUUUGGUGGCUGGUGUUCCGUAGGUGGUUCCUUCACCGGCGGCUUGUGCUCCGGAAGCGGCUUCUCUACCUGGAGAAGCUUACGAGUUUUGUCAGAUGGCUUGUGUUGUGGUGGUGGCUUCUCUCCCGGGGGUGGUUUGCCAAAUGGACUUGGUGGCUUGUGUUCGGGGAGUGGCUUCUCUCCAUGGGGAGGUUUAGUUGGUGGUUGGUGUUGCGUAGGUGGUUUCUGAAGUGGGGGAUGCUUGGGGUAGUCAGCAAUAGACGAGGUAGUGAGAACCACCAGUCCCAACAGCAACACUAGCAAGGAUGUUGAAGACAUCUUUGAGUUCAGGCUGAGAUCUGUGCAAGGAUAAAAGAUUUAGGUGGCCUUUUAUAGAGGGCUGGACCCAACACCCAUAUGACACGUGUCAUGCACUCAUGGUGACACAUAAUUCUAUGGGACCAUUUGGGUCCUACAGAAGUUGCAAAGUUGGACUAUUGAGGUGUGAUCACAACUUUUGUCCUACUUGCUUUCUCUGCGGCCAUUGCACGAUUUCCUUUAGCAUCAUUUUCUUGUCUAAAUAAGCGUAUUAUAUUUGUGGCAGACCGUCCACGUGUCAUAAACAGAUAUAUUAUAAUAAUGUAGUAUGCUUUUCUUCAACGGAACUUGACACUCUUCUAAGUCUUGUUUUAAAUACUGUGCAGGAUUACGUCAUAAGUUGCUUGUUCCAAGUCAAAAUUGGUGGGCAAACGUUGGCCUUUUUUCAUUUUCCCUAAUAUUAAUGCUCACCUGGGAUAGGCACUACAUGAUUUAUCUGCUCUUUUACUGUGAAGUUGCUUUGUGCAUGAGUUACACCUCCCCUGCACACCCUCAACAUUUGUUGCUCUGUUUUUCUUGUGUCCAGACGAGGAUAUUAAUUGGAGGCUGACAAAACGACUGCUAGCCAAGGAUUUACAAGGUCCUGGUUUGAGGCUUUCACGAAAGUAUUUUUGAAAAGAUACACAUAGAGAUUGCGCGUUCGGUGCAAUGCAACAAUGUGAGCCAUUCUGAAGUCUUAAAUUUCAGAUUAAUGAAUGCUACAAAAUUCUAAGAAGGGCCGUUUCCAAAUAUUUGAGUUCAUUCAUCCGAACAUCGGGUAUAUGCUUCUUUCUCUAGCCCCUCCUUGAAGGGAGGAGGGACAAUGUGAUCUGUAUCGUUAGAAGCUAUUCCAUGUCGUCAUCUUUGGGCUCAGUUCAAUACUAAAAGAUAUGGGCGGGGCCCUUAUCAUUUUAUAUUUCUUCUAGAAGGUUUAUUCUGGAAAUCUUUCACAGAAACAUAUCUUUUUCUUCUCUACGUGAUCCGUGGUUUGAAAGUUGGAAAAAUGGGUCCGUUAACAAGCCACCGAGUUGAAAAGUUGGAAAAAUGGCAACACCGCCAACCUCUUGUAUUCGAUAGUUAAAUAAAAGGUCACUGGAAGUGAGAUCCCUUUUGGCCUCUUGAUUUUCAUUCCAGCAUCUCUAUGGCCUGAUAAAUUAAAAAACUAAAAAAAAAGACAGUACGUGGGUUGGUGUUAAGCAUCAAGAGUCAAGACAUGAUAAUGGAGAGAAAGGAUAUUCAAAUUCCAGUUCUGACAACAUGAUUUUCUUUGCUGAACUACCAUAUUAUAUUUGAUCAAGAAAGAGUAGUGCAUGUGGCCAGGAUCAAGACAUACAUUAAUUUCCACAUGAUGAAGACAGUUUCUGAGAGUUUCUUCUAAAGCUCUUGCGCGAGUAGGCUUCAAGUCAAAAUCUCCCAUGUAAACACUGGUUUUUCUUUCAUUGCCACUAAGGAUGCAGUUAAUAUUGACUUAAGAUCCUACGUGAUAUAUUUUUUUAAAAGAGCUAUAUUGUAGAUAAUAUUUGAAAUAAUGUUGAUUCGUUGUGGAAAUAUAUUUGUAAGGAAAGUUGUUGACAAUUUAAUAUAGUAUAAGAAGAAAAAAGUUAUCAACUAGCUAGAGAUGAGUAUGUAAAGUGAGGCUCACGAUUCAACGCGUAAAUAUAAGAUAUUUUAAGGCUCAAUAGUUAUGAUAUCUAUUUUAUUUUUUGUAUCUCAUAUAUUCAAAGAUAUAGUAAAAUGAUUUUACAUAUAUAUAUAUAUAUAUAUAUGAACAUAACUAUUUGUGCCAAUUGAUUUUUAUCUUUAUUUUGUAUAUUAGUAAUUAUAUUAAAGUUUUUACUAAUAUAAUAACUAAUAUAAAAGCUUUUUCUAAAAGAGUCAACAGAGCAAAACACUUAUUAUAAAAAAUAAUUUUGAUUGAAGGUGGAGUCAAUUAUUCUUUAUUUAACAUGUAAUGCAUACGGCGUGUACUUCAUAACUAAAGUAUAUAAGUGUAACAUCUCUUAUAUAUUCUCAUUCAAUCUCGAAAGUGGAAAUUUUAAAAAGAUUAAACGGUUCAAAUUUGUCGUGCAUAAAGGGGAUCAUGUCACAUAAGCAAACCAUGGCAUACCAAAGACAUAGGUAUGGACUAAGAAUUUUUUUCAAAUAAGUUUCUUAUUAGGGUACAUUAAUAGGUGACUUUUUAUGACAUAUCAAAGGAGUCAAGUGCACCAAUAAAAACAUAUAUAGAAAAUUCAUGCAUGACAUGUAUCACUAAGAGAAGAUUGACUUGAUAGAGUUUAAUCCAAAUAGGAGAUUGUUAAAAGGUGUCUCAAAUUCUUGAUUGAUAUAUAUUUUUUUUAUUAAAAAGGUUAUUAUAUAGAUAUUUCAAUAGACUAUUAAUUCUUUGUAAAAAUAGUUAUAUAAUGAGGAUGGUGAUUAAAAAUAUCUCUAUCAAUAUUUUGGAUUAUAAAAAGAAAAAAAAUGAGAUAAUGAUAAACAUAUAAAACUUGUACAAGUAGAUAAAGAUGUGAUGAAAGACACUUGAUGAAUGAAGGCUUUGUAUUUCAAGAUAUAAAUAUAUGGAGCAAAACUCUUAAUUAUAUGAUCAAAUGAUUCUCUCAUAUUCAUGAAUAUAAGCAGGAUUGGGGAACCAUGAUAGAAUCUUAUAUGCCUCUCCAUGUAGAGUGAUCGAUGUUUAUCUUCAUAUUUUACACCAGUGAAUGACAUUGAAACUCUUAUUGAUAAAAGGGAAAAGGCAUGGCCUCCACCCCAAGAAAAACAAGUAACCUCGGUUUAAAUCACUAGUCUACACCCCGAAGAGAGAACUAGCCAAACCUACUAAAAGAGAAACUUAACAAUUUAGAAAGAAACCGUCCAUGAUAAAGGGCCCCUAAAGGUCCAAUUCAGUGAGGUCGUGAACAAAAACACUUUCAUGUCAAAACAGAGAUAGGUACCACCAAAAUGUAAAGGGAAAGAUGUAAACCACGUCGAACUUUGGUAAUCAAUGGUAAAGAUAGCAUGAUAGCUAAAAGCACUAAAGCUGUGCUUGGUAUGCAAAAAUGAAAAGUGGAAAUCAGCGUCUUAUUCUUUUUCACCUUUAUUCACAUAUUAGGAUAACUAAUAUCUAAUGUUUUUUAUGUCUCAAAUUCUAUUCCAUGUUAUGGUAAACUUUCAUCUUGUUUAGAUCACUUUUGUCUGGUUUGGGCUCAAGACGAUAAGCCUAUAGAGACUUCAUAUUGGGUUGAAUCGAUGCCCUUGAUCUGAUCUGUUCGUUAGAAAAAUCUGAAUUAUUAUAAGCAUUUAGAUAAAAAAUAAAUAAAUGUGAAACACAAACUACUCCCUGCACAACCUUGACCCUAGUUACUCAGUUUCACUGCUCACAGGACUAACCUCUCCAUUCAGUCGAAAUGAAUUGUAACAAGAAGAUUUUUGACAGGAGGACGGUAGUUUAAAAUAAUAAUUUCUAAAGUACUUUUGUGAAAAAAAAUAAUUCCAAACGUGGAUUUUAUCAAGUAAAAAGAAAAAAAAAAGUUAUUUUCUUUUAAAAUCUGUUCUUCUAAAGAUGAUAUAUAUACCAAAAAAAAAAAUUGUUUUCUGAAGGUAAAAUUUUUAAAAUUCAUUUUUAAAAAAAUUUACACACUAAAAUUAUCUUUUCAAGAGAAGAUUUUUUUAAUUUUAAAUAAUUAUUAAUUUAUAAUUAAUUUGUUAUUAAUUAUUUAUUAAUUUUUUUAUUUGAAAAAUGCAUUUAUAAAAAACAAAUUUGUUAUUAAUUUAUUAAAUAAUUUUUACAAAAUAAAUAAUUUUUUUUUAUUUUAAUUUUAAAAUUAAUUUUAUUAUAUAAAUUUUAAAAUUAAAAAUAUUAAUAUUUAAUUUAAAAUUUAACUAUAAAAGGAAUAAAAUAUAGAAAAAUAAAUUAAUUUAUUAUUCAAUAAAUUAAUUUUCAAUAAAAUUUUCAGCAUUAAGAGAUAAAUUUUUAAGUAUUAAUCAAUUUAAAAAGAAAUAAUGAUCAUUUGUAUAUUAAGAUAUUUUAUUUAGUAAUUAUGAAUGAUAAACAACUAAAGUAAUUUGAAAAAAUAAUAAAAUAUUUAAAAAAUAAUAAUUUAAUACACGUAAAAUUAGAAAUGAUUAACUAUUUUUUAUUAAGAAAAAAUUGAGGAAAUAUUUUGUUAUUUAAAAUUUUUUAUUUGUUUUCAAUUUUUAAUGUUAUAGGUUUCAAGAAAAUUGAUCAAAUAAAAAUUAAGAAGUCAUUUUUUCAAAAACUAUAUAUCUAAAUAAAAGCCUUGAAAUUCAAAUACACAAUAUCAUAAAUAUAAACACCAAGUCAAUCCUUAAUUAUCAAAUGUUUUUAAUAUUAAAGAAUCAAAAUCACCUACUAUCAUGAUAAUAAGAAAACCAAUAAUAUUGUUCAUAUAAAUACUAAAAAGCUAACAAAUAUCCCAAACAAUUAAUAAAGUAUCAAACAUGAUAAAAAGUCAAUUAUUAUCAUGAAUGCAAAAAAUCAAUAAUUUUGUUUAUAUGAACCAUCAACAAAGAAAAAAAAAAUCAAUAUCUAAAUAUUAAACAUAAUUUAUAUUUUUAUAAAUAUUAUUGUUGAUAAAUAUCUUAACAAUUAUAAUUUUAGUAAAUAAAAUUAAUUAAUUUUAGUUUAAGAAUUAUUUUUUUAUACUUUCGUAUUCUUAUCAAAAAUCCCCAUUUUGCAUGUCUCCUUUGGCAUGACUUUCUUACCUAAACAAGCAUAUAUAUAUAUAUAUAUAUAUAAAAUAUUUGGUUAAGAAAGAGUACUAAAGUUUAUAUGGCACACAUCAAGAUAGAAACAGAAGUGGAAGAUAAUCCAAAUGUAUGAACAGAUAUAUUAUAUCCAUGUAGUGGUAGUGACUUCAUUAUUUACUUUUAUCUAAUGGAGCAUGACACACUUCUUCUGAAUAUUUUGCACGAUUAUGUUAUGUGUCAGCUUGUUCUAAGUCAAAACUAGUGAUAAAAAUCGGUUUUUUUUGCAUUUCCUUCAUGAAGAUGGCACCUGGAUGGGGCACUACAUGAGUGGCAUAGCACGAAGUGAUUUAUCUGCUCCCUUUACUAUAAAGUGCUUUGUGUAUAAGUUACACCUCCCCUGCACUGCCUCAACAUUUGUUGUUCUGUCUUCCGUCUGUCCAAACGAGGACAAACGUAUGUUGUAGGUUGACAAAACCACAGCUAGCCUAGGAUUUGCAAGGAUCUAGUUUGAUUCGUAUGCAAAAGGAUUGGUGAAAAGAUUCACAAAGAUAAUGCUUUUUGCAAUGCAAUCUUGUUCUAAUUCAACAGUGUGGACCAUUUUCAUGUAAUGCUUCAACUAGAUGUCAGUUUCAUGAAUUUUUGUUCAUCUAAUUGAUCACUGGAUAGGCCAUAACCCGAAGAAAUUCAAAAUUCCCUUCAGUACUGUAGCUAAGGAAAGAUCCCUAUCUACCACUGGGAUUUUAAGAGGGUAAAAAUGUAGGUGGGUGCCUAUAUCAUUUGCACUUCACUAUAGGCCUCUUUGGGAAGAUUUCUUCUGAAGACAUUUCAAAGAAACAUAUUUUUCUCUUCUCUCCGUAAACGGCAGCUGCAAGUCAGUCCAUUCACAGGCCACCGAGUUGAAAAGGCUGGAAAAUUGGCCAAAGCACCCGCCUCCUGGAUUCCAUGGGUAAGGAAAAGGUCACUGGAGGUGUGAUCCCUGUUGGCCUCUUGAUUUCCAUUCCGCCAUCUAUAUGACCUGAUAACCCAAAAACACAGAAGGAAAACGUCACCUGGGUUCAUAGUAAGCAUCAAGUCAUGAUAGAGACCAGACAACAUGACCAACAAAGAGUAGCGAAUGGGGCCAACAUCAAGCCCCAUUACGGUUAGAAGAUGGAAGAAGUAGAAGACAAUCCAAUUCUGAUAGAUUCGGGCAAAUGUAGUGCUGUUCAAACUUAAUCAUUUACUAUUUCUUCAUGAAUCACGGCAUUUUUCUUCUGAAAAUUUUCCAAGAUUAGGCCUCUGAAGAAAAAUUUCAUAUGUAAAUUGGUAUAUUAAGGAAAAGGCGUUACAAAGGUGAAAAAAAACCAAUCAAAUCUUAUAUAUGACAUCUCAAAAAUAUGAACUUGCUAUAAAUAUUUAAAAUCAAAAUCUUGCACAUCACCUCGUAGUACGAACUUGCUAUAAAACUUGAAAAUCAAGAAGAAAGGGGCAGUAUUGGACGAGACUACUUAGCACAUAUUAUUAUGAUGUUUUUUCAUUUUCUUAAUGUUGUUUUUAUGUCUUAAAUUCUAUUAUUCUAUGUUACGGUAAACAUUCAUCUUGUUUGUGUGGAAUAGGAUCACUUUUCUCUGGGUUGAGUCGAUGCCCUUAGUUAAUUUGUUCAUUUGAAUAAACUAAAUUAUUAUAAGUAUUUAGAUAAGAAAAACGUGAUACAUAAAUUACGCCUCUCGGCACAACUUCAACACUGGUUACUCUGUUUCAGUUUCCUCACACAAGAUUAUUGGUUCUAGGGUUUAUUUGGUUUUGGUUUGAUUCUAAUUGCUAAACUUUCUCAAGGAAGAUGUUAUAUAGGGAGUGAGAAACCUUCACUCUUGGCUACCUCCAAGAGAAGAGCAAGUGGUCUGAAUCAAAGAUAUACUGCUCACUUUUUCUUCUUCUAAGGACAGCUAUGACCUUGCUUUAAGGUUCGAAUAGCCUAAUGCAACCUCCCAUUUCUCAAGUCAGCUGAUGAUGUAAGUCACCUUGGCUUUCCACAUUCAUACGGUGAGGACGUUUGUGGGUGUAAUUCUCUUAACAGUUUUCAUUUUAUAUGGAAAAAUUCAUAAUUAAGGGUAAUUACUGAUUCCAUUUGACAGUGACCAAGUUUAAAAUAUUAAUUCAUAUAUUAAAUGCACAUUAAAAAAUCAUGGAAUAAAUAUAUUUACUAAUAUAUAGUUCUUUUGCCAUGUUCUGUCACAGAAGCAUCGAACUUUCCCUAGAAAUUUUUGCAUGGUAUUCUACUUAUGAUUUUGAAAACUCUAGGCACCUGAGGCCACUAAUUGCAUGGUUGGAUGAGGAGCUGCAUGAGAUUAUGUAUCGUGUUGUUCCUUAACUACAAAUAUCAGUUUUAAGUAGCAUCUCCAUGUGACAUUUUCCUGAUGCAAUUUCGCUGUCCACCAACAAAUUUCACCAUGCAGCAAGAUGAAUUGUAAUUUCUUUAUUGUUAUCAACAGCUUUAAUUAAUCUUGAUAUAUAUAUAUAACUUAGUAGAAGUAUAUUAAUCUAGAUUGUAGUUGCACUAAGAUAAUAGGCAAUAUUAUAACAGUGCCACAAUGCUCAUCGCCAAAUAGAAAGGUAGAAAAACUACAAUGAGUAACUCACAACAUUCUCAAACAGGACAUAGCGGCGACUGAUACAUAGAACACUAUUGGCACUCAGGAAAUGAUAAGAUCAGUGCCCAGCAGGCAGCACGUCUUAUUUUACAUACUACUUAAAACUAACCAAAGUCAUUCAGUUGGGAUGGGUGGGAGAUGGUGGUUUGUGCGGUGGCUUUUGGGUAGUUGGUGGCUUCUUUCCUGGAACUGAUGGUUUUUUUGUUGGAGUUGAAGGAGGCUUAAUCGUCUGAGGUGGCUUGUAUGAGUCUUCAGCACUCUCUGCGGGAGGGUGCCCAGGGUUGUGACCAUAAUGGGGUGGCUUCUCUCCCUUAGUUGGUUUGCCAAGUGGGCUGGCUGGCUUGUGCUCCGGGAGCGGCUUCUCUCCCUUAGGUGGUUUGCCAAAUGGGCUUGCUGGCUUGUGCUCUGGGAGCGGCUUCUCUCCCUCAAGAAGUUUACGGGUUUUGUCAGAUGGCUUGUGUUCUGGUGGUGGCUUCUCUCCUUGGGGUGGUUUGCCAAAUGGACUUGGUGGCUUGUGUUCGGGGAGUGGCUCCUCUCCCUUGGGAGGUUUAGUUGGUGGCUGGUGUUCCAUAGGUGGUUUCUCAACCGGGGGCUUGUUCUCCGUUGGUGGUUUAUGAACUGGGGGAUGCUUGGGGUAGUCAGCAAGAGACGGGGUGGUGAGAACCACCAGUCCCAGCAGCAACACUAGCAAGUAUGUGGAAGAGUACAUCUUUGAGUUCAGGCUGAGAUUUGUGCGAGACUUGAAGAAUUAGGUGGCCUUUUAUAGCUGGCUGCACCCAACACUCACAUGACACGUAUCAUGGUGACACAUGUGCUAUGGGUCCAUUUGGGUCCUACAGAAGCUGAAAACUUUUGACUAUUGAGGUGUGGUCACAACUUUUGUCCCUAUUGCUUUCUCCGCAACCGUUUUACAUGUUUCCUUUGGCAUAAUUUUCUAAGCUAAACAAGCAUAUAUCAUAUUUGGUUAAGAAAGAGUAAAGUGUAUAUGGCACACAUCAAGGAAGAGAAACAGAAAAAGUGGGAGACAAUCAAUUGUGAUAAACAGAUAUAUUAUAUUCAUGUAGUACUAGUGACUUUAUCAUUUACUUUUAUCCAAUAGAUCAUCACUCUUUCUUCUAAAUAUUUUGGAGGAUAAUGGUACAUGUUGCUUGUUUCCAAGUCAAAAUUGGUGGCAAAAAUCGGCAUGAUACGAAAGGAUUGGUGAAAAGAUUCACAUAGAUGGUGCUUUGUGCAAUGCAGUCUUGCUCUAAUUCAACAGAGUGGACCAUGGUGAUGUAUUUUAAAUUUUAAAUUUUAAAUUAAUGCAUGCUUCAAAGUUUUAACUAGAUGUCACUUCCAUGGAUUUUUGUUCAUUUAAUUGAGCACAGGAUAGGCUAUCAAACUUGAAGUAAUAUAAAAAUCCCUUCAUUACUGUAACUAAUGAAAGAUCAUUAUCUGCGCUUGGUAUUUUGCCAAGGUAUUUGCUGCUCUUUCUAGCCCUGUCUUACAGUUAAGGACAAUGUGAUCUAGUUAACCUUAGAAGCUAUUCCAUGUCAGAUACAAGAGAUCAAGCACAUUAUCUUUGGGCUCAGUUCAAAACUAUAAUAUAUGGGUGGGGUGGAGGCCCAUAUCAUUUGCAUAUCACCACUAUUGGUUUAGUUUGGAAGGUUUCUUCUGGAAGAUUGCUGCUUUCUGGAAUCAUUUCAAAGAAAUAUAUCUUUUUGUUCUCUUGGUGACGAGCAGCGGCAAUCAAGUCUGUUGACAAACAACCGAGUUGAAAAGUUUGAAAAUUGGUCACAGCCCACGUCCAUGGUUAAGGAAAAGGUCACUGGAAGUGAUCCCUUCUGGGCCUCUUGAUUUCCAUUCUGACAUCUAUAUGACCUGAUAAAUAGAAAGAAAAAAAAACAGAAGAAAAGCGGCACCCGGGUUCAUAGUAAGCAUCAAGACAGGAUACUGAAAGAAGGGAGAAAGGAGAUUGCAAGUCCAAUCCUGAUAAAAUGAUCAACAAAGAGUAUCAAAAUGGGGCCAACAUAAAGACCCAUUGAGGUUAGCAGAUGGCAUGGCAUUUUUCUCCUUAAGUUUUCCAUGAUUAGACUUGAAGUCAAAAUUUCACAUGUAAAUUUGUAUUUCUACAUUUCCCACUGACGACACCCAACUUCAACUUGAGUUAGAAUAACAUUGUGUGAACUUAUCUGGCCCUCAAAAUUUACUGUGAAGUGCUUUCUGCGUGUGAAGAUUCAGAAAAGCACCAAGGGAACAUGUAUGGUCUGCCUUUUUCUGAUGUUAUGUUUGUCUCUAAUUCUGUUCCAUGUCAUGGUAAAUGUUCACAUUGCUUGUAUGGAACACACCAGGAUCACUUUUUCGGGUUUAUUUUGAGGCUUCAUAUUGGGUUCAUAUUGGGUUCAAUGCUUUUAAUGUGUUCAUUAGACAAAUCUGAAUUAUCAUAUGCAUUUAGAUAAGAACAAUAAUGUGAAACCCUAGUUACACCUCCCCUGCAUAACCCCAACCCUGCUUACUCUAUUUCAGUUUACUCACACAAGUUUUACCGGUUCUUAUAAGUCAAGAAAAGGCAACUGAUGUUGGAUUGACUCUCUUCCAUGUAUAAAAAGCAACUUUUAUAUAUACAUAAAAUAACUUCUUCCCCUCACCAAUGUGGGAUAUCAUGGAUUUAUUCUGGAAACACAUCAAAGGAACAUCUUUUCUCUUGGGUGACCCUAAGUGGUGAGUCAGACCAUUUGCAUGCCAUUGAGUUGCACAGUUGGAUAAAUGCACCUACCUCCUGGGCUCCAGAGUUAAAAGGGUGGAUCCCUGGAUCGCAACCCUCUUGGCAUCUUGGUUUCCAUUCCAACAUCCACAUGACUUGACAAAACAAAAAACAGAAUAAAAUCAUCACUAUUUUCAUGCUAAGCACCAAUACAUGAUGGAAAUCAUUGCUUAAAGAUUUGGGGUCAUUUAGGUUUUGACUGCCUCCUAACACCUCACCUAAUCACAAGUUUUUAUGCUUACAAAUCAAAUAUCGUUCUUCAUUAUAUUAAAAUCAUUUUAAGAUUUCAGAUCCAUCUGCUAAUUAUGAUUAUGAUAACAUUAAUUCACCUGUGCUUCUCAUUUUCGACACACAAGGCAUCUAGGUUUGCAGGAUUUCCUUAUUAGAUGAGAUAAAUGAGUACGCAUGGUUAUGUAUGCAGCAUUCAUUAACCAUGGUAUGUGACAUUUAGAAUUAAGAUAGCAAGCAAACUUUCCCUGCAGCUUGAGUAAAUUGUGAUUUCUUAGCCUCUAUGAGUGGUUCCCAAAUCAAAUUAACAUAGUGAAAUAUACGUAGUCCAGUGAAAGGAAAUGUAAAUUAUAAACUAACAGCACUACACUACUGGUAACACUCGAUACUCUCUAUAUAAUGCAAUGAAAUAUACGUUAUACGUUGCUUGUUCCAAGUCAAAAUUUGUGGCCAAACGUUGGCCUUUUUUCAUUUUCCCUAAGAUUAAUGCUCACCUGGGAUAGGCACUACAUGAUUUAUCUGCUCUUUUACUGUAAAGUUGCUUUGUGUAUGAGUUACACCUCCCCUGCACACCCUCAACAUUUGUUGCUCUGUUUUCCUUGUGUCCAGACGAGGAUAUUAAGUGGGGGCUGACAAAACGACUGCUAGCCAAGGAUUUACAAGGUCCUGGUUUGACGCUUCCGCGAAAGUAUUUUUGAAAAUAUACACAUAGAGAUUGCGCGUUCGGUGCAAUGCAACAAUGUGAGCCAUUCUGAAGUUUUUAAUUUCAGAUUAAUGAAUGCUACAAAAUUCUAAGAAGGGCCGUUUCCAAAUAUUUGAGUUCAUUUAUCCGAACAUCGGAUAAGUAAUGAUCAUAGAUUAUUAUUAUUAUCUGACGUUCUUAUAAUGGUUGGCAUUAUAAGAGGGUAUAUGCUUCUUUCUCUAGCCCCUCCUUCAAGGGAGGGACAAUGUGAUCUGUAUCGUUAGAAGCUAUUCCAUGUCGUCAUCUUUUGGCUUAAGUCAAUACUAAAAUAUAUGGGCGGGGCCCCUGUCAUUUUAUAUUUCUUCUAGAAGGUUUGUUCUGGAAAUCUUUCACCGAAACAUAUCUUUUUCUUCUCUACGUGAUCCGUGGUUGGAAAGUUAGAAAAAUGGGUCCGUUCACAAGCCACCGAGUUGAAAAGUUGGAAAAAUGGCAACACCGCCAACCUCUUGUAUUCGAUAGUUAAAUAAAAGGUCACUGGAAGUGAGAUCCCUUUUGGCCUCUUGAUUUUCAUCCCAGCAUCUCUAUGUCCUGAUAAACUAAAAAACUAAAAAAAAAACAGUACGUGGGUUGGUGUUAAGCAUCAAGAGUCAAGACAUGAUAAUGGAGAGAAAGGAUAUUCAAAUUCCAGUUCUGACAACAUGAUUUUCUUUCCUGAACAACCAUGUUAUAUUUGAUCAAGAAAGAGUAGUGCAUGUGGCCAGGAUCAAGACAUACAUUAAUUUCCACAUGAUGAAGACAGUUUCUGAGAGUUUCUUCUAAAGCUCUUGCGCUAGUAGGCUUCAAGUCAAAAUUUCCCAUGUAAACACUGGAUUUUCUUUAAUUGCCACUAAGGAUACAGUUAAAAUUGACUUAAAAUCCUACGUGAUAUAUAUCUUUAACAAAAGUAUAUUGUAUAUAAUAUUUGAAAUAAUGUUGAUUCGUUGUGGAAAUAUGUUUGUAAGGAAAGUUGUUGACAAUUUAAUAUAGUAUAAGAAGAAAAAAGUUAUCAACUAGAGAUGAGUAUGUAAAGUGAGGCUCACGAUUCAACGCGUAAAUAUAAGAUAUUUUAAGGCUCAAUAGUUAUGAUAUCUAUUUUAUUUUUUGUAUCCCAUAUAUUCAAAGAUACAGUAAAAUGAUUUUAUAUAUAUGAACAUAGCCGAUAGUAUCAUGUUAAAACCUUAUAUGACUCUUUGUGCCAAUUGAUUUUUAUCUUUAUUUUGUGUAUUAGUAAUUAGUAUUAAAGUUUUUACUAACAUAAUAAUUGAUAUAAAAGCUUUUUCCAAAAGAGUCAAACAGAGCAAAACACUUAUUAUAAAAAGAAUUUUGAUUGAAGGUGGAGUCAAUUAUUCUUUAUUCAACAUGUGAUGCAUACAGCGGGUACUUCAUAACUAAAGUAUAUAAGUGCAACAUCUCUUAUACAUUCUCAUUCAAUCUCGAAAGUGGAAAAUUUUAAAAGAUUAAAUGGUUCAAAUUUUCCGUGCAUAAAGGGGAUCAUGUCACAUAACCAAACCAUGGCAUACCAAAGCCAUGAUAUGGACUAAGAAUUUUGUUAAAAUAAGUUUCUUAUUAGGGCACAUUAUGUGACUAUUUAUGACAUAUCAAAGGAGUCAAGUGCAUCAAUAAAGACAUAGAAAAUUCAUGCAUCACAUGUACCACUAAGAGAAAAUUGACUUGAUAGAGUUUAGUCCAAAUAGGAGAUUGUUAAAAGGUGCAUCAAAUUCUUGAUUGAUAUAUAUUUUUUUUAUUAGAAAGGUUAUUAUAUAGAUAUUUCAAUAGACUAUUAAUCCUUUGUAAAAAUAGUUAUAUAAUGAGGAUGGUGAUUAAAAAUAUCUCUAUCAAUAUUUUGGAUUAUAAAAAGAAAAAAAAUAUGAGAAAAUGAUAAACAUAUAAAACUUGUACAAGUAGAUAGAGAUGUGAUGAAAGACACUUGAUGAAUGGAGGCCUUGUAUUUCAAGAUGUAAAUAUAUGGAGCAAAACUCUUAAUUAUAUGAUCAAAUGAUUCUCUCAUAUUCAUGAACAUAAGCAGGAUUGGGGAACCAUGAUAGAAUCUUAUAUGCCUCUCCAUGUAGAUUGAUCGAUGUUUAUCUUCAUAUUUUACACCAAUGAAUGACAUUGAAACUCUGAUUGAUAAAAGGGAAAAAGCAUGGCCUCCACCACAAGAAAAACAAGUAACCUCGGUCUAAAUCACUAGUCUACACCCCGAAGAGAGAACUAGCCAAACCUACUAAAAGAGAAACUUACCAAUUUAGAAAGAAAUCUUCCAUGAUAAAGGGCCCCUAAAAGUCCAAUUCAGUCAGGUUGUGAACAAAAACACCUUCAUGUCAAAACAGGAAUAGGUACCACCAAAAUGUAAAGGGAAAGAUGUAAACCAAGUCGAACUUUGGUAAACAAUGGUAAAGAUAGCAUGAUAGCUAAAAGCACUAAAGCUGUGCUUGGUAUGCAAAAAUGAAAAGUGGAAAUCAGCGUCUUAUUCUUUUUCUCCUUUAUUCACAUAUUAGGAUAACUAAUAUCUAAUGUUUUUUUUAUGUCUCAAAUUCUAUUCCAUGUUAUGGUAAACUUUCAUCUUGUUUAAGUGGAAGAGUAGGAUCACUUUUGUCUGGUUUGGGCUCAAGACGAUAAGCCUAUAGAGACUUCAUAUUGGGUUGAAUUGAUGCCCUUGAUCCGAUCAGUUCGUUAGAAAAAUCUGAAUUAUUAUAAGCAUUUAGAUAAAAUAAAUAAAUAAAUGUGAAACAGAGACUAUUCUCUGCACAACCUUGACCCUAGUUACUCAGUUUCACUGCUCACGGGACUAACCUCUCCAUUCAGUCGAAAUGAAUUGUAAUUUCUUUACUGGUAGCAGUAGUACUUUUCAUAGCAAAGAUAAUAGUAAAUAUGAAAUAUAAAUAUAUAGAAGGAAAUCUGGAUUGUAGAUAGCACCAUAAGUAACACUCAAUAUUUACUACAUAAUAAAAGAGAUAGUGUUACAAAGGUAGAGAAACCUACAAUGAGUACUCAUCACCAUUCUCAAACAGAAACAUAGCAGUGACUUAUACAUAGAACCUAUAGGCUCGCAGGGAAAGAGUAACAUGAUAAGUGCACAGCGGGUAGCAGCUCUUAUUUUACGUAUUACUCAAAAUCUCAAACUAACCAAAGUCACUCAGUUGGGAUGGGUAGGAGAUGGUGGUUUGUGGGGUGGCUUCUGGGUAGGAGCUGGUGGCUUCUUUGUUGGAGUUGAAGGAGGCGUAAUCUUCUGAGGUGGCUUGUAUGAGUCUUUGGCACUCUCUGCAGGAGGGUGCCCAGGGUUGUGACCGGAAGGAGGUGGCUUCUGUCCCUUUGGUGGUUUGCCUAAUGGGCUUGGUGGCUUGUGCUCCGGGAGUUGUUUCUCUCCCUCGAGUAGGUUUCGAGUUUUGUCAGAUGGCUUGUGUUCUGGUGGUGGCUUCUCUCCCUGGGGUGGUUUGCCGAAUGGGCUUGGUGGCUUGUGUUCGGGGAGUGGCUUCUCUCCCUUGGCAGGUUCAGUUGGUGGCUGGUGCUCCGUAGGUGGUUUCUUCACCGCCGGCUUCUCUCCCUGGAGAAGGUUACGAGUUUUGUCAGAUGGCUUCUGUUCUGGUGGCGGCUUCUCUCCCUGGGGUGGUUUGCCAAAUGGGCUUGGUGGCUUGUGUUCGGGAACUGGCUUCUCUCCCUUGGCAGGUUCAGUUAGUGGCUGGUGUUCCGUAGGUGGUUUCUUCACCGGCGGCUUGUGCUCCGGAAGCGGCUUCUCUACCUGGAGAAGCUUACGAGUUUUGUCAGAUGGCUUGUGUUGUGGUGGUGGCUUCUCUCCCUGGGGUGGUUUGCCAAAUGGACUUGGUGGCUUGUGUUCGGGGAGUGGCUUCUCUCCAUUGGGAGGUUUAGUUGGUGGUUGGUGUUCCGUAGGUGGUUUCUGAAGUGGGGGAUGCUUGGGGUAGUCAGCAAGAGACGAGGUAGUGAGAACCACCAGUCCCAGCAGCAAUACUAGCAAGGAUGUGGAAGACAUCUUUGAGUUCAGGCUGAGAUUUGUGCAAGGCUAGAAGAAUUAGGUGGCCUUUUAUAGCGGGCUGGACCCAACAACCAAAUGACACGUAUCAUGAUACACAUAUGUGUUAUAAGAUCCUUGUGGGUCCUACAGAAGUUGAAAACUUUGACAAUUGAGGUGUGAUUACAACUUUUGUCCCUAUUGCUUUCUCGUCAGCCGUUUUGCAAGAUUUUUGACAGGAGGACGGUAGUUUAAAAUAAUAAUUUCUAAAGUACUUUUGUGAAAAAAAAUAAUUCCAAACGUGGAUUUUAUCAAGUAAAAAAAACAAAAAAAAGUUAUUUUCUUUUAAAAUCUUUUCUUCAUGAUUCAUAUACCAAAAAAAGAAUUGUUUUCUGUAGGUAAAAUUUUUAAAAUUCAUUUUUAAAAAAAAAAAAUUACACACUAAAAUUAUCUCUUCAAGAAAAUAUUUUUUAAAUUUUAAAUAAUUAUUAAUUUAUAAUUAAUUUUUUAUUAAUUAUUUAUUAAAUUUAUAUGUGAAAAAUGCAUUUAUAAAAAACAAAUUUUUUAUUAAUUUAUUAAAUAAUUAUUUACAAAAUAAAUAAUUUUGCUUUAUUUUAAUUUUAAAAUUAAUUUUAUUAUAUAAAUUUUAAAAUUAAAAAUAUUAAUAUUUAAUUUAAAAUUUAACUAUAAAAGGAAUAAAAUAUAGAAAAAUAAAUUAAUUUAUUAUUCAAUAAAUUAAUUUUCAAUAAAAUUUUCAGCAUUAAGAGAUAAAUUUUUAAGUAUUAAUCAAUUUAAAAAAUAAUAAUAAUCAUUUGUAUACUAAGAUAUUUUAUUUAGUAAUUAUGAAUGAUAAACAACUAAAGUAAUUUGAAAAAAUAAUAAAAUAUUUAAAAAUAAUAAUUUAAUACACUUAAAAUUAGAAAUGAUUAACUAUUUUUUAUUAAGAAAAAAUUGAAGAAAUAUUUUGUUAUUUAAAAUUUUUUAUUUGUUUUCAAUUUUAAAUGUUAUAGGUUUCAAGAAAAUUGAUCAAAUAAAAAUUAAGAAGUCAUUUUUUCAAAAACUAUAUAUCUAAAUAAAAGCCUUGAAAUUCAAAUACACAAUAUCAUAAAUAUAAACACCAAGUCAAUCCUUAAUUAUCAAAUGUUUUUAAUAUUAAAGAAUCAAAAUCACCUACUAUCAUGAUAAUAAGAAAACCAAUAAUAUUGUUCAUAUAAAUACUAAAAAGCUAACAAAUAUCCCAAACAAUUAAUAAAGUAUCAAACAUGAUAAAAAGUCAAUUAUUAUCAUGAAUGCAAAAAAUCAAUAAUUUUGUUUAUAUGAACCAUCAACAAAGAAAAAAAAAAUCAAUAUCUAAAUAUUAAACAUAAUUUAUAUUUUUAUAAAUAUUAUUGUUGAUAAAUAUCUUAAUAAUUAUAAUUUUUUAUAUAUUAAAUUUAGUAAAUAAAAUUAAUUAAUUUUAUAAUAUAAGAUAUAUAUAAUAAUUAAGAGACUAUUUGUCCCAAACAAUUUAUUUAUUUUUUUUUUAGGAAAUUGUCUCUUCAAGAGACGACUUCUCCCAACAUUUUUAAAAAAAAAAAAAAAAACAUCUAUUCAAAAGACGAUUUCUCCUCAUUUUUUAAAAAUGAAUUUUAGAAAUCAUAUUUUCAAAAAUGAAUUUUAGAAAUCAUAUUUUCAAAAGACGAUUUUUUUUUAUAUAAAUUAUUUUUUAAAAUGACGAUUUUAAAAGGAAAUAACGAUCUCUCUCCUACUUGGCAAAAACUAUGGUAAAUUUGGAAUUAUUUCUUCCACAACCAUAGUUUAAGAAUUAUUUUUUUAUACUUUCGUAGACUUAUCAAAAAUCCCUAUUUUGCAUGUCUCAUUUGGCAUGACUUUCUUACCUAAACAAGCAUAUAUAUAUAUAUAUAUAUAUAUAUCACUUUUGUCUGGGUUGAGUCAAUGCCCUUAACUAAUUUGUUCAUUUGAAUAGUCUAAAUUAUUAUAAGCUUUUAGUUAAGAAAAAUGUGAAACAUAAAUUACACCUCUCGGCACAACUUCGACACUGGUUACUCUGUUUCAGUUUAUUCACACAAGAUUAUUGGUUCUAGGGUUUAUUUGGUUUUGGUUUGAUUCUAAUUGCUAAACUUUCUCAAGGAAGAUGUUAUAUAGGGAGUGAGAAACCUUCACUCCUGGCUACCUCCAAGAGAAGAGCAAGUGGUCUGAAUCAAAGAUAUACUGCUCACUUUUUCUUCUUCUAAGGACAGCUAUGACCUUGCUUUAAAAUGUUCGAAUAGCCUAAUGCAACCUCCCAUUUCUCAAGUCAGCUGAUGAUGUAAGUCACCUUGGCUUUCCACAUUCAUACGGUGAGGACGUUUGUGGGUGUAAUUCUCUUAACAGUUUUCAUUUUAUAUGGAAAAAUUCAUAAUUAAGGGUAAUUACUGAUUCCAUUUGACAGUGACCAAGUUUAAAAUAUUAACUCAUGUAUUAAAUGCACAUUAAAAAAUCAUGGAAUAAAUAUAUUUACUAAUAUAUAGUUCUUUUGUCAUGUUCUGUCACAGAAGCAUCGAACUUUCCCUAGAAAUUUUUGCAUGGUAUUCUGCUUAUGAUUUUGAAAACUCUAGGCACCUAAGGCCACUGAUUGCAUGGUUGGAUGAGGAGCUGCAUGAGAUUAUGUAUCCUGUUGCUCCUUAACUACAAAUAUCAGUUUUAAGUAGCAUCUCCAUGUGACAUUUUCCUGAUGCAAUUUCGCUGUCCACCAACAAAUGUCUCCAUGCAGCUAGAUGAAUUGUAAUUUCUUUGUUGUUAUCAACAGCUUUAAUUAAUCUUGAUAUAUAUAUAACUUAGUAGAAGUAAUUAAUCUAGAUUGUAGUUGCACUAAGAUAAUAGGCAAUAUUAUAACAGUGCCACAAUGCUCAUCGCCAAAUAGAAAGGUAGAAAAACUACAAUGAGUAACUCACACAACAUUCUCAAACAGGACAUAGCGGCGACUGAUACAUAGAACACUAUUGGCACUCAGGAAAUGAUAAGAUCAGUGCCCAGCAGGCAGCACGUCUUAUUUUACAUACUACUUAAAACUAACCAAAGUCAUUCAGUUGGGAUGGGUGGGAGAUGGUGGUUUGUGCGGUGGCUUCUUUCCUGGAACUGGUGGUUUUUUUGUUGGAGUUGAAGGAGGCUUAAUCGUCUGAGGUGGCUUGUAUGAGUCUUCAGCACUCUCUGCAAGAGGGUGCCCAGGGUUGUGACCAUAAUGAGGUGGCUUCUCUCCCUUAGGUGGUUUGCCAAGUGGGCUGGCUGGCUUGUGCUCCGGGAGCGGCUUCUCUCCCUUAGGUGGUUUGCCAAAUGGGCUUG